UCUGUUCGUAUAGUAUCAUAACCAAAAUUGCCCUACACUCUUUAGCAUGUUGCUGUUAACUGUUCUAUGUUAUUCCUCACGGUGUUGUUCUAUAUACACCUCAUAGAAAGAGCAUAUAAUUAUGAAUACAAAUCUUGGUUUCCAGGAUGGCGAGCCAGCCAGCCGCAAACAGCGCUCGCCCAGCCACGGUGCAGAUACGCGGGCAACCUGUCGAACAGAAGACGAGCUGCUGCUCUUCUUGAAAUGCAGGCAGCCGCCAUCCAUGUUACCCAAAUGGAGACGCAAACUUGGCCGCGCCAUCCUUGAGUCCAUGCUUCUACAUAGGCCUACUACAUCUUACACCUUCAUUCCAUUCUUUCUAGUGUACUUAUUAGCUCUUGAAUCGUUGGACUUGUAACACCGGAUGGAGUUUGGAGACAGUAUCUUCUUCUAGUUGUGUAUCUUGAAUGGUUAUAUGUUACGAUUUGCAGCUGUUGCUUUUCUUCCCUAAAUUUAAGGCGAUUUCUACUUUUACUUGACCAAAAUGUUCGGUUCUUCAAAAUAUUAUCUGACAGUAUGCUUAUCUUUGUGGUAAAAAAGGUCCUGGUUAUAGUUUUCAAGGUGACUUGUUGAUUGUUGAAGGCAGCAUUAGGAAUGUGCACAACAUGACAAGUUAAUUGCCAACAUUAAAUCAGUUGGGGCAUGUUUGGUUGCCUGCAUCUUUUGUCUCAGUGGGCCAGGUUGAGUUGCCUGUAUUUGUGCUAUUGGUAUGCAAAGCAGAGCUGUUUUGCUCAUCCCGUGGUGGUCUUACACACAAAUGCAGCACUUCAUAUCAUACAUAACAUAAGAACAACAUAAUACAAUUAACAGUACAAAUAAAAACAAUAGCUAAAUAGUUCAGAAUAGCUAAUUAGACCAUAGUUUAAGACAUCAAAGGCAUCCCAUGCCCCUGCACGACCCUAGGGUGUUGAACCCUGAGCAAAAUAUAUAGUUUUGCACUAAGUUGAGCAAAAUAUACAGUUUUGCAGUAAGUUCAGACGAUCAAGCCUAGCCCGGAGAGCCACAUGACGAGCAAGUCGCUGUGGAUGAUUGUGUGGCGCCGACAGAAGUAGUCUCAACUGCUCCCGAGCACCAUCUGCCCCUGAAAUGUAUGGCCCUACACCUAGAACUCACACCACUUGUUGGCAGAGGCUGACAACACCAGGAGGGUUGACGACUGCCAUUUCUUUAUCACCGUCCUAAAGGCAGGCGGGAUGACCAGCAUGGUGAUCUCUUCCUCGUUCUUGAUUUGCACGUAGAACCCGACUGACGUCCGUGUAUAUAGAGUAAAUUGCUCAAAGCCACUACAUUUGUGGCUAGAGUACUCUAAAACCACCACUUUUGCCAGAAAUCACAAAAAACCACCACUUCCGCGGCAAGUGAGUAACAAAUCACACUGAUUUGGAAUUGAACGCAUCUAACAGCAAAACUGACAUGUGGGACCCGUCUAUCCGGGCUGAUGUGGCAAAGACUAGUCCUAGUCAAUGGUUGACCUGCUAAGGUGGACGGGGGUCCUACCUGUCAGCCGCACCUAUUGUCUUCUCUCUCCUCUCCUUCUUCUCGAUAAAGCGGAAUCCCAGCCGCCACGCCAUGGCCGGCGCAGAGAGAAGCAGGCCGCGCCCGCCUAGCUCCCCUCCUUCUCCUAAUCCAGCGGAAGGCGCCCGCCGGUGCCGGAGCUCUACGCCGCCGGUGGCGCCACGCCCUGCCUCCCCCAUUUCUCCUAGAUCCGGUGGGAUCCCAGCGCCGGCAAGCCAAGGUCGGGCGAACUCCUCCUAGCCUCGACGCCCCGCCCCGCUACGACAGCCACUGCUGCUGGCCAUGGCCAGAGGCGAGCUCCUUCCCCUCACGCCACAGGCAACCUCUCCCAUCCUUGUCUUCCUCGCGAGCGCUGGCACGAGAGCCACGGGAGCCAGAGGCGGGGAAGAUGUGCUGCUCGCCAUGGCAACGCUGGUGGCGGCGACGCACCGGGAACCCCAAGGCGCGGCUAGCGGACUUCUUCGCAGGCUUCGGCUCCGGCGGCGUGCUGGUGGCGCGCGACACCGACGACGCGCGUCGACUCUCUCCCUGUCUUCCUCGCGAGCGCCGACACGAGAGCCACAUGAGCCAGGGCGGGGAAGGUGUGCUGCUCACCGUGGCAACGCUGCUGGCGGCGGCGCACCGGGAACCCCUAGGCGCAACUAGCGGACUUCUUCGCAGCCUCCGGCGUGCUGGUGGCCACGGCACCGACGACGCACGUCGACUCUUCUCCGCGGAGGACGCGCUAGUGAGUGGGGAGGCCUGGUGAGAGGGGACCGGCUCGCCGUGCGCAGAGGAGGGGCGGAGCUCGUCGAGGUGCGGACGGAGGGGCAACAUCGCCGGAGAAGUGCUGGACCGACGGAGUAGGUGUUGUGCGUGCACAUGAAGUACUCGACGAAAUGCCAGAGCCUAGUCACCUGUCUACGUGUUUAUUCUUUGCCAAGUCAGCCUGCAUGUGGGCCAGGCAUGUCAGUUUUUCACUUAGUCACGGCUGACAGCUCGUUUAGUGCAUUUUGUUACUCACUUGCCGCGGAAGUGGUGGUUUUUUGUGAUUUCUGACAAAAGUGGUGGUUUUGGAGUACCCUAGUCACAAAUGUGGUGGCUUUCAGCAAUUUACUUGUGUAUAUACGGUUCAAAUCUCGUUUUUAUACAUCCAUCCAUACGCUGAUGAGGCAUGCUAGGGUGUCAGGGACAAGGCGUGUGGCCUGCUUUUGUUUUGCGGAAAACCCCCCAAAAUAGUUGUUUUCUUAUAAAAAAGGCCCUCAAAGAAAAACUAAUAAAUUGUAAAAUUAACUAUUAAUCAAUUUAUAAUAUCUAAAAAUAGUCCGGGGUUCGAACCAGCGACAGAGGUGUGCGUGGCUAGCCAGCUGACCGGUUCAAAUUUGAAGGUGUUUGGUUCGCAAUUUUACACCCGGUAUCUGAUUACAUCGCAAACCGAUACCGUUAAUCGUGUUUGCUUCGCUUUGCAGAUCCCACAUAGACACGUCCCAUCACAGUUUACGUUACAGCCAGAGCGAGCCGACUCGGGCGAAUUCUUCUGGCUUCGAUCCCCAAUCCCGGCCCAGUCCCGUGCUAGCUGCCUAGACGUGGGGUUCCUGUUUGUUUCAUUUCUUUUUACGCUGGGGCUCUCAUUUUCUUGCCGGUAUCCAUUACCGUUAGACACUUAACCAAACAAGAAUGGAUUUUGGCCGAUAUCGUUUACAUCAACGGAGUAAACCCAUUACGUUUACGUUUCCGUUCCACUUCUGGAACCAGACACCUUAGUGUUAAGAAAGGAUUCGUAUGAUCCUAAAAAAAAGGAAUCGUAUACUUUGUAAACAUAAAGCUGAACGACAUAAACUAAACUUUUUUAUUCGCAGCCGCCCAUACUACUCCGACCGACAACAUCAGAUGGCAAAAUGAUAGAUUUAGGUUUAUGACAUAACGAGCCCUUCCUGAAGGCGUUGCUGUUGAAGAAUCCCGUCAUUCGCGCGGUGCCAUGACAUAGUUGAUGCGGAUAUGGUCAUUGUUGUAGUCUACCUAUUAUGGAUUUGGUCGCUCAGAUUUUUUUUCUUCAUCGUCUACGCGUGGCUUUGGUCUUAUAUGACUUUGCUAUUUGCUGACGUGAUGUUGUGUGCGUGCGUUAGUGUUGGCUGUGUGCAUCCUAGCUAUGCAGAGGCCGGGUGUGCUCAUUAUGUUUGUAUCCUCUUGAUGCCUCAUUUUAAGCUAAUAAAAUACAUUCUUUGUCGAGAAAAAUGACAUAACGAGCCCGUGUGGCUAAAACGGACCACAGUGUGGCUCAGUUUUGAACGUGUUUGUUUUUUUCAUUUCAUUUUUAAAAUAUAUUAAUUAUAAUUGUGUGUUACAAACAAUAUACAAUAUUUAAAACAAAUUACGUUAAAAUGUUUAUACUAUUUCAUAAAAUACAUAUGCAAUAUUUUAACAGAAAUAUACAUAAUAAAAUUAUGAGUUAAGAAUAUAUUUUAUAAUUUGAAAAAAAUGUUUGCAUUUUAAUAAAAUAUUAAUGUAAUUUUAGAAAUGUUCAUAUAUUUUAAAAAAUUCUCAUAUAAUUUUGAAAUUUCCACAUUAUUAAUAAAUUAUUUAUGUAGUCUAUCAGUGUGUUCAUGCUUUAAUUAAAAAGGUGUUAUUUUAAAAGGUUUAUAUAGUAUAUAAGUUUGUGCGUUUCUAUAAAAAAUAAAUGCAAGCCUAGUGCGCCAUUAGACUGCGUAUCCUCACAUGAAUAAUAGUUGAAUCAUCUAAACAUUUUGAUCUUCAUAAAUAGUUUCAAUUGUAUGAAUAUAUUUUAAAAUAACACAUGAUUUUAUUUCAGGAUACACGUGAAUUCUUUUGAUACAUGACAAUUCAUUGGUUGGAGUGACAUCCGUGCCUGGUCUACAAGCUUUGGUCCGAUGUGCAGAUCACAGAGCCGGUGCUGUUUUUGCUGGAUUAUUAAAUUCCUUUUAUUUAUUUUGUUCGGUCCAAUGUUUAUAAAGGUUAUAAAUCAUUAAAUAUUAGCAAAUGUGAAGUUGUCGAGCACACGCUCUGGACUGGUAGGUUGCAGGCUCGAGCCACCACAUGACAAGUUUUAGUUUUUAUUUUAUAGUUUAUCAGUUUCUCCCCGAGGGCCUUCUUGUAAGAAAAAUAAUUUUGGGAGUUUUCCGCAAAAACCAAGCCAAACACCCUUGUCUCUGGCAGCGGGUCCCAUGGCAUGCUGGCACGCCUCGUAAGUAUACAAACAUCAUUUAAACCAAAUAUGCACGUCUAUGCCAAGUUAUGAAACCGGUUCAAUGUAUUUUUCAAGGCACUAGAAUGCAUAUUCAUGACAAGUUCAAGCACCACAGAUGUAUUUACCUCGGAAAGUAAUAAAAAACACACACAAGAAAAUCAGAAAAAAAAACCCCGGGCCAAAACUAGAACAGCCAGCGAGAUUUCCAGAAUGGUCAAAAACUUAGUCUGGCCACGGAUUACUUUAAGGGAAUCUUGGGUCAGCCUGCCCCCUCGAUGAACACAGUGGACGUACACUCACUAUACACUUCACUUGAUCUAUCUGCCCUGACGGUACGGUUUUCUUGGGCUGAAAUCAUACAAGCCAUCAGCUGCUCACCCAAUAACAGAAGUCCAGGCCCUGACGGUUUCACCAAUGAGUUUUACAAGGCUUUCAAGUUGCUGCUAAAGGAUGACCUGCUCCACUUUUUUUAUGAUUUCCACAGAAAUGUGGUUGAUCUUACUGGUAUUAACUCCGCUUUCAUCACCCUGCUACCUAAAAAGAUACGCCCCUAGAGAUGCGGGACUUCAGGCCGAUUUCCCUCGUACAUAGCAUACCCAAACUGGUUUCUAAGGUUCUGGCUUGUAGGCUGAAAGCAUGGAUUCCUCUCUUGAUUCACUCUCUCCAGUCUGGCUUCUUGCGGGGCAGAUCGAUUAUAGAAAACUUUACCCUGGCUGCCGAAAUGAUCCAAUACGCACACAAACGGAAAAUGCUAGUCAUUGCUUUGAAGUUGGAUUUUCACAAAGCUUUUGACAGCGUCAGUUGGUCCUGUUUGCACAAAGUACUUGAAGCCAGAGGGUUUUCUCGGCUGUGGAUUAGUUGGAUUCAAAUGCUUUUGUCAACCGGCAGCUCUAAAGUCCUUAUUAAUGGCCAGCUGGGUGCCCCCAUCCGGGCUAAGCGUGGUUUUCGGCAAGGCGAUUCCUUAUCCCCUUAUCUUUUCAUUAUCGUUGCGGACGUGCUACAGAGAAUGUGCUGCAAAUUGUUCCAAGAUGGUUCCUUGCUGCACCCACUUGGUUCAGACAGUUUCUUCCCGGUUCUGCAAUACGCGGAUGACAUGCUGAUUCUUUUCCAAGGCACUACGCACCAGGCGGCAGUUGUUAAGUCAGCGCUCACAACUUUCUCUGCUUUCUCUGGGCUCACCAUAAAUUUCCACAAGAGCACUCUCGUACCUGUUGCCGCGGAGACCAUCACUGCUUCGGCCAUCGCGCAGAUCCUAGGCUGCCCCGUUUCAUCCUUUCCAUGCAACUACCUGGGCCUGCCUCUCUCUCUGCACAAGAUUACGCAUGGUAUGUUACUGCCUGUUAUACACAAGGUCGACCGUCGUCUUUCGGGCUGGUUAGCUACUUUCCUAUCCUUAGGGGGUAGAUUGACCCUUAUCAACUCAGUGAUCGUUGGUAUCCCAAGUUAUUUCAUGUCAUGCUUUCCCUGGCCCAAGGAAUCUCUUGGAAAAUUGGAAAGUCUCUCACGUGCUUUUUUCUGGCAAGGCAAGAAUAAGGUCAAGGGGGGUCAAUGCUUAGUAGCUUGGGAUACAGUCUCGUCACCUCGUAUCAAUGGCGGUUUGGGUAUCCGUCAGCUGCAGGCUCACAACCAAGCUAUGAUGUGCAAGUCUGUCUCCAAAGUUAUACAAGGUUCGGACAUACCAUGUUAUAACUGGUUCGCCACACAUUAUUGCCGGGCUAUCCUUCCACAAAGUGCUAGUAGCAGAGACACUGCCAUCUGGAAAGGGUUCAAAGAUCUUGUUCCUAUGGUCAUCAACUCCUCUAAAUGUGUUCUGGGGUCUGGUCUUUUGAUUUCAUUCUGGAAGGACCAGUGGCUUGAAGCGGGGCGUUUAUACCAGUUGUUCCCCAUGCUGUAUUCCUUCGCGAUCCAGCCAGAUUUCUCCGUGCACUCACAACACUCCAACGGUUCAUGGGCUAUUCAGCUACACCCUAAUCUCUCUCAAACAGCCUCAGCCGAGCUUGCUGUCCUGCAUGAUUUGUUGCUGGGCAUUGCUCCGAACUUACUGCAUGAGGACCAACGGACUGCUUCUGUGAGCUCUGGACAACUUUGCACUGGUUAUUUCUACAGGCUACUCACUUUCCGGGGGGUUUUGUCAACUCUUGGCACCUGGGUUUGGGAGGCAAUGACCCCCCUCAAGCACAGAAUCUUCCUAUGGCUUUCUUUCCGUGAUCGUCUAAACACUAAGGAUAACAUGGUAAAGAAGGGUUGGUCCGAGGCUUCCCCGUUUGCGCAUUGUGACACUUGCCCCGCUGUUGAGACCAUCGAUCACUUAAUACUACGAUGUGCAUCCGCCAGUGUUCUUUGGGGCAAGUUGGAACUUGACGUUUUGGCUUGCUCAACUACUAACGUUCUAUCUUUUAUGGAGCAAGCGCAACACCAGCUCAGUUUCAAGAAAAAUGGAAUGUUGCUUUCACGGCUUGUGCUGUCACCUUUUGGCAUGCUAGGAAUGACAGAGUCUUCAACUCAAAAGACUGGUCUGUAACAUACACCUGUUUAUAUGCAGCAGGCAUGCUCCGUCUUUGGAGUCUCAGAACUCAAAGCCAGCGUACCAGGGAGGUUCUCCAGGUUUGGAGACACAAGCUGCUGCAUAAUUCGUAGACGCCUGAUGUAAUCUUCCCCUCCUCUCUUCCUCCCUCCCUUCUUUCCCUUUUUUCGAUGCUUGUGCUUUGCACCUUGGUGCACCACACAAGCUGCACUUGUACUUGUACCUGCUACUUCAUCAGGCUCUGGCCUGUUUUGAAAUAUAAGGUCGGCAGCCUGCCACCUUCUUUGUUUUAAAAAAAAGAACAGCCAGCGAGCGAAUCAUCAAUCACGAAGCGAGCCAGAAGAAGCAUGUGCCUCGGAUCGUGGGGAGCGCCGCAACCUUUCCGUCGCUCGAAACUGCGUGCUCUGCAGUAACUCCAGGGAAAUGGCUGGCCAUCUUGCAGUUGGCUACCAUUUCUCUCGUGAAGUUUGGUGGCCACGCUGAGGCGUUGCGGUCUUGCUCACCACACAGACACCGACCAUUUACACGUUGUGUGCCUGGUGGCCUCACACUCGGAAUGUACUCUCCAAACCGGCAUGCAAAAGAUUCGACAUCCUGGCACUGCUCACCCUCUGGAAACUAUGGACUUUCAAUGGCGCCCCGAGCACCACUAGGCAGGUCUACGCCGUCAUCGCAAUGGAGGGCGACUUAUGGAAGAAGGCAGCACCGCUGCUGGGUUGCAAGCUAUUUGGAAACAGUGGCGUGUGUGUAGAUUGGUAGGCAUAGUUUAAAUUCGAAAGAUGCGGGACCAAACUCUUCUAUCUGGUGUAACUCACGGUGCCAACUCUCGUCCAAUUAACAAGAUACUAUAUUGAAUCCUUCAAAGAAAACACAAGAUAUAUUGAAACCUACCGACUGCAUGUGAAGCUAGUAAAUACAUUAAUUGGAGCUAGCUUUUGGACCAUACUCAUGUGUGGUGUGCGGCUAUAUAUUGCACACACAUAUAUGUGAAAUUCAUAAUUUAGUUGUGCUAGCAACAAAAGUAGAAGGGAUAUAUCAGGGUCAAUAUACAAUAGUUCAAUCUACUGGGUGUGCAACCACUACGGUAUUAGAGAUUGGUCAUUUAGCUAUACUCGCAGUGACCAUACACAUUGGAAAAGGAGACAUCUGGAAAUGAGGGGAAACAAUAUGCUUAGAACUAGAUCGAAGAUAUCUAUGGCGUCGAGCACCCUACAUGGUAGGACACCAUAUAGGACACCAUGUAGUCUGUUGCCUCAAGCUUUCUUUUGUUUUGAAAGAUCCAUCUGGUGCCUGGCUUUAUAUUGAUCAAAGCAGGGAGCAUAUGGGAAGAGUACAAAGGUGUAUUGUGAUCCAAGGAUCAAUGAGAAAAUAAAAAAAAGAGGCGCCACUAGGCAACCCUUCCAGCUCCUAACAAGCUUGCCAUGAUACUACUAAGUCUUGGCUAAAUUCUCGCACUUUCAUCCCCAAAAGGGGGCUCAAUGAAUUUUACACUCGCCUGGCACCAGAGUUCAAAAUUGCGUCUGACAACUAUAAUGCCGCUCACCGAAGCAAUCUUGGCUCGGAAAGUGCACUCAUUUCUUUCUUGCCAGAUCCUCCAAAGUAUUAGCAGCGCUAGGUCUUCGGCGGCUUUUUGAACUUUGAUUGGGCCGCGUUGAUCAAACACACUCAAAAUCAUAGUCUUUACUAUCAAACACAUGCGAACUGGCUGGGAUUUAUGAAAAAGCCCUCUCGACUACCGUUGCUUAUGAAGCUGCUUUUUCCUCAACGUCAGACGAUCUGUUUUCAUUAUUUGAAAAUAAUAAUAAUUUGCGCCUAGCUGGUGUUGAAUGUUUCUUUUGCUGGCACGCAAGCAGAGGAUAUUCACCAACCGCCUCCACCGAAGCUUGUCUGUGUUGUAAAGAAGCCGAAUCAAAAGCUCAUCUUCUCAUACAUUGCUCAGUUCCUAGGGUGAUGUGGACGAUUAUUGACUCUCUCAACAUUACUCCGGACGACUACACCUCCUUAACUCCUUUCAUGUUGAGUCAUCUCCGAGCCGGCAAAUAAAGUAAGGAACGCAGUAAUUAUGGCUCGCUUAUUGAAUAUCUAGAAGUGCCGGAGCGCACAAGUUUUCAGGAACUAGAAUGAAGACCUUCAAGUUGUCAUCUCUAGGUCUGCAAAUGAUAUUUUUCGUUGGUCAAACAGAUGUGAAAAUGAAUCCAAUCCAAAAGGCGAAUAGUCUAUGACAAUUGACAAAGACUUAAUGUGUGUGUCUUUGUUUCUGGAGUAGUUUGGGUAGCUUUGUUCUUAUCUCCCCGCUUCUUUGUAUAUGGCAGUGACGGUGUCAAAACCGGCGGAUCUCGGGUAGGGGGUCCCAAACUAUGCGUCUAAGGUCAAUGGUAACAGGAGACAGGGGACACAAUGUUUUAGCCAGGUUCGGGCCCUCUCUAUGGAGGUAAUACCCUACGUCCUGCUUGAUUGAUCUUGAUGAAUAUGAGUAUUACAAGAGUUGAUCUAUCACGAGAUCAUAAUGGCUAAACCCUAGAGGCCUAGGUUGUAUGGUUAUGAUAAUGUAUAUCUCCCUCCGGACUAAGUCCUCCGGUUUAUAUAGACACCGGGAGGAUCUAGGGUUAGACAAGGUCGGUUACAAAGAAAGGAAUCUACAUAUUUGGUCGCCAAGCUUGCCUUCCACGUCAAGGAGAGUCCCAUCCGGACACGGGUGCCAUCUUCGGUCUUCGUAUAUUCACAGCCCAUCAGUCCGGCCCAUGGCUAACAGGCCGGACGCCCGAUGACCCCUUAGUCCAGGACUCCCUCAGUACCCCCUGAACCUAGCUUCAAUGACAACGUAUCCGUCGCGUAGAUCUGUCUUCGGCAUUGCAAGGCGGGUUCCUUCCUCCGAACUCCAAGAUAGUCUUCGGACGUAUUUGAACGUGUCCGGACCUUUGUAUUGAUCUUAUAUUUAUUGACCUUUGUAUUGCUGCUCAAUGUUCUAAGCAUGGAUAUAAUGACUCUCUCAUUUUGUUAUUAUUGCCAUGUAAAUGUUGUCAUUACUUGUUUAUUUGGUAUAGUAAGUACAUUUGAUUGAGACUAAUAUCCUGUUACUUGACAUGGCAGUGACUAUCUCUUUAAGCUUCUGCUCAUCGGAGACUCAGGUGUUGGCAAGUCAUGCCUUCUCUUAAGAUUUGCCGUAAGAAUCCCUAUCUAAAGCAUGAUUUGUCCACUAUCUUUUAUAGGUCUUCCCUUUUUUAAUAUGCAUCUUCAUCUUAAAAGUUUGAUACAAGUUGUCUUCGGGAUAUCAUGGAAACUGUCAAUUUAUUUUUAGCCUCAGUAAACUGUAUGAUUUCCCACUACUUAAUACGAAUGAGGAGUUCAUUGUUGGUAGCUACUGUUUCUUAACAACAUGGAGAUGACCCCUAUAACAUUCUUGUUGUUACUAGUUAAUUUACUCUGACCUCCUUAAUAUUGACUCUUUUGGCAGGAUGACUCGUACCUGGAGAGUUAUAUCAGUACUAUUGGUGUUGAUUUCGUAAGUAUAUUUACUUUCUUGGUCUGAGUGUUGAUGUUCUGGCUACCUUAAUUGAACUUGUAGUUUUGUUUUCUUCCAACUUUGUCGAUAGAAAAUACGUACCGUGGAGCAAGAUGGAAAGACUAUGAAGCUGCAAAUCGUGAGUCUAUUCUUUCUUUCAUUAUGUCCAGUAUGCAUGUACCAUCAAAUCCAGAUUGUACAUCGAAUCCAGAUUUGACAAAAUAGAAGACUUUAUCGGGAAACAUUUCAUUUAUAGCCCUCUUCUGUUUUGUGGAGUUUGCUAGAUUUUCCCUUUGCAUAAUAUAGCAUGCCGUUAUUCAUCAGUAUUUAUGUGGUUGUUAGUUGAGGCCAGUUCACAGGAAACAGAAACUCCACUAUGCCUGAAUAUGUAGGCAGUUGCACAACCCCUUUUUACCUUUUGGAUUUUUUAGUUCCAUCCAUUUAAAUUACUGUUGAACAUAAAGAAUAAGAGUAGUUUAGCCCAUUAAAUUAAAUGUUAUAAAGUUUCUUAGUUCGCAUAAAGAAUCGCACUUUCAAGAUGUUUUUAGAUACCAAAGUGAUGCCCAUUUUGAACAUCAUAUUUAGGGGCCUGAUAGUAUGUCAUUUAAAUACUUGGGUGGUACGGUAGAUCAUGCUGCACCUACUGUUGGCAUUUGGCGAUUCUUCCUUCCUUUUGUGUGACACAUUACAUUUAGUGAUGCAAGAUAUCAUUUUCCUUUUCUUUAAACCCCUCUUUGGUACCUUUGUUUUUAUCAGUGGGACACUGCUGGGCAAGAACGCUUCAGAACUAUUACUAGCAGCUACUAUCGAGGGGCUCACGGGAUCAUUGUAAGUUUGUUUAUGUGAAAUCUUAUUUUUAUUUUUCACAUGCUAUUUAACAUGCAUAAAUGUCCACUUUUCAUAUAUUUUGAAUACAUAUAUACAAAUGGGGUUGCAGAUUGUCUAUGACGUGACAGACCAGGACAGCUUCAACAAUGUGAAGCAGUGGUUGAACGAGAUUGGUCACUAUGCUAGUGAGAAUGUUAAACAAGCUUCUUAUAGGGAACAAAUCUGAUCUCACUGACAAAAGAGUUGUAUCAUAUGAGACAGCGAAGGUACCUUAUGCUUUACUCAUAUCUGCUGAAGCAUUUUUUCUGCUCUUUGUGUUUACAUUUGGUGUAUGCAGGCAUUUGCUGAUGAGAUUGGCAUCCCAUUCAUGGAGACCAGUGCAAAGAAUGCCUUGAACGUUGAGCAGGCUUUCAUGGCUAUGUCUGCUUCAAUCAAGGACAGGUGUGUGUUCCCAGACGGUUUAAUUAGCACAGGCCAUCCUACCAGUACACUUUUUUUUAACUACCAUCAUUUUACACUUUAUUUAUUGCUCAUUGAUGCUCUGUUCGUAUAGUAUCAUAACCAAAAUUGUCCUACACUCUUUAGCAUGUUGCUGUUAACUGUUCUAUGUUAUUCCUCACGGUGUUGUUCUAUAUACACCUCAUAGAAAGAGCAUAUAAUUAUGAAUACAAAUCUUGGUUUCCAGGAUGGCGAGCCAGCCAGCCGCAAACAACACUCGCCCAGCCACGGUGCAGAUACGCGGGCAACCUGUCGAACAGAAGACGAGCUGCUGCUCUUCUUGAAAUGCAGGCAGCCGCCAUCCGUGUUACCCAAAUGGAGACGCAAACUUGGCCGCGCCAUCCUUGAGUCCAUGCUUCUACAUAGGCCUACUACAUCUUACACCUUCAUUCCAUUCUUUCUAGUGUACUUAUUAGCUCUUGAAUCGUUGGACUUGUAACACCGGAUGGAGUUUGGAGACAGUAUCUUCUUCUAGUUGUGUAUCUUGAAUGGUUAUAUGUUACGAUUUGCAGCUGUUGCUUUUCUUCCCUAAAUUUAAGGCGAUUUAUACUUUUACUUGACCAAAAUGUUCGGUUCUUCAAAAUAUUAUCUGACAGUAUGCUUAUCUUUGUGGUAAAAAAGGUCCUGGUUAUAGUUUUCAAGGUGACUUGUUGAUUGUUGAAGGCAGCAUUAGGAAUGUGCACAACAUGACAAGUUAAUUGCCAACAUUAAAUCAGUUGGGGCAUGUUUGGUUGCCUGCAUCUUUUGUAUCAGUGGGCCAGGUUGAGUUGCCUGUAUUUGUGCUAUUGGUAUGCAAAGCAGAGCUGUUUUGCUCAUCCCGUGGUGGUCUUACACACAACUGCAGCACUUCAUAUCAUACAUAACAUAAGACCAACAUAAUACAAUUAACAGUACAAAUAAAAACCAUAGCUAAAUAGUUCAGAAUAGCUAAUUAGACCAUAGUUUAAGACAUCAAAGGCAUCCCAUGCCCCUGCACGACCCUAGGGUGUUGAACCCUGAGCAAAAUAUAUAGUUUUGCACUAAGUUGAGCAAAAUAUACAGUUUUGCAGUAAGUUCAGACGAUCAAGCCUAGCCUGAAGAGCCACAUGACGAGCUAGUCGCUGUGGAUGAUUGUGUGGCGCCGACAGAAGUAGUCUCAACUGCUCCCGAGCACCAUCUGCCCCUGAAAUGUAUGGCCCUACACCUAGAACUCACACCACUUGUUGGCAGAGGCUGACAACACCAGGAGGGUUGACGACUGCCAUUUCUUUAUCACCGUCCUAAAGGCAGGCGGGAUGACCAGCAUGGUGAUCUCUUCCUCGUUCUUGAUUUGCACGUAGAACCCGACUAACGCCCGUGUAUAUAGAGUAAAUUGCUCAAAGCCACUACAUUUGUGGCUAGAGUACUCUAAAACCACCACUUUUGCCAGAAAUCACAAAAAACCACCACUUCCGCGGCAAGUGAGUAACAAAUCACACUGAUUUGGAAUUGAACGCAUUUAACAGCAAAACUGACAUGUGGGACCCGUCUAUCCGGGCUGAUGUGGCAAAGACUAGUCCUAGUCAAUGGUUGACCUGCUAAGGUGGACGGGGGUCCUACCUGUCAGCCACACCUCUUGUCUUCUCUCUCCUCUCCUUCUUCUCGAUAAAGCGGAAUCCCAGCCGCCAUGCCAUGGCCGGCGCAGAGAGAAGCAGGCCGCGCCCGCCUAGCUCCCCUCCUCCUGAUCCGGCGGAAGCCGCCCGCCGGUGCCGGAGCUCUACGCCGCCGGUGGCGCCACGCCCUGCCUCCCCCAUUUCUCCUAGAUCCGAUGGGAUCCCAGCGCCGGCAAGCCAAGGUCGGGCGAACUCCUCCUAGCCUCGACGCCCCGCCCCGCUACGACAACCACUGCUGCUGGCCAUGGCCAGAGGCGAGCUCCUUCCCCUCACGCCACAGGCAACCUCUCCCAUCCCUGUCUUCCUCGCGAGCGCUGGCACGAGAGCCGCGGGAGCCAGAGGCGGGGAAGGUGUGCUGCUCGCCAUGGUAACGCUGGUGGCGGCGACGCACCGGGAACCCCAAGGCGCGGCUAGCGAACUUCUUCGCAGGCUUCGGCUCCGGCGGCGUGCUGGUGGCGCGCGACACCGACGACGCGCGUCGACUCUCUCCCUGUCUUCCUCGCGAGCGCCGGCACGAGAGCCACAUGAGCCAGGGCGGGGAAUGUGUGCUGCUCACCGUGGCAACGCUGGUGGCGGCGGCGCACCGGGAACCCCAAGGCGCAACUAGCGGACUUCUUCGCAGCCUCCGGCGUGCUGGUGGCCACGACACCGACGACGCACGUCGACUCUUCUCCGCGGAGGACGCGCUAGUGAGUGGGGCGGCCUGGUGAGAGGGGACCGGCUCGCCGUGCGCAGAGGAGGGGCGGAGCUCGUCGAGGUGCGUACGGAGGGGCAACAUCUCCGGAGAAGUGCUGGACCGACGGAGUAGGUGUUGUGCGUGCACAUGAAGUACUCGACGAAAUGCCAGAGCCUAGUCACCUGUCUACGUGUUUAUUCUUUGCCAAGUCAGCCUGCAUGUGGGCCAGGCAUGCCAGUUUUUCACUUAGUCACGGCUGACAGCUCGUUUAGUGCAUUUUGUUACUCACUUGCCGCGGAAGUGGUGGUUUUUGUGAUUUCUGACAAAAGUGGUGGUUUUGGAGUACCCUAGCCACAAAUGUGGUGGCUUUCAGCAAUUUACUCGUGUAUAUACGGUUCAAAUCUCGUUUUUAUACAUCCAUCCAUGACGCUGAUGAGGCAUGCCAGGGUGUAAGGGACAAGGCGUGUCGCCUACUUUUGUUUUGCGGAAAACCCCCCAAAAUAAUUGUUUUCUUAUAAAAAAGGCCCUCAAAGAAAAACUAAUAAACUGUAAAAUUAACUAUUAAUCAAUUUAUAAUAUUUAAAAAUAGUCCGGGGUUCGAACCAGCGACACAGGUGUGCGUGGCUAGCCAGCCGACCGGUUCAAAUUUGGAGGUGUUUGGUUCACAAUUUUACACCCGGUAUCUGAUUACAUCGCAAACCGAUACCGUUAAUCAUGUUUGCUUCGCUUUGCAGAUCCCGCAUAGACAGGUCCCAUCACAGUUUACGUUACAGCCAGAGCGAGCCGACUCGGGCGAAUUCUUCUGGCUUCGAUCCCCAAUCCCGGCCCAGUCCCGUGCUAGCUGCCUAGACGUGGGGUUCCUGUUUGUUUCAUUUCUUUUUACGCUGGGGCUCUCAUUUUCUUGCCGGUAUCCAUUACCGUUAGACACUUAACCAAACAAGAAUGGAUUUUGGCCGAUAUCGUUUACAUCAACGGAGUAAACCCAUUACGUUUACGUUUCCGUUCCACUUUUGGAACCAAACACCUUAGUGUUUAGAAAGGAUUCAUAUGAUCCUAAAAAAAAGGAAUCGUAUACUUUGUAAACAUAAAGCUGAACGACAUAAAUUAAACUUUUUUAUUUGCAGCCGCACAUACUACUCCGACCGACAACAUCAGAUGGCAAAAUGAUAGAUUUAGGUUUAUGACAUAACGAGCCCUUCCUGAAGGCGUUGCUGUUGAAGAAUCCCGUCAUUCGCGCGGUGCCAUGACAUAGUUGGUGCGGAUAUGGUCAUUGUUGUAGUUUGCCUAUUAUGGAUUUGGUCGCUCAGAUUUUUUUUUUCAUCGUCUACGCAUGGCUUUGGUCUUAUAUGACUUUGCUAUUUGCUGACGUGAUGUGUGCGUGCGUUAGUGUUGGCUAUGUGCAUCCUAGCUAUGCAGAGGCCGGGUGUGCUCAUUAUGUUUGUAUCCUCUUGAUGCCUCAUUUUGAGCUAAUAAAAUACACUCUUUGUCGAGAAAAAUGACAUAACGAGCCGUGUGGCUAAAACGGACCACAGUGUGGCUCAGUUUUGAACGUGUUUGUUUUUUUCAUUUCAUUUUUAAAAUAUAUUAAUUAUAAUUGUGUGUUACAAACAAUAUACAAUAUUUAAAACAAAUUACAAUAUUUAAAACAAAGUAUUUUUCAAGUUUAGGCACUAGAAUGCAUAUUCAUGACAAGUUCAAGCACCACAAAUGUAUUUACCUCGGAAAGUAAUAAAAAACACACACAAGAAAAUCAGAAAAUAAAACCCCGGGCCAAAACCAGAACAGCCAGCAAGAUUUCCAGAAUGGUCAAAAACUCAGUCUGGCCACGGAUUACUUUAAGGGAAUCUUGGGUCAGCCUGCCCCCUCGAUGAACACAGUGGACGUACAGUCACUAUACACUUCACUUGAUCUAUCUGCCCUGACGGUACGGUUUUCUUGGGCUGAAAUCGUACAAGCCAUCAGCUGCUCACCCAAUAACAGAAGUCCGGGCCCUGACGGUUUCACCAAUGAGUUUUACAAGGCUUUCAAGUUGCUGCUAAAGGAUGACCUGCUCCGUUUUUUUGAUGAUUUCCACAGAAAUGUGGUUGAUCUUACUGGUAUUAACUCCGCUUUCAUCACCCUGCUACCUAAAAUGGAUACGCCCCUGGAGAUGCGGGACUUCAGUCCGAUUUCCCUCGUACAUAGCAUACCCAAACUGGUUUCUAAGGUUCUGGCUUGUAGGCUGAAAGCAUGGAUUCCUCUCUUGAUUCACUCUCUCCAGUCUGGCUUCUUGCGGGGCAGAUCGAUUAUAGAAGACUUUACCCUGGCUGCCGAAAUGAUCCAAUACGCACACAAACGGAAAAUGCCAGUCAUUGCUUUGAAGUUGGAUUUUCACAAAGCUUUUGACAGCGUCAGUUGGUCCUGUUUGCACAAAGUACUUGAAGCCAGAGGGUUUUCUCAGCUGUGGAUUAGUUGGAUUCAAAUGCUUUUGUCAACCGGCAGCUCUAAAGUCCUUAUUAAUGGCCAGUUGGGUGCCCCCAUCCGGGCUAAGCGUGGUUUUCGGCAAGGCGAUUCCUUAUCCCCUUAUCUUUUCAUUAUCGUUGCGGACGUGCUACAGAGAAUGUGCUGCAAAUUGUUCCAAGAUGGUUCCUUGCUACACCCACUUGGUUCAGACAGUUUCUUCCCGGUUCUGCAAUACGCGGAUGACACGCUGAUUCUUUUCCAAGGCACUACGCAGCAGGCGGCAAUUGAUAAGUCAGCACUCACAACUUCCUCUGCUUUCUCUGAGCUCACCAUAAAUUUCCACAAGAGCACUCUCGUACCUGUUGCCGCGUAGACCAUCACUGCUUCGGCCAUCGCGCAGAUCCUAGGCUGCCCCGUUUCAUCCUUUCCAUGCAACUACCUGGGCCUGCCUCUCUCUCCGCACAAGAUUACGCAUGGUAUGUUACUGCCUGUUAUACACAAGGUCGACCGUCGUCUUUCGGGCUGGUUAGCUACUUUCCUAUCCUUAGGGGGUAGAUUGAACCUUAUCAACUCAGUGCUCGCUGGUAUCCCAAGUUAUUUCAUGUCAUGCUUUCCCUGGCCCAAGGAAUCUCUUGGAAAAUUGGAAAGUCUCUCACGUGCUUUUUUCUGGCAAGGCAAGAAUAAGGUCAAGGGGGGUCAAUGCUUAGUAGCUUGGGAUACAAUCUCGUUACCUCGUAUCAAUGACGGUUUGGGUAUCCGUCAGCUGCAGGCUCACAACCAAGCUAUGAUGUGCAAGUUUGUCUCCAAAGUUAUACAAGGUUCGGACAUACCAUGUUAUAACUGGUUCGCCACACAUUAUUGCCGGGCUAUCCUUCCACAAAGUGUUAGUAGCAGAGACACUGCCAUCUGGAAAGGGUUCAAAGAUCUUGUUCCUAUGGUCAUCAACUCCUCUAAAUGUGUUCUGGGGUCUGGUCUUUUGAUUUCAUUCUGGAAGGACCAGUGGCUUGAAGCGGGCCGUUUAUACCAGUUGUUCCCUAUGCUGUAUUCCUUCGCAAUCCAGCCAGAUUUCUCCGUGCACUCACAACACUCCAACGGUUCAUGGGCUGUUCAGCUACACCAUAAUCUCUCUCAAACGGCCUCAGCCGCGCUUGCUGUCCUGCAUGAUUUGUUGCUGGGCAUUGCUCCGAACUUACUGCAUGAGGACCAACGGACUGCUUCCGUGAGCUCUGGACAACUUUGCACUGGUUAUUUCUACAGGCUACUCACUUUCCGGGGGGUUUUGUCAACUCUUGACACCUGGGUUUGGGAGGCAAUGAUCCCCCUCAAGCACAGAAUCUUCCUAUGGCUUGCUUUCCGUGGUGGUCUAAACACUAAGGAUAACAUGGUAAAGAAGGGUUGGUCCGAGGCUUCCCCGUUUGCGCAUUGUGACACUUGCCCCGCUGUUGAGACCAUCGAUCAUUUAAUACUACGAUGUGCAUCCGCCAGUGUUCUUUGGGGCAAGUUGGAACUUGACGUUUUGGCUUGCUCAACUACUAACGUUCUAUGUUUUGUGGAGCAAGCGCAACACCAGCUCAGUUUGAAGCAAAAAUGGAAUGUUGCUUUCACGGCUUGUGCUGUCACCUUUUGGCAUGCUAGGAAUGACAGAGUCUUCAACUCAAAAGUAUGGUCUGUAACAUACACCUGUUUAUAUAUGCAGCAGGCAUGCUCCGUCUUUGGAGUCUCAGAACUCAAAGCCAGCGUACCAGGGAGGUUCUCCAGGUUUGGAGACACAAGCUGCUGCAUAAUUCGUAGACGCCUGAUGUAAUCUUCCCCUCCUCUCUUCCUCCCUCCCUUCUUUCCCUUUUUUCGAUGCUUGUGCUUUGCACCUUGGUGCACCAAACAAGCUGCACUUGUACUUGUACCUUCUACUUCAUCAGGCUCUGGCCUGUUUUGAAAUAUAAGGUCGGCAGCCUGCCACCUUCUUUGUUUUUAAAAAAAAGAACAGCCAGCGAGCGAAUCAUCAAUCCCGAAGCGAGCCAGAAGAAGCAUGGGCCUCGGAUCGCGGGGAGCACCGCAACCUUUCCGUCGCUCGAAACUGCGUGCUCUGCAGUAACUCCAGGGAGAUGGCUGGCUAUCUUGCAGUUGGCUACCAUUUCUCUCGUGAAGUUUGGUGGCCACGCUGAGGCGUUGCGGUCUUGCUCACCACACAGACACCGACCAUUUACACGUUGUGUGCCUGGUGGCCUCACACUCGGAAUGUACUCUCCAUACCGGCAUGCAAAGGAUUCGACAUCCUGGCACUGCUCACCCUCUGGAAACUAUGGACUUUCAAUGGCGCCCCGAGCACCACUAGGCAGGUCUACGCCGUCAUCGCAAUGGAGGGCGACUUAUGGAACAAGGCAGCACCGCUGCUGGGUUGCAAGCUAUUUGGAAAUAGUGGAGUGUGUGUAGAUUGGUAGGCAUAGUUUAAAUUCAAAAGAUGCGGGACCAAACUCUUCUAUCUGGUGUAACUCACGGUGCCAACUCUCGUCCAAUUAACAAGAUACUAUAUUGAAUCCUUCAAAGAAAACACAAGAUAUAUUGAAACCUACCGACUGCAUGUGAAGCUAGUAAAUACAUUAAUUGGAGCUAGCUUUUGGACCAUACUCAUGUGUGGUGUGCGGCUAUAUAUUGCACACACAUAUGUGAAAUUCAUAAUUUAGUUGUGCUAGCAACAAAAGUAGAAGGGAUAUAUCAGGGUCAAUAUACAAUAGUUCAAUCUACUGGGUGUGCAACCACUACGGUAUUAGAGAUUGGUCAUUUAGCUAUACCCGCAGUGACCAUACACAUUGAAAAGGAGACAUCUGGAAAUGAGGGGAAACAAUAUGCUUAGAACUAGAUCGAAGAUAUCUAUGGCGUCGAGCACCCUACAUGGUAGGACACCAUAUAGGACACCAUGUAGUCUGUUGCCUCAAGCUUUCUUUUGUUUUGGAAGAUCCAUCUGGUGCCUGGCUUUAUAUUGAUCAAAGCAGGGAGCAUAUGGGAAAAGUACAAAGGUGUAUUGUGAUCCAAUGAUCAAGGAGAAAAUAAAAAAAAAGAGGCGCCACUAGGCAACCCUUCCAGCUCCUAACAAGCUUGCCAUGAUACUACUAAGUCUUGGCUAAAUUCUCGCACUUUCAUCCCCAAAAGGGGGCUCAAUGAAUUUUACACUCGCCUGGCACCAGAGUUCAAAAUUGCGUCUGACAACUAUAAUGCCGCUCAUCGAAGCAAUCUUGGCUCAGAAAGUGCACUCAUUUCUUUCUUGCCAGAUCCUCCAAAGGAUUAGCAGCGCUAGGUCUUCGGCGGCUUUUUGAACUUUGAUUGGGCCGCGUUGAUCAAACACACUCAAAAUCAUAGUCUUUACUAUCAAACACAUGCGAACUGGCGGGAUUUAUGAAAAAGCCCUCUCGACUACCGUUGCUUAUGAAGCUGCUUUUUCCUCAACGUCAGACGAUCUGUUUUCAUUAUUUGAAAAUAAUAAUAAUUUGCGCCUAGCUGGUGUUGAAUGUUUCUUUUGCUGGCACGCAAGCAGAGGAUAUUCACCAACCGCCUCCACUGAAGCUUGUCUGUGUUGUAAAGAAGCCGAAUCAAAAGCUCAUUUUCUCAUACAUUGCUCAGUUCCUAGGGUGAUGUGGACGAUUAUUGACUCUCUCAACAUUACUCCGGACGACUACACCUCCUUAACUCCUUUCAUGUUGAGUCAUCUCCGAGCCGGCAAAUAAAGUAAGGAACGCAGUAAUUAUGGCUCGCUUGUUGAAUAUCUAGAAGUGCCGUAGCGCACAAGUUUUCAGGAACUAGAAUGAAGACCUUCAAGUUGUCAUCUCUAGGUCUGCAAAUGAUAUUUUUCGUUGGUCAAACAGAUGUGAAAAUGAAUCCAAAAGGCGAAUACUCUAUGACAAUUGACAACGGGGUUAUGCUUUCAAGACUUAAUGUGUGUGUCUUUGUUUCUGGAGUAGUUUGGGUAGCUUUGUUCUUAUCUCCCCGCUUCUUUGUAUAUGGCAGUGACUACAAAUUUAUAAAAGAAAAGGUUCAGGAUGGAUUUUAGCCCGCCGUAGUUACCCCCCACCCCUCCCCAUUACUGCUUAGUGGUACUGCCUGGCUUAAAAGGACAGAGUUCUUUGAUGCUCAACCACAUGUACCACUCCUACUAAUCCGAGCAGGGGACCACUAUUUAGUGGUGGUUUAUUCUAAUGCAGCAAACAUGGCUUCUAGUCAACCUUCAAGUUCAUCGAUUGAACACCUUCUCUCCUAUUGGCCGGCUAGCGGGCUGGGUGAACGAUCUCUUUGUUUGCUCCAGUCCAGAGUGGUGGUUGGUUUUGGCAAGUUAUGGCCUGUGUUGCUGAUGGUGUGAUCCUCUAAAAAGUACAAGAAAGAACUCCAUUAUAUUCUUUUUGCUAAUAAUGUAAGUUUUGAAUGGACCAAUCGGUCCCAUGAUUUUUUUACAUCUCACGUUAUGUGGAUCAAGCGGAUAUGUCGGUGGUACGUUCUUGUCAUGAUCGUCGGUAAUAUACUCGCCUGGAUCGUAACCCUCUACUUUCAGUAUUUGUGCCCGUCCGAAUCAUGUUGCACCUUAAAAAUGGUCUAUUAAGCUAGGAAAUACUUGGUAAAAAGAUGUAAAAUCAGUAAAAAAAUAAAAUAAAAAAUUCCAAAAAUGAACCAUGAGAUCUAAAAAUUAUUAUAUGUAAGAACUAGCAUGGUAGUCCAAGCAAUUGUGCAAUGAACAUCUUGAUUUUCCCUCAUUAUAAAUACACCUUUAGGGUACUUAAAAACAAUAAUUUUCAGUUAAAAACAUUGAAAUUUUACACACCACUGAGCAACAAGGCCUUUAGCUAAUAUUGUCGGGCAGAUUGAAAUUCAAAAGAUGAGGGACCAAACUUUUCUAGUUUAAGUCACCGUACCAACUCUAAUAUAAUUAACAAGAUAAGUUGAACGCUGCCAACUGCGCGCCAAGCUAGUAAAGACAUUAAUUGGAGCUACCUCUUGAACAGUACUCAAACGGUGUGCAGCUGUAUAUAUAUAUACACUCUAUGCAUAUAUGAAAUUCACAAUUUAGCUGCACUACCAACCUAAACAGAAAGGAUCUGUUCAACUUACUAGGUGUACAACCACUGCUGUAUGAGAUCGACCGUCUAACUGUACGUGCAUAAUUCAUAUAUGUAGGAAAUGGAGGCACCGGGAAACGAGGGGAAACCAUAUGCUGUUGUGCCACCUCUCAUCGCGUGUCACCGUUUUGUGAUUCACACCCAGGAUCGUAUGCACCACACAUCGUUCACUCCGAAAACUGCACGUGCUAGGCUAGCUUCUUCAUACAUUCGUCUCUUCACUACAUUGAAUAAUGAUAAAAUCUCUCCUCCGACCAUAAUAGGCAACCGCUCGUCCCUGCACACUUGAUCAGCAAGGAGGCCACGAAUACAAGGAAGCUUAGUAACUUUUAGGGCUAGUAAGCUUGCACGUGCAACAACAUGUAUAAUAUUUAGAUUUUAUUGAGUAAAAUUUGUUUUUGAAUCCUUAAAACCUAAUCCCCUAAUUCAGGACAAGAAACUCACUAAUUUCAAUUAUUAGCAUCCCCAAUCACAUUUUCCAAAUGGAUUGUCGGCUGUUUCUAUCAGCAAGACAUGGGGCACUCUUGGGCAGGUCUCUAAGCACGCUCGAGUCAUUCAUUAUGCAAAUUAGUGGUGAUGAUGAACAAAAUCUAAGGAUUGAGAGCGUAAUGAAGAGAAGAGAGUAGAGCAGAAACCAAUAGGCAAUGAAAGGGAGAAGGGUGACCAUCGACAUUCAGGAGGGAGUGUCGGUGUCAAAACCGGCGGAUCUCGGGUAGGGGGUCCCGAACUGUGCGUCUAAGGUCGAUGGUAACAGGAGACAGCGGACAAAAUGUUUUACCCAGGUUUGGGCCCCUAUGGAGGUAAUACCCUACGUCCUGCUUGAUUGAUCUUAAUGAAUAUGAGUAUUACAAGAGUUGAUCUACCACGAGAUCGUAAUGGCUAAACCCUAGAGGCCUAGGUUGUAUGGUUAUGAUAAUGUAUAUCUCCCUCCGGACUAAGUCCUCCGGUUUAUAUAGACACCGGGAGGAUCUAGGGUUACACAAGGUCGGUUACAAAGAAAGGAAUCUAUAUAUUUGGUAGCCAAGUUUGCCUUCCACGCCAAGGAGAGUCCCAUCUGGACACGGGUGCCGUCUUCGGUCUUCGUAUAUUCACAGCCCAUCAGUCCAGCCCAUGGCUAACAAGCCGGACGCCCGAUGACUCCUUAGUCCAGGACUCCCUCAGUACCCCCUGAACCUGGCUUCAAUGACAAUGUAUCCGGCGCGUAGAUCUGUCUUCGGCAUUGCAAGGCGGGUUCCUUCCUCCAAACUCCAAGAUAGUCUUCGGACGUAUUUGAACGUGUCCGGACCUGUAACACAACACCACACACAACCGCGGAGAGAAUAUAAUAUUCCACGAGUCCAAUCUGAUGACAACUUUUAUAACGUGACGUCACACUCGCCCAGUUUUUCGAGCCGUUUCCUGUCCCGCCGUUCCACGUUUUGAGGCGCGGUUGCUAUUGGCACGCUCUGUCGAAACAGAGAUUGUGUCCCUUUAUUGCGGGAUUCUCAUUAACACGAGUGUGGGUAACCCAACUGUUCUGUUGGAAAGAUCCCUUAGGAAUAGGCAGGCUUUCAGGCUCAAGAGGAGGCGUUUAAUUCCUGGUGCCUUUAUAAAGGAACCAAGGGCCGUCCUUUUUGACGCCAAACUUCUCCUCAGCCUCUCGAACCUCGAGUUCUAGCACCCAAGGUUUUGACUUCGUUGCUCCGAGCUUCCCCAUUAUGUCCGGACCCAGCCCUCAAGGCCAAUGGGUGGCUUCCUCUAUUACAGAGGAGGACAUUAUGAAGCUUCGAGCGGCCAGAUACCUGACAGCGGAAAUCCACCACAGACUUCCUGCUCAAGGGAAGGUUAUCCCGACCCCCAGAUCUGGCAAGAGGGUCGUAUUCAUCUCACACUUCCUUCGAGGGCUAGGGCUCGCUCUUGAUCCCUUCAUCCGGUGGCUAAUGUUCUAUUAUGGACUAGAUUUUCACGAUCUAGCCCCAGAGUCUUUCCUCCAUGUCUCAGCGUUCAUCAUUACGUGCGAGGCCUUCCUUCGAAUCCCCCACACUUCGGCUUAUGGCUCAAGACCUUCAGUGUGAAACCAAAGAUAGUCGACGGGGAACAGGUGGAGUGCGGUGGUGCUGUAGUCAGCCAGCUCACCAACACUCCUUGGCCAAAAGACUCCUUUAUUGAAACUUCCAAUCAAUGGCAGCGAGAGUGGUUUUACGUUAUGGAGCCCCGCUGAGGGAAUCUUGGAUUAGGGGGUCUCCGGACAGUGGGACUAUAUCCUUUGGCCGGACUGUUGGACUAUGAAGAUACAAGAUUGAAGACUUCGUCCCGUGUCCGGAUGGGACUCUACUUGGCGUGGAAGGCAAGCUAGGCAAUACGGAUAUGGAUAUCUCCUCCUUUGUAACCGACCUUAUGUAACCCUAGCCCCCCCGGUGUCUAUAUAAACCGGACGGUUUUAGUCCAUAGGACAACAUACAAUCAUACCAUAGGCUAGCUUCUAGGGUUUAGCCUCUCCGAUCUCAUGGUAGAUCAACUCUUGUACUACUCAUAUUAUCAAGAAUAAUCAAGAGGACGUAGGGUUUCACCUCCAUCAAGAGGGCCCGAACCUGGGUAAAACAUCGUGUCCCCUGCCUCCUGUUACCAUCUGCCUUAGACGCACAGUUCAGGAACCCCUACCCGAGAUCCGCCGGUUUUGACACCGACAUUGGUGCUUUAAUUGAGAGUUCCUCUGUGUCGUCACCGUUAGGCUUGAUGGCUCCUUCGAUCAUCAAUAGCUAUGUAGUCCAGGGUGAUACUUUUCUCCCCGGAUAUAUCUUUGUAUUUGGCGGCUUCGCACUGCGGGUCAACUCGCUUGGCCAUCUGGAGCAGAUCGAGAGUUAUGCCCCUGGCCACCAGGCCAGGUUUGGAAGCUUAAACUACACGACCGACAUCCGCGGAGACUUGAUCUUCGACGGAUUCGAGCCCCUGCCGAGUGCGCCGCACGGUCACGAUGAGCAUGAUUUAGCUCUGCCAUCGGACAGUGUUCAGGAGACCGCACCGGCAACCGCUCUAACCCUCAAUUCGGAGCCAAUUGUGCCAUCCAUGGACGGGUGGAUAGACCCCGCCACGGAGGCGGCACUCUCAUCGGCGAUCGAGCCGAAUAUCGACCUUACCCUUCACACAAGAGCCUGACAUCGAACUGCCGAAUUCUUCCCCGGCCACGGACUCCGAACCGCCUGCGCCCAUGCCUAUCAGAUCCAACUAGGCGCCGAUCAUGGAGUUCACCUCCGCGGAUAUCUUUCAGCACUCGCCCUUCGGCGACAUACUGAGCUCAUUAAGGUCUCUCUCCCUGUCAGGAGAGUCCUGGCCGAACUAUGUUCGGCAGGAUUGGGACGCGGAUGACGAAGAAAUUCGCCGCCCACCCACCAUGCCCACUUAGUAGCCACUGUCGACGAUUUGACCAACAUGCUCGACUUCGACUCCAAAGACAUCGACGGUAUGGACGACGAUACAGGAGAUGAACAGGAACCACUGCCGACAGGGCACUGGACGUCCACUUCAUCAUAUGAUGUAUACAUGGUGGACACACCCAAAGAAAACGACGAGGAGGAACGGAAGGAUGCAGUGAAGGGUUGUUCCCUCGAGAAGCAGUCAAAGCAGCAACGUAAGCGCCGCUCCAAAUCCCGCCUCGGUAGAAACAGUGAUCAUAUAGACCCAGCGUUAGAGCAGGGUGAAGCAUCGCCCGACCAUGGCAACACGGAGAAUCAAACCGAACAACCCGACUCCGUCAAAGAUAACAGUCCGGACGAGAUCACACCGGACAGGCACCCGGAGCAACAGAAUGUCCAUCAAAGGCUUGUUGCCACUGCGAGGUGUCUGAAAAAGCAGAAGCAAAGGCUCAGGGCUGCACAAGACACACUCAGAAUCAGAUGGAGUGAAGUACUCAACACUGCAGCGAAGUACGACGGUAAUCGCCACACCAAGAGCUACCCGAAGCGAAAGUUGCUACCUGAAUUCGACGAGGAGGCCUUAGAUCCCCCACAAUUGAAAAACAAAACGGCCAUCCGGUCGGAUAGACGACCUCAUGGCCAACAUAGAGCGGCAAACGACGCCGCACAUAAGCCAGUACGCGAUCCACACGAGGGCUCGCAUCAAAAGGACGGCGCAACCAGAUCCAUAUACGGGCCACGCAAGCGCGCUCCAGUAUGCAAUGCAACACAACAAACAUCCGAACAUCACGGUACACCCAAAUACAGGGGUGCCGCACACCCCCUAUGUUUCAUCGAUGAGGUGCUGGACCAUGAAUUUCUAGAGGGAUUCAAACCUGUAAACAUAGAGGCGUACGACGGAACGACAGACCCUGGGGUCUGGAUUGAGGACUACAUCCUCCAUAUCCACAUGGCUCGAGGAGACGAUCUCCAUGCCAUCAAGUACUUACUCCUCAAGCUCAAAGGGCCAGCUCGGCACUGGCUUAAAAGCCUCCCCGAAAACUCCAUUGGAAGCUGGGAAGAGCUCAAAGAUGCUUUUCGGGAAAAUUUUCAAGGGACCUAUGUCCGACCACCGGAUGCAGACGAUUUAAGUCAUAUAACUGAACAACCCGGAGAGUCAGCCCGAAAGCUUUGGAACAUGUUUCUCACUAAAAAGAACCAAAUAGUCGACUGUCCAGACACCGAAGCCUUAGUAGCUUUCAAGCACAGCGUUCGAGACGAAUGGCUCGCCAGGCACCUCGGCCAAGAAAAGCCGAGAACAAUGGCAGCAUUAACAAGCCUCAUGACCCGCUUUUGCACGGGCGAGGACAGGUGGUUAGCCCGGUGCAGCACCAGUGACCCAAGUACAUCCGAAGUCAGGGAUGAAAACGAGAAACCACGACACAGCAAAAACAAGCGCCGGAAUAAAGAAGACAGCCCGAAGAGCACGGCGGUAAACGCCGGAUUCAGAAGCUCUCGGCCAAGUCAGCAAAAGCUGCCCUCCAAAGGCAACAGAGACGAACUAUCCAGCCUAAACAAGAUUCUGGACAAAAUAUGUCAGGUCCACACACUACAAAAAAUACACUUCCAUGAUGAUACGUGUUUGUCACAGUAGGUCGCUUUUUUUGUCAUGCAUGUACAUCCAUGACAAAUUUAUGACAGAAUGAAGAUAGUCAUACCUGUGCUGUCGUAGAAGUGUUUCAUGACAUUACCAAAAUUAUCAUCACGGAAGUGUCCACUUCCACGAUGAUAAAUCGCGCGGCACAGAAGUGCUUUCAUCAAGGGUGACCGACACGUGGCAUCCACCAUAACAGAACGCCGUUAAGCUAUCGGGUCGGGUUUUGGAUCCGAUAACCCGUUAACAGCCCCGACCAAUGGGAAAUUUCCACGUGUAAAAUUCUUAUUGGGCGGACGAAACACGUGUCAGCUCGUUAGUGGGUCAGAUAGGCGCCUAUGAUAUGUUGACACAUGGCACGGCCCAUCAAGUUUAAAUGGGCCGGCCCAACUAAAGGCCCACAAGAUUUUGCGGACCAUAAUGGGCUGGCCCAGCUAAAGGCCCACGAGAUUUUGCGGACCGUAAUGGGCUGGCCCAGCUAAAGGCCCACAAGAUUUUGUGGGCCAUAAUGGGCAGGCCCAGGUAAAGGCCCACAAGAUUUUUGUGUGCCAUAAUGGGCCGGCCCAGGUAAAGCCCACAAGAUUCUUGCGGGUCAUAAUGGGCCGGCCCAGCUAAAGGCCCACGAGAUUUCGCCGACAUUAAUGGGUCGGCCCAGCUGUAGGCCCACAAGAUUUUGAGGACCCUAGUAGGCAGGCCCAUUAACUGGCUGCCAUGUUUUGGGCCAAAUGCUGGCCCAUAUUUGAUCCGGUCCAUUAAUGGCCUGCCAUGCUCCGGGCCUAAUAGUGGCCCAUAUGAGAUCCGGCCCGUUAAAAGCCUACCACGUUCUGGGCCAAAUUACGGCCCAGAUCAGGUCCGGCCCUUUAAGAGGCAUUGGGCUCAAUUAUGGCCCAUAUCAGAUUCGGCCCGUCAACUGGAAACUAUGCUUUUGGGCCCACUUGCUAAAGGCCCACUUAGUAAUUCGGCCUGAUAUUAGUUUUGGCCUGUUAAGGGCCCGUUUAACAUUUUGGCCCUAUAUUAAUUUCGGCCUGUUAAAAGCUAGUCAUAUAGUUGGGCCUAACUACGGCCCUGUUUGCAUCCGGCCUGCUCGCAACCGAUAUCUGAUUGGGCCAAACAAGGACCAAGAUAAUUUUGGCCUGUUAAAAGCUAGUGAUUUGAUUCGCACAAUCAUGGGCCGGGGUUCAUUUCAUGCUGCUACGUAACUAGUAUGAAUUAAGAACAAAGCUACUCUAUACAAUAAAGAAAUUACGGCAUAGUAACUUAGAAUAAACCUACACUAUACAAUAAAGGGUUUAAGGUAUAUUACAUCCACUGGGCAUCGAAGUUCGCCACCAGUGAUCAUAAAGCGCAACGUAGAAACAGAUUACAAAAACAGGGCACCAUUGCAGCGUAACAAAAUAAUACUGAACCGAGACCACUUCCAAGACAGUUCAAGAAAGGUUAGCCUUGCGGGGGAACUACUGCGCAAGCUGCUGAGCAAGGCUGUGAGACCAGCCUAGCAUGUCGGUCAUAGUUUCCAGGUGUAGCUGUUUAGCGAUGAGGUUCUCAUUGGUGUUCUCCACAAUCUUUCUUAGAGAUAGGACUUCAAGUCGAAGUUGAGUUGCAGAAUGCCUUUCUGCUAGAACUUGGGACUGAAGAAGUCGAACCGAUUCAGACAACGAAUUCUGUGAGCUUGUCUGACUGUUAGUGUCAAGUAACUUGAACACUGCAUCAAGACAAGACUUUGGGGUUGUCUCGCUAUCUGUAAGAUGUUGUUCCUUCUUUGCUGCAAUAUAUGUUGGGUUUGUCUCACAGCCUUCAGCAGACUUGUGCAUGCCAUCAGGCAUAUCACCCUGAAACAAAGUAGAGAGAUGACAGGUUUUCCACGUGUAUAAUCAAAGAUGAUAGCUGUUCUAUCAAUUCUAUCCAAUUUCAAAUUAGAAAAUAAAGAGUAUGUUCAAAAUAUCAAUAGCAUAAUUUGGCAUUGUUCAUAAUGCGGGGAGCUUCACCACAUUAAUGGAUUACCAUGUCAACAUAACAAGAAUAGAUGAAGGGCAAAGAAAAUCAUUGUAUCUAUUUUGGAUAAUAUGCAUGGCAUGUUGUUCAUAUCAUCAGCCACAUCAAUAAGAUAAAACAGGAGAUGACAAGGUGCAAACGUGGGCUGCUUCACCACACACUGGAUUAUAGAUCCACAAAAACAAGCAUACAUAUAGGGAGUAUUAAGUAAUGUGCAUGGUAUGAAUAAGGAAUUUGGUUUUACAAGUAAAACUUAGAACUUACGGUUCUUACGAACAUGCAUUUUGGCAGAAACAGCAAACUAAACAGCAGUAAACGAUAGGGAGUAUGAGCAAAUUAAACAACAGUUGAGGAUAAAGGCUUUAGAAGGACUGACUUACAUUAACAGUUAACACCGGCUUUAUAAUGCCCUUCUCCAUGUCAAGGGAAGGAUAACUCAAGAAUUUCAGCACAGAAUCUUCUUCAUAAGCAUUGCCUGUACUCUACAUUUUGUAGAGAGUAAUUAUAGAUAUGAUAAUACUGGAAGGGGUAGAGGAUAAUGAAGAUAAGAUGCAGAUUGAUGCUACAUAAUCAACUACCAAUCCCUGGAAGUACAAGCGUUACAGGACAAAAUGUACUGACAAGAGCAAUGGGCUACACUUCUGCACUGGCAUUGUCUAUGUAUUCUACUUGUUGGUAAGAUUGAAUAUAGAUCUGAUCUUUUUUAGUAAAUGCUGGGCGAGGGAGAUAAGACGCAGAAUGCUACAAAAUGAACCAAUCCCUCUUCCCAUAAUACAAGAGUGUUUUGAACACUGGUGUACUGUACAAAACGUUCUUAUAUUACGGGACGGAGGGAGUAGCUGUUAAUGUAAGUACAGUGAUAGACCACGUUCAGUCCUUUCAAGAGGACUGCAGAGCUAAACCUCUUCAAAAGCAUUGGGUUGAUUCUAAAUUUAUGUAAGAGUCCAUACGGAUCUUAUAAUGUCCACCAAAUGGACGAUUACGAGGCUAACAUGUGCAGUGAUGCUACAUAAUCAAACAGCUAUGAAAGUAAAUAUGGUCAUACAGGGCAAGAGGUACUCACAAGAGCAAUGCAGUGUGCAGUAUAGUUGCGAGAUUCUAUGGUCCCUUGAGAAUGAAUGUUCUUCUGCUAACAGUUUUCGUACAAGUGAGACAUUAAGGCAAAUGCAGAAAUGUAGUUCAAAUUGUGAUGUGAUAUCAUAGACAGUACCUUACGCUGCAGCCGAGACCAAUGUGUAACAAGAUUAUUCCAGUCUCCGUCGGAUAAAUGUAGCACCGGAGACUUUACAGAAAUUUUGUUCAGAGGCUUGCCAUCGAAGUGCGCUUGCCUCAGGUAGGAACGAUACUUCAUCAAUGAGUGCUUGAAAUGGGCAACCAACCCUUGCUCAUCAUCACAAUCCAGUUUGCGCCUCGCCUAUUUAAAAGAAUGAAAUCUUGUGUCUUCUGUCAGCAGAAACAUAUGCAGUAAUGACCAUGAAUAACAUUAGUACAUUACUUACGCGUAAGUUGUGGAGGAAGACUGGAAAUUGUUCUGUGUCUGCGGUAUAAUCUUUCCAUGAAGGAAAGAUGCGCACAAAGUUCCUGACAACAACAUAAGCUUCAUCUUCUAAACUGGGAAGAAAUGGAACAGGGGUCCUAUUUGCUACAAUUGGGGCUCUCUCUGGUUCGAAAAGGGAUUUGGCAACUAGAUUUGGUGUACUCUUUGCUGGAAUGGGGGUUUUUUGCAUCGUACAGCUGGUGCUAUGUCAACUGGCAUAAUCAUAUUGUUUGCUGCAGUUGGGGUCUGCUGAGUUGGGGCAUCAGAAAUGACCAGUGUAGUAGGGCUAGAGUCUGCUAGAGUUGGGGUAUUUUGUGGGUCAGGUGAUAUUGCAACUACACCUAAUGGGCUAUUUGAUUUAUCAGGUGCCACUACCUUUUCCAAAACUUUGCUUGUGCUCCUCCACGAUCAGCAAUCGCCCUCUUCCUUUUGAAUGUCUGAUACACAAGAACAACAUUUGAAUGGAUAAAUAUGGUAUGAUGACAGAUGGAAUAUGUAUUGAAAAUGGAUAGGCAGGGCGUAUUCACAUAAACGAUGCGUAAACUAAGCUAAUGGCAGUUCAACAAAGUAGAAGCAAUGCAAAGCAUCAGUUGCAAGAUAUAUGCGAGCAAUGUAACCUUGGAAAGUUAGAGCAAGUACCUUGAUGGGUGAAUAAGAUAUGACAUCUUCCUCUGACUCCUCCACUAGGGAGAUACAUUGACUUAGGUCUCCCUCUAGCUCAGAAUCACUGUUAGGAUCAUAUUCGGAGCAUGAAUCUGUAGGUGGAGCGUGUUUGCAUUGCAUUGCAUCCAGACUUGAUUUCAGUCCCUUAAUGCCAAGUUUGACAUCCAUGGCAUUGUUCUGCUUUAUUCUUUUCAUGCGCACAAGUUCAUAAUCAUUAUGAUGGUGUUCAGAAUCUGAGAUUCAUGAAAACAUAAAAAGUAGUCAGAUUAUCUAUGGAAUGCAUUGCGGUUUCAACUCGGAGAGUGUCUCCCUAUAAAUCCCUGCAUAUGCAAAGUUCACCUCCCCAACCGUGCUGACCAGACCACACACAUAGAUACACACCCGAGCGGCGAACAUGCAUUUUUGAAACUAAUAUAGGAACAUUUAGCUGACCAAUUAAACAACUCUGUUUUAAUAAUAUCAGAUUCGUAUUUGAAGAACUAAGAUUGAUUAGCUUGAUGGGUGGAGUAGUGUUAUUAUGAAACGAAGCACGUAUUCUGAUCGUAUAGUGAUCAUAAAAGGGGGAAACUCUAAGCAUAUAAUUUUUAGCAAAAGAGGGUUUCCCCUCUGAUUUCUAUUAAAGAAACCACCACAGAACCAACAUAAUCAAUUAAACCCUAAGCAUGAUCAAUUAAACCGUAUUAUGGCUGUGCCAUGGCAAAAUUGAAGCUGCAAACCGGAGAAAUGAUAUUUAGCAUCCACUGUUUGCUUCGAACUAAGAAAUAAAUUCUAAGAGCUGAAAAGAAAGUAGAGUAACCAAGUUAAGAUCUAUUUUCUUGUUGAGAUCAAAAAGUUGACGAGAUAUGAAGUACCACCUCUCUUGCGGCGCUGUGUAGGCAUCGGGGGUGCGAUGGCUGUCGGUGGCGUUGAAGCAGAUCUGCAACGGUAGACGGGUGCAUCGGGGGAUAAGUCCCGUUGCGGUGGAAGAGAAGGUCGUGUGAGCAGCCCCGGCAAAGAGGACGACGGCGCCGAUGAAGCGAGAGGACGCCAUGCAAGGCUAUUGGUCCGUCGCCGUGGAUGAGAAACGUCCAUCUCUAGCAGUGGACAACGCGGUCUUGGUAGGCGCUCCGGCAUGGUGGAGGACGAUGGCGAUGGAUGUGGUGGAGGACGGCAGCGAUGGAUGGGGUGGCGGACGGAGGCUGGUGUGGGAAUGGGUGUUCUAGCGUGGAUGAUGUAUGAAUGGGAAAAUGGAGGGAGAGGUAUGGGGAACCAUGUUUUUGGGACGCGCUUGUCUGAAAUAUGGGAAAGUUACGAACUUAUCCCCUGUUUCAAAUUUGGACGUCUCGUCGGUUGGGGAUAGGACGGUAAUCUCGCAUCUCCCAAAUAUUUGCCGGUAACUAUUUUGGGCGAGGAGAGGGUGUUUUGCCGCCCACGGUUGGGCGCCCAUGGUGUAUGAACGGGGCUAGCAGGUAGGGUGGUUAUGUCACGUCUGAUGGAAGUUACACAUCUGCCCCUAUUUAAAAUAUUAGCCUACAUCUAUUUUGGACGAGGAAAGUUUGUCUUGCCGCCGACCAUGUAUGAAUGGGGAAUAAAGGGAGAAUCAAAUGAGUUUUGCCGCCCAUGUUUGACGCCCACCGUGUCGGAAUGGGCUCAAAGGCGGUCGUGUCACGUCUAAUUGAAGUUACUAACCUACCCCUAUUUAGAGAAGUGGAAAUCGGGCCGAUGGAUUGUUUGUGUAAUGGGUAGACAGUAAUUUCCAUCUCCCAAACACUUGGCUUCGGGCAGCCGAUGUGGGAGUGGACAUUUUGCUGUUUCUUUCGAAUUUUGGGACAAUAAGCAUCCACGUUUACCCUGACAACUAAAUUCGAAUCCAUUUUGUAUUCCUAUAUGAAUCUUUAUAAAUCAUUCUAUGUGUUUUUAUAUAUCUUCAAAAGGACGACAAAGAUGUAUUCCACUGUCAUAUAUGAAUAUGGUUUACAAAUGCCGAUACUCAAAUUCAGAAACUAGAAUCCAGUUUAAGGUGAAUUCGAAUAUUUGCAACACUUCAUGUCCAACUCAAAUGUCACACGCAGCAUAAUGUGUACUCCCAUUUAGAUAUGUGCACAAGCGAUGUAUCAAGAUUCAAAUACCGAGUCAAUCAACCAAGAAUGUACGGAACUAACAGACAUAUAAACACUUAUAGAGUAUAUGGAUCAAUAAUAUCAACUAACAUACAUAAGCCAGGUCGCUGUACUUUUUUUGGCUACAACAGCAUCCUUUUUUUAGCCAGCAUCUUGGCCCUUUCCGAUGCGUGCCACUUAUGGUCCAUCUAUACUAGUAUUGCUGAAUGCACAUUCAGCCCGAUUGGCAUAUUUGUAGGUCUGGCACAACAAUCCAAAUGAAAUGUCUCAGAGUCUUAUCAAUUAAUACAGACUUGUGCUCAAAUAAAAUUACAAACAAAAAACAAAAAAAAACAAUUAUUACAUGAUCUCUAAAGCAAAUGGUUUGAUUGAUUACAUGAACAGACAACACAAAGGUUAUUCAACUAUGGAAAGAACAUUUCACCUAUGAUUUACCAAGUAGGAAUUUAAUUUCCUUUUUUCCUUCAGGACCUUAACAAUCUAGUCAGUCUCAGCUUGCUUCUUUUGAAAUCCACCAAAUAUUUAAUGGUUGUCUUGAGUACUGCUUGUAAUUGUGCUGUUUGCUUCCUCAACAUGUCAACUUCAUCUCUAACUGCAGAAGCAGAAUCUCUUUCUACCACUAGUUUAGCCUCUAGAGCAUCAGUAGUUGGCAAUUCAUAAUGCACGAUUGGGCCGGUGCCACUGCUGUGGGAUGAUGCAACGUCCAUGGGGACCUCGCUCUUUGAUCUUGGGCUAACCUAUUUUGCCAUUAAAGUUCCGAUUGGAUUCAGAAAAGUUGAAUUUAGCAAAACAUCUCAACUGGGAGUUAUAAUAGCAAACUAGUUAAACAAACAAGGAAGUAAAGAGUUUCAAUUGGAUGCUGAAAAGUAGUUAUUAACAUCAUUGUAACCCGCUGUUGCAGCAGCAAAGCAGUUAAACAAACAAGUAGAUAUUUAAGUUAAGGCAAAUAGGUAAUUCUUAACAGUAAGUAUCAAACACAUAGAUAGGCGCAGUCUACAAUAUGAUUAACAUGAUGUGCCAUUAUGUAAUCAGUAGCAAACUAAAUUAAGCCAAGCAACGUAAUUGAACAAUUUCGCAAUAAGUGGCUAACUAAAAUUCCGAGAAGCAGGUAACUGAACUUAUGCUAGUUCUUUGUACAAGCACACUGCAACUUCUUUUUCGCUUACAUGGUUGUACGAAGGAGUCCAUGGCAUCAAUUGCUUGGAUACGCAGUCCUAAUACUUCUUUCUUCCCACAUUGCAUGGGUAAGUCGAAUGGUUAAUCUGGUAAGAUGGUGCGUCCUUGAUAUGUUAUAUGAGGACGUGUAGUCAGACUAGUUGUAGCCAAACACAUCACACUGGCUUUUACUGUAUAUUUCAUGCGAUUACUUUUGGCAUAUCGAGAUCUAAGCAAUCUACAAUAGGAUGAAAAGACUGGCAUCCUUCACAUUAUUGGCGAACUUAGUUCAUAGAAACAAGCAAUUCAACCAUUCUGUGGGUAAAUCAAAAGCGCCACUGGAAUAUUUUUCACUAUCCAAUCAUACACGCAAAAAGGGGCGACGCCACCAUAGGGGCUGGUAUGGGUGGCCGCCUCAGGUGGCUGGAAAGUGUGCACCUAGUUUGAGUCAUCCAGGUUGGCCCAUGCUAGUUUUGUUCGUCCCAACGCACGAGCAGGCAAUGUAAAAAAUGAAUAAAAAUGUUUCAAUUUGGAUGGACCAAAAACAUAAGUGCAAGGCAGGCCCUAUAGCAGGCUCGCGGCCCAAAUGAGCACCUCCCAUAUCGAUCGACAGCAGGAAAAAUCCCAAUUCAUUCGCUCCAGCCUCCAGUCUGGUUCGCUCCUAACCUAGCCGCCGCUGGACAGACCGACACGGCACUUCCCCGCGCCCUCGUUGGAGGGCGGUUGCUGGGCUUCAAGUGAACGGAAGGACAAGAAGAUGAAGAUCCAACCCUGGGUGUAGCCUACGUGGGAGGCAGCGGCGGCAGCACGGGCAUGGCAUCGAGCUUGCGCAAAUGGACAGUCGCUAAUUGCAAGAGUAGCAUGCGCAACAAGCAGGUACAUCACAUCCCUGAUUAUAUCUAAUUCAACUCUUCAAUUUCUGGCCAAUAGUUAAACCUGACGGUGUUGUAAAACUGCUUGUAUGUAGGGAAUCUAUGAGAAAAUGAAACCAAUUUCUACUUAUUUUAUAACUCCCCCAAUCAAUACUGAACUGACUAAAUCUGAUGUAUCUAAUCAAGUUUCCGGUGCAAACAUACAAGCUCAUGUUGUUCUUGAGCCUGAAGUGUCUAAUGAACAGACUGCUAAUGAAGGAUUUGAUGCAAACAUUUUACAUGCUCCUGGUGAUGAACAUAUAGUGUCUAAUGAGGGAUCUAAUGCAAGCAUUUUGCAAGCUCAUUGAAGGAUUUAGUGUCUAAUGAUGAUCUACUAUGUUGAGAGAGACAGAGAUUUGCAGGCAUUGAUGACAAGAAAAUUAUAGUGCAUUUUCAUAGCUUGAGGAAACGUCGAGGCCAUCUACCAGAAAGUCCCCGUAUCAUGACAACAUAGCAUAAAUACUUUUCUAAUCUGUUGUUUGAAACUAUUGGCAUACUUGUGCAUGAUAGAUAUAUUGAUAUGCAGUUUGCGCACUGGUUAUACGUGCAAUUACACUUCGAUAUUUUCAGCCAGAGAACGAAUAAUUCAAGCAGGUACAUACCAUGUUUGUAGUCCUUGUACACCAUGUUGCAUUUUACGUUUUUUGGUGCUUGCAUCAUUUAGUGUUUAUAAUCUGAACUACUUUGGAUCAUUAGCUGGUUUUCGAAGUGCAUGUAGCUUCACAUUUCUCAAGUUAUGUUGAUUUCCGGAGUGCAAGUGCCUUCGUAUUUUUUAAGUUAAAUGUUCGCCCUUGGUAACUUGAAUUCGUCGAUCAGCCACUGCACACAAAUCAUACACGAAUACCAGUACGAAUUAAAUGAAAUGGAGGGACUUACGCUAGCUCAUUGUAGAGGCUCACUUCAGCUCUGCUUGCGCUUGGGAUGUUCCAUGUACAAGUCCAUGUUACCACUUGCUUGGAUGUGCAGGCCUUGUGCUCCUUGCAUCCCCCUCUGCAUUUUUGACACGGCGAAUGGUUGAUCAAAUAAGAGGAAUCAACCUUGAUGUUGUACCGGAGGACAUAUACUUACAAGGUUAUACGGGUGUGCAAGAUGUGUACCAGAUCCCGUAGCGCCGUCAUGCUUCGCUAAAAUAUGGAUUUGCUUGUUUCAGAUGAUAUCUCCAGAAGAAAUAAGAGUUAAGGUCAGAGUUGCAUAUGCGUGUAAGCUAAGAGAGCAGUGAAAGGAUAUCCAAACAUCGUUGGAACAGUGCACAAGGGAGUGAUGUGUGGAUACCUAGUUCGGGCCGGCGUUUGGGCAUGCUCGCCUAGCUAGAGUCCGGGUCACUUCAGAGCCGUUGAGGGUGAUGCGCUGGCGUUGGCUGGUCGUGCACGGAUGCAGAUCUUGAGUGGCAGCGGAGCACUACGAUGCGGUGGACGAGACCGUUGGUGAAGCCCCAACGGCCUCAGGGGGCGGAGGUGCGACGAUGUGCUCGGUGAAGUAGCCCCGGUGAGCUGGGAGACGACAUCAGUGAAGCGCACCUGAUGCAGUGGAACUCGGUGUCUGUGAGGCACGUCGGUUGCGGCGGCCGACGUUGUCGGUGGACCACCCGGUGUGGUGGACGACGACGUAGAUGAGGUAGCUCUGGUGCGGUGGUGAAGCGCGACCAUCGUCUUCGUCGUCGUCGUCCGGCAUAGACGUGGGGAACGGUGGGGAAAGAGACGAGACGAGGGGCGAUUCGAGGGUUGGCGGUGAAUUAGGGAUUUGAGCAAUCUGGGCGUGGAAGGGGACGGUGGAGAAGAGAGAUUUUGCAGGGCUGGAAUUGGGGCCGCCAGAUAUUUCAAUCCGAAACAUGGAAGCGCGAACUUAUAUUGUCGUCGUCUUUUUUUUGGGGGGGAGGAAGGGGGGGUGGGUGGCUGGGUGCUACGCGUCCGUCCGACACACGCGACCACCCCGACAGGACUAUGCUUCGGUGCCUUAAGGCACCUGCCUUUGUGUCCAUGACAUAUGGGCCCAACAGGUGGCUGGCCCACAUGUCAGUGAUGCAAAGGUAGUUGCCUUUAAGGCACCGAAGCAGCGUCCACAACGACACGACCUUGGUUUGCCUGGUGUGCCUACAUUUGAGAAUGCAAAUGAAUCUUCUUUCAUUUGCAAACGAAUCUGUAUGUAUUACCAUGCCCGUGUUUUCCUUGCAAUAAUUAGUCAUUCGAAACGAGAUACUCCAUCCGUUCACUUUUGUAAGUCAUUUCAAACAACUUAAAAUGAACUGUUUUGCACAUUGUCUGAAAUGUCUUCAAGGUCUUAUAAAAGUGAAUAGAGGGAGUUUUAUAAAUUAAUUAAUGAGGAGUUAUUUGAAAAAAAAUCAAAACGGUACCCACGCUAACGUGGAUUAGAGUGUGUCUCACAUAAUUAGUUAUUUGAAUUAGAGUGUGUGUCACGUAGUUAGUUAUUUGAAUUAGAGUGUGUGUCACGUAGCGAUCUUCAAUUCUAACGUGGAUUUCGCAUUUCACUGUAUCCAUGCUACUUUUUUUAAUACAAAUGCAUAUGUAUAUGAUGAACACCAUGGUAGUGAGAAAACUUUUGGAUGGAUUCAAACAUAUGACCUACAGAAUAGCACAACAAACUGAGUCAAUGUCAACUUUUCGAAACUUAGUAUGGCACGAAUUCGAAAUAAUUACCCAUGUGCCUGCUCCUCGGUUCAAAUCUUACAAUGUACACCGAAUUGAAACAUCGAUAUUAAGUCUCGUAGUAUGUACAUUCAAAUGUUGUUUUUAGCCCCCCCCCCGCCGCGCACAAACGCCACAUACUUCCUGUAUCGGUCAAUCUUCCUCUAUUAACCACCUUAGGAUGCUACCGGUUUCCAACACACGUUCAUUCUUUCUCUCCAUGUUUCGAUCUCUAAGUCUCUCAACUACACAACCCCUUUUUCUACUCUGUUACCAAAUGUAUUUACCUCACACACCCGCCAUUGCACCCCAUGCCGAGCUCUCUCUCUCCCCCCUCUCCCUCUCACCCUAUCGCGCUAAAUACAUGCAUUGCCUAUCUAGCCCCCCAACCUCUCGUGCAUGCGCACGCAUGCACGUUGUAUAUCUAGGUCACUCCCUUGAGACUGUCUCACUCUUUCUUCCGCACGGCGGGCCACACUUGCUAAAUCUUGCUCUAUUCAUCCGAGUCUCGUUUAACCUCGUUUUCUUUCACACACAAAUGAUAUAUCUCCCUGUUCGGGCCUCGAUCGACACACUCUAUACUCUCUCACGCAGAUUGUCUAUCUAGGUCAGUCCAUCCAAGACGCCACCACUCUUUCGGCCUCAUGGUGGGCCACGCUCACUCAAUCUCUCUCUCUCUCUCUCUCUCUCUCUCUCUCCGUAUGUCUCGAUUGACCUUGCUCUUUCUCGGACAAAAAGAUAUAUCACCAUGUUUGAGCCCAAUUCGACUAUUCACAUUGUAUACUCUCUCACGCACAUCGUCUAUCUAGGUCACUCUCUCCAACCCAUCUCACUCUUUCGAUCGCACGGCGACCCUAUGUGAUCGGUUGACCUUGCUUCCUCCCACGCACAAAAUAUAUCUACACGUCUUCACUUACUGGUGGGUUCCAUGUGUGCUCUCUCUCUGUCUCGUCCCCUUCUGCGUUUAGACGCACAGGCAAACAUGAAGAACUCGCGGGCGAUGUUGCCGUUGACCAUAUCUAGACGCGUUCACAAGUCACGGCACCAGUUUCACGUACUAGGAGCACUAGUCAGUGUGUACGUGCAAUGCACGUUAAUUUGGAUGUAUAUUAAGUGCAUGCGGAUAUUAACUACUAGGAUAUUAUUCGCGUGUUGUCAUGUGAUUAGCACUAUUUUUGGCAUGAAAUUAACUGCACGCUAAACGUGUUGAGCGCUCGACAUUGAAGCAGUCUAGGUCGUUGGAUGACAAGGAAUACAUGUGGCUUGAUGACGUUUUAUAUUUAAUUUGAUAUGGCUCUAGCAGAACAUCCAAUCGAUCAAACCAUACAUUUCGUUCAGUCUGACUCCGACUUUAAAUUAUACGACGAUCGAUAUAAAAUAAACGGAAAUGAUAAACGUUCGGAUUUUAAGCAUGGCAAUACGAACGUUUUUCAUGGCAAAUUUAGAUUAUGCGGCGGCGGCGGGGGCGUCUCGCAGUGGGAAGCGGCUCCUCUGCCGUGCUCUGUGUGUCGUCGGGCCACUGACCAAUGGCGACGGCGGCGUCUUGCGCCGUUGUUGGCGUACUCCUGGACAUUGGCCUAGCUCCAAGGAAGGCCAAAAUGUUCUAGACUUCGGAGCGAGUCGACUGGCGGGAGGAGGCGACUAGCAUUGGUGCAAGAAAGCGGUCGACGGCGGCCAUCCAUGCCGCUGAGGGGGGCACUGGCACCCGUGCGGGGACAGGCGCUGUCAACGGCGCGGCGGAGACAUUCGUGUGCACAGGCACCGGCACGGGCGCGCACGUCAGUGCACGCGCAGGCGCAUGUGCUGGCAGGUGCACGGGCACCGGCACGGGCGUGCGUGUCAGUGCACGUGCAGGCGCAUGUGCUGGCAGGUGCACUAGCGCGUGAAAGUCGGCGGGCACCUUGUGGAACCCCGUGGGAUCAAGCUCGGCGACAAUGUGCAGCUCCCAGCCCAUCAAUGCCACGGGGAUGGGCGCUGGCGCAGUCGGGGCGACGGGAGCCGGAACGGGAGCGGGGACAGGCGCGGCGUCUUCCCGCAUGGCCAGUUCAAGCUCGUCCCAAAGCGCCUUAUGUUCUUGAGACUCCGGCUGGUUGUCUUCCUCAGGAAACUGGAACACUAAGGGCAGACCAUCGUGAUGCGGCAUGGCGUAAGUUUAGGUCAGGCUAGUUGGAGGUAGAUGAUAGGAGAAUCGGAGAGGAAGAGAGAGGAUUGUAGCGAUACUCCUUCCUUUCCGAUUUAUAAGGCUCAAUUCAAAAAUCUCACCAACCAAGGUAUAUGGUGAGUGGUGGAAUACUUUUUGUAGUUUGCAAAAGCACCCAAUUAAUGCUCUUGUUUUUCUCAAAAAAUAUGUUUACCAUUGCAUUAAUUGCAAUGCAUGCAUGCAUAAAUUACAUGCAUUGGUCAAUUUUCUCUUAAUACUUGCAUGCAAUGAUUUAAUUUAUCUUGGAAUUUGAACAUGUGAUGGGAAACAACAAAAUUGAGCCUUAUAAAAUGGAAAAACUAAUAUUUUGAGAUAAGCCCUAUAAACCGGAAAGGAGGGAGUACCGGGUAGUGCGGGGUUGAUUUUAAACCGCGGCGCCAGCGACAUUAAAAGUGGGAGCAGUUGGGACGACGAUGGGCGGUGGAGCCUGGUUAAAGGGCUCGCCUCCCGGUGAGCCUGCACAGCGGUCUGCUCGCACGCCUCCCUAACAGCCGGUGCAACGGUCUGCUCGCACGCCUCUCGUCGACUCACACGCUUGCUCGGACGGCACCUGCCGAUUGCCGAUGAGAAGCGGGGACUCAUGGUGGCACGUAAACGCCCAUGGUUUCAAUAGUGAAAGCGUUUGCCUUAACGUGACAGGUCUUUCUUACAAAAUACCUUGGCUCUUCAUUUGUGCAACUUGUCAUAAGUAGCUUGUCUCAAAUUGAAGAAAAAACUUACAAAAUAAUAUUUGUGCCAUAUCACGUGACCAUGCUUAGUUUCAAGAAUUUAUGGUCACUUUUGGAUUUUCAGAAAUUUAAGAUCCAGGAUUCGAAACAAUAUCAUAACCUGCAUCAUGCAAUAAAUUUUCAAGUCGUACAUCUGACCUGUUGUAUUUCUUAAGAAAGGAUUUGGUCAAACAUUUUGCUUAGUUAUACUUCAGACAAGUUAUAUAUGCAGAGUAAAAGGAUAAUCCCUCCGUACCAGUGCAUUGCCUGAUAUAUUAACUCAAGUAAUAUGCACGAACAAACGGGCUCAAUUCUGUGCUCAUCCUGGUGUAGUAGUAGUAGUAGUAGUAGUAGUAGUACUAGGCAAUGCAGUUGACGGGUGACCUUGACGAGCGGCGACCGAGGGAAUUGAACUGUGCUCGACACGGUAGGUAACGUUGUCUAGUUACUAAAGCAUCCCUCCGUUGUUCAUCGGUAGUCAUUAUGGACCGGGGACAUGAGGGGAAUUUCCUAGGGCUAGAAUUCUGGCCGCCAGAUAUUUUGACUUGAAACGCCGAGGCUCGACUGGUUGGGGUAAUGGGGUUGCCUAAUGUGCGUACCACGCACGCCACCGAAGGACACGAGCCCGCUUUUUUUUAGGAUCAACACGAGCCAAGGUGUGGCUGGUACGCCGUUGGGUCCUACCAUUCGAGAAUACGAAAUGAACCUUUUAAAUUGCCGAACGAAUCUAUGUGUAUUACAAUACCCGUAUUUUCCUUGCAAAUACUAAUCUCAACGUGGUAAUUGAUUUAUGAAGAGUUGUUGAAUUAGAGUGAGUUUGUGAUAUAGUGAUCUCAACGUGGAUUUCACAUUUCAUGGUAUCCCUAGUACGUUUUCCAAUGCAAUUUCAAAUUUAAAAGAUGAACAACAUGGAGGUGAGAAAACUUUGUAUGUAUUAAGCAUAUGACCACACACACACACACAGAGACACACACGCACGAACACAACAACAAUCCAAUAAGUAUAGUGCAUCUAUUUUUCCAAACCAUGCAUGUAUGACACGAAUUCAAAAAUACUCCUUCUAUUCCUAAAUAUUAGUCUUUUAGAGAGUUCAACAAGUGACUACAUACGGAACAAAAUGAGUGAAUCUAGACUCUAAAAUAUUUCGAUAUACAUCCGUAUGUGCCAGUCCAUUUGAAGCCUCUAAAAAGACUAAUAUUUGGGAACGAAGGGAGUAAAAUGUAAGACAUCCAUGGUCCUCAGUUCAAUAUUUAAAAUGAACAUGAAACUGAAACAUGAAUAUUAAGUCUAUUACUACAGUACAUGCAAAUGUUCUGUUAAGGCGGAGCUAUGAUUGUCGGGGGUCAACCCCUCGACCUUAGAUAAAAUUGUGGAGUUCUGUUUAGGGUUGUUUAGAUUAUAUUUGUCCCCACCCUCCCAGCCAUCGAUUGGUUGUGCACCGCCACCCCUCCUCCCCGGGAGAAUAUCAUGUGCCCCCAUACCUUAGAUGCUAUAUGCCGAUACGAGUUGCUUGGAGCUUGUAGAUCUGAGAUAUAGCAGCUCACAUGAUGUGUCUUAAUAUUUCCGCAGGAAACCUUGAUGAGUUUGAGAAUUGCACACAAUUUGUACAAAAACUAUUUAGAUGCCCUUUGAUCCCAUAUCCAACGACCUCGAAGCUCGUAUCACCGUAGCAUCUAAGAUGAAGGAGGGAUCAUAUUCUCCUGUAUGUAAGAAUAUCAUGUGCUACCACACCUUAGAUGCUUUGGUGAUACAAGCUCUUCGGAGGCGUUGGAUUUGUGACCAACACCUGCUCGGUGGUUCGAAUGGUUUUUUGCAAAAAAGCCCCAAAAGAGUUCGGCCACUGCUUACAAGCACAAAGACUGCUCAGAUGCCAUUGGAUCUCAGAUCAAACGACCUCCAAGCUCGUAUCACCGUAGCAUCCAAGCUGCGAUAGCACCUUAUGUUUUCUCGCAUAGGAUAGUAUUAUGUGCUCCCGCACCGUAGAUUCUAUGGUGAUACGAGUUCACUGAGAUCUAACGGCCCAUAAUAGGAGGUUUGAAUGUUUUUGCAAUAUACGGCUGAUAGAGUUUGGGAAAUGCGCAGAAAGUACAAGUACUACGCAUGUGCCAUCUGAUCACCGAUCAUAUGACCUAGAUGCUCAUAUCACCGUAGCGGGUAAUUAAGCUACGGGGAGCACCUAAUAUGAGCAUCGGGGAGCCGUUGGAUCGAAGAUGCAGCGGCACACACGAGGCCUGAAUGUUUUAUUUGCAAAACAACCUUUGGAGAGUUUGGAAAUUGCGCAUAAUUACGAAGACUACUCCCAAGCCAUUGGAUCUCACUUCCAACGGUGUAAAAACUCGUAUCACCAUAGUAUCUAAGCUGCGGGGUGGAUGUGAUAUUCUAUGUCGCUGUCAUUUUUGUUCGUAAACUUGCAAAAUACGUGUAACUCGUGCCGUUACUUGUCUAACCGCGCAAAGUGUUUGUUCAAAACAAACCAUCCUACAUUGAAAUAUCGGAACAACACACGGGGGUCCCACUUGUCAUUAAUCAAAUUUGGACCUAAAACUAACAAAUCUGAAAGACGAGAUUCAAACUGGCAACCUGGACUACAAAGCGUAAGUCGAUAGCCUGAAAAAACGAACGGUUGUUGGCUUUGUCCCAUAACUUGAUUUUAUUUAUACAGUACUUUCGUUGAGUAGAGUAGAGGGAGUGCCUCGUCAACACGUGCAUGACCGUUGUCUCACUUACUGGUGGGUCCCAGGUCUGCGAUCUCAAUCUCUCUUCUCUCCAUCGUCUAACCUUUGCACGUGCACACACGAAGAGCGGCGCUAGCUUGCCGUGGUGUUAUUACAACAAAAAAAGCUUGGAAAAUAGAAGAAUCGCUUAGAACAAGAGACGUUGUGGCUGGUCGAGACGGAGCUAACCACAUCUACCCUCCGUGCCACGUUUGCAUGAUGAAGCUGUGUGGCUAGUGGGGUGUUUUCGACCGAUUAGCUGGGUCCCGAGGUCGAACCAUAGGUACUACGUCUGAUACAGUAUAUUUUUACACGCACAUUUUUCCUCCAUGCCGAGACGUGGCACACCCUACCGCGUGGUUUCGGGGUCCUCCCAGGUGGUGCACGCAUAUAUUCUUCCUGACGUGGGAUGCCCUACAACGCGUUUUCUGGGUCCUCCUCGGUCGUAGCGCCGAAGCAAGUAAAUGAGUCGUCAAAUCACGAAAGACCACCUUUCCCGCCGAGUACAUCAGUGAAGCACGGUGGCUAGCUAGAUGGGCUAGUUCGACCGAUUAGCUAGGCCGCCGCCACAUUUGUUUUUCACCCCUUUUCUUAUCUACUUGCCAGCAGGUAAAUAUAAAUAUCCACCAUGGCGUUUCUCUGGUGUUUGGGUGCGGUAGGAUUUUCAUUUUUUUGAUUGACGGGAGCAGGCGCGACAGUAUUUUUAAUUUUUUGAUUGACGGGAGCAGGCGCGGCAGCAAUUAGUCACGAUGACUCCGCCUGUAAAAACCCACCGCUCCCUGAUGUGAGAAGUCAUCGACUGGUGUUUUACCCUGGUGAAAACCAAAAGAUUCCCCGUUCCCUCCGCCUUCCCGUAGAUUACAUUGCCUUUCAGCCGUUUCGCCCCCUUUGCUUCCUUUCCCCAUUGCUUCUACCUGGUGCCAUGGCGGCGCAUGAUCACGGAGUCCGAGGUGAGGCUCCUGACACAGGAGCUCCAUGCCAAGGAUGCGGAGCUCAGGGCCAAGGACGUGGAGCUCCGUGAGCUCAAGGAGGAGAGGAGUGUCAUGCUCCUCCGUUAUGUGUAGGAGUUCACGGAGCUUCAAAAGCGGCAGGCGUCCACCACAAAGAUGCUCGAGGCGUCGGCGGCGUUGCUGCAGAAAGUGAGAGAUACGAUAGGCCGUCAGGGGAGCCGACUGGAGCGUGAGCGGGCCGAUCGUGACGAGGUCCAGGAUCGCCUCAGCCACUUGGUGAACCAAGUUGCCACGCACGUGUUGCGGCUGCGUGAUGCCUACCGUCGUGCCAGCGCGACGAUGUCGGCCAUCGGGCUAAACCCGUUCGACUACCCGGUUGACUUCAACAAGUUGCGGCUUCCUGACCUGGUCUUCCUCUUCACCUAUAUCUCCGAGGAGCUGAGCCGUCUCCGCGCGAUGGUGGGGGCUGAGCUGGACAAGGAGGGGUUGUGGGCUGCCGUCGCUGUUGCCGGGCGAAUGCUUUCAGGGCUCUGUCACCGGAAUCCAUUCGUGCCAUUGGACGCCGUCUUUGACGAGCUGGUUCCCAUCGACCGGGAGCGGGCUCUGCGAGCGGUUGCAUCCUGCAUCACCAACGUCAUGCGCCUUGAGAAGCAGAGGGACUUCGGUGGUGUUUAGGCGCCCUCUACAUGGGCAUGUCCAUGUCUCGGCGCAACAUGACCGUUGGAUCAAACUCAGACGGUGCAGAUCAGUCACUAUAGCACAAAGCGUGUGGGUGUGUUUGGUUGCAUUCUCAUCUCAAUAUAGUUGUUUCCUCUUCGUGUAUUUAUUACAUAUAGGAGUAGUUGACAUGCGCACAACAUCAUUUGUUAUCGUUAUAUCUUACUACACACUAGCAACAAGAUUGUGUAGUACUGACGUAUGAACCACUGCACAUGCCUAGUAGUAGGAGCACUGUGUAUGUUCAAGUGGCUGCCGUGUUUCGCACUCCUCCGUCGUAAGAGUGGAAACGCUUGCUGUAAUCAUUUUUUCUUUUGAAAAACAGUGGACACACUCUACCGUGCGGAUCCUCCUCCAGCCAUGCACUAAAUUACUCACUUUCCCCAACGUGUGGGAUAGCCAGCAUCAGGGUCCACCAGCCAUGCACUAAAUUACUUUGUAGUAGAGUGACGGUAGACUACCCCGAUCGAAGCGCCGCAGUAAUGCCCAAUGAGCCGUCAAAUCACAAAACCCCCUCCUUUCCAGCAGUAAGUUGGACGGACGAAGCAACCAUCAUUUCACUCUUCUCUCUCAGCUUCCUCUCUACCCAACCAUCGCUUCUGCCUCAUCUUGUUCCUCAUUUCUUCAAGAAAACCCCGACCUGCUUCUGCCAUUGUUCUUCUCUCCCAAAGAAGGAAAGGUGAGCGCAUCAAUGGUGUUGAUUCUGGCCAAGGCCCGGUCUUGCAACCCCGAGACCGAUCCUAUAACUCCCUCUCUUUUCUUCUUUUGGGUUUGUGAUUAUGGUUUCUUUUCUUUUAUUUCUAUUUGACAGUUUCUUGAUGGACGCUGGAGCACCGGCCGAAGUGAUGUCUAUGGCUCCGGCCAAAACCGUCGAGGCUCAUGGUACAAAGAAGCGCAAGCACCCCGCCGAGACUACCGCAGACAAGCUCAAAGCCAUCGCCCUGUCCAAGCCCCCCUCUUCGGGAUCCCUCAUUAAGCAAGUCCAGGUAAUAUCUCUUCUUGACGAUCUUCUUCUCGAUCUUGAUCGUGUUUUAGUACUAGUAGUACAACUUUCCGGGUGAUCUUUCAUGUGAUUUUUGUGUGCCAAAUGAUGGUUCUAAAUUCCUCUUUUGACCAAAACAUGCGAGAGGUUGACACUAAUUUCUUAUAGAUUACUUUCAACUACUCCCUCUGUCCCAAAUUUCUUGUCUUAGAUUUGUCUAGAUACAGAUGUAUCUAAUACUAAAAUGUGACUUGAUACAUCCGUAUCUAGAAAAAUCUAGGACAAGAAUUUUGGGACGGAGGGAGUACUUUAUGAACAUCAAUGCUAGCUUUUAAGAGGGUAUAUUUGCCUCAGUAACUUGUGUUAUGGAUUUUGCAUGUAAUCCCUCUGCUCUCAUGCCUUUGAAGACAUGUUCUAGUGUCUUUGUUCACUCAUUUCUGUGCGUAUAUGUAGUCAUAUAUGGAGUAUAAUAUCGAAAAUCAUCUUAUAUUUUCUAAACGGAGGUAGUAAUAAAAUAUGGUUUCCGUUUGAAUUAGAACCAGGUCCGCGGUGGAGAUGAAUUUCUCAAAGUCAUGCCGUGUGAACUGGAAGACCUGAUGAUGAGUUCUACUGCCGAACUAUCCAGCUGCUGUGUCCUUGUCGCCACGUGUCCUGAACUAGUGUUUUCCUGUAGCAUCGUUGCCAAGCGUGUUCUCGAGGCUGUACUUGACCACAACAAUUUCCUGGCUGUGCCUUCGAUUACAAAGGGUGUGGUUCUUGUAAAGCUUCCCAACAAAUCUGAUGCGGCCUGUCUUCAUCAUCAUGUUUAUGAGUGGAAAGACCACUCUGUUAGGUUAUCCAAGGUUGACAAGAUGGUGAUGGUGCGUGUAGACAUCUCACACGAAGUGCAUGGCCUAGUCAGUUAUGCGGGGUUCAUCCCGUAGGUCGGUGGCAAGAAAUAGUCUGCAGAGUUUAGUUAGUGCAACUUUGCUUGUCUGUAGUAAGUACUAUUGUUCAGUACUUGAUUUGCGUUUGUGAACCCUGUAUUUCUAUUAGUAUUGCUGCUUUUGGUGUGUGGUCAGUCCUGAGAACGGUCUAUGUUAAUGUCUGUCCAGUCAAUUCAGUCUGUAUAUUUUGAAGUAUCCAGAUCAUAUUUUUUGUGAGGACGGUUUAUCAAUUAUGGUUACACUCCAAUAUCUGUAUGCAUUGCAGGGUUUAUCGCACCCACCAGGAUUUCCAGUCCCAUGGAUGUUCGGUCCAUACGAUUUGUCACGACCUUUGGACUGUCCUGCUUGUGGGAGUAGGCAGGGCCCCUGCAUGCCACGCGUAGUUGGACGAUCAAUCUUCUGUUUAGUACUUCAACAUAGUGAUUUCCUGGUAAGGAUUCACUUGUGUCACAUCAAGUAAAUCUUAUUGAUUUACUGUCUAAAUCUUAUUGAUUUAAUGUCAUGUUUUCUUUCUUUUCCUGCAAUUUUACGAUGCAGGUUUUGCCAUGUGACAUUCAUCACAGAAUAAACCGUUUGGUUUGCUCUACGAUGGCUAUUUUUGCAGGUUUCACUUCUUAUGUCGUGUCAGUAAUGAAGGCACUGUCCAUCACUUAUAUUACUGGAAAAAAUUGGAUCAGUCUGUUGUUUGAGUACAAGCUGAAUCCCUAUGAUGGACUGCAGUUUGGUUUAACAAAAAAUGCCACAAUUAGUCCUUCUGCGUUUAAAAGAAAUGAAGAAAAAAACUGGAUCAUGGUCACGGAUCCUAGUCAAGUUAGAAAGCUGAUCAUAGCAGACCAGACACGAUCGCCGCUGUCUCGCACAGAUCGAGCACCGACAGUUGCUCUAGCACUGGUAGCGGCAGCAGCUCAGUCUGAUCCAGCUGAGGAUUGGGCACCAACCGCGUCAGCGGAUCAGUCUGAUCUACCGGAGGAUCGGGCAACGACACCGGCACCUGCUCCGACACUGGCACCAGCUCUACAAGGAGCACCAUCUCCAGCAGCAGCGGCUUUGACACCUACACCAACACUUGCACUUGCAUCUGCUCCGGCCCGUGCAGUUGCACCGGCAACAGACUGGGCCGCAGUUUGCACUUCAUAUACCAAAGUCCUUACAAAAAUCGACAUGUCCACCUUCUUGGUAAGCAUUGGCCACCCAAGUGCUUCAUUCUUUUUUUCCAUGUUGUUUCACAUGAUUCACUGUGUUGAUCUAACUGUUUGGGUAUGUCUUCUUGUUUGCAAACAGAGAAUUCCUAGAGCAACGAGGGAGUCGUUCAACAAUCCGGGCGACCGCGGCCAAGUUUCUCUUACCAUGCGCAGCCUUGGUGUGAAUGAACCUACUCAAUAUAACGUAAGUACAAAGGAUGGUCGCAUGAUGAUUGAUGCUAAAGGAUGGUCAAGGUUCAAAUCUAAAACAUAUCUUGCGGUAGGGGAUGAUGUCAAAAUCGAACUUUCUCGGCAAGGAGAGCUGGUCCAAAUCAACUUUGAAAUUAGCAGCACGCAACUGCCGAACUGAUCUAUCCUCCGAGAGAUUUUGAUGUAAUAAUCUGGCAUGGUGAAACAAGUGUCCUGUGUGUAUAAGUAGUACGGCAGUAUUAUUUAUCACAUGGUAUAUCAUUGAUAGAAUUGCAACUCUAAUUGCUGGUUAGGAACUGUCGUUCGAUUUCAUUCCAACAGCUGCCGUGCUUUAUUCAAUUUUGUGUAUUCGCCUUGCGACAGCAUCUAAAACCAGCGCCGUACCGAUCGCUUGCAAUAUGAAAAGCACUGAGGUAGAACACAUGGGCCCCCAAACAUGCAGGGUCGGCCUACGGCCCAAUGUCCAGAACCGUGAGCCUAUCUGAGUAUUAUAUUCUCAGCUGAACCCCCAUAAAAAAAGCUGAACCCCAAUAAUGCCCGUGCGCUGCAGAGGGAGUAUAUUUCUCGGCAAGGUGAGCCUGUGAUAUAAAAGAAUUGUAUAUUUCUUUACAGAGGGAGUAUGUCUCUGUCAAAAAAUAUAUUUAUGUGUAACUAGUUACUCCUGUCUUUCUACUUCCUUUCGCUGAUAUGUGGGGCAACCGACAACGGGGUCCACGUGCCAUAUGCACAAAUUAGAGUGCACAACUUCACGGUAGACACACCCCGGUCGUAGCACCGCAGUAAUGCCCAACGAGGCAUCAAAUCACAACCCCCCUUUCCAGCUUUAGCAGUAAGCUGGACAGACGAAGCGGCAAUAUUUCACUGGGCCUGAAUCCCCUUCUCCCUCGUCUGCUUGUUCAGAGAAAACCCCCUCUCGGAGAUUGCAUAGGGUUUUCUCAUGGAGAACCAGGUACGAAUUCUUCAUCCAUCCCCGAUAAACCCAAGUUCCUUGGUCGCAGGUAAUCCUACGAUGGCAGCCGCCGCCGUUGAUGCAUUUUUCUUCCUACUGAAUCUAGUGUGUUUCAUUUGCAGUGCCCAAAGUGCGAGUACCCUACAAGUUUCCGCGCCCUCGGCGAGACGCCACACUUGUUCCUUCUCAUCCUAACACAACAUUUUGAAACGCGCACAGUAUGUUCCUAGAAUCGUCUUUUCUAUCCGGGAGGGUGGUUUUUUUUUGAACAUGCUAUGUUCUCAUAUUAUUUUUCCUGCAGUGUAUUAUUUGCUCUGCCAGAACACAUGUACUCAAGAUGCUCGGCCUUGCCAUAACUGAAUACACUAGUUUAAUGGUCACAGUGAAGACAAGCCAUGGAUAUAAGUUCCGAGUUGGGUUCAUGAACCAAGAAGAUCGCUGCUUUUUUUUAUGGCCGAACUUGGAUAAACUUUCUCAAGUGUUACAGACUGAAAGUUGGUGCACGAAUGUUGAUGGAAAUAGCAGAACCUAGUCUCAUCUUCACUGCGAUCUUCCACCCCGACGUCGUUCCAAUUGUUCAUCCAUGUUAGUUUUGUAUCUGGUUCUUGCUUGUUGCCUCGAUUACUUCUUAAUCCACGUAUUCUGUCUAACUAAUCACAAUUUAACUUUAAAAGUAGCAACGAAUCUCUCACGAAGAUGCUACUUCUAACUAAUAUUUUCUUAUAAUUGGUGGCACGUGUAGGUUUUUUCAGAGUUAAGCAGUCUGCUCGUUUGUUACUCUGUAAUAACUCGGCUGUUACUAAUGACACUGAAGUUGACUGGAUCGACAUCCACAAGUUCCUACACUUUAUUGAUCGUCUUGAGGUCCUUGUGGGGCGUUUCAAUGGUGGAAGGCCACGUGGGAUAUGUGUGCCACUGCUGCACUCAUUGAAUAGGUCCAACUAUGUCGAGAAACUUAUGGUACGAGCUGUUUUCUGUUAUAUAUGUUGUUCAUAAACUAUUGCUUAUACACAGUUUUACAGCUGUGAUCUUCUUGAAACAGGAACUGCCGAGUUCUAUUGUUCCUAUACAGAUGCCUGACCAUGGUCGGGUCAGACUUGCGCUUGGUCACAACAUGAUGUAUAUGUCGACCUACUCAAUUCCCCUUGGAGGUGAAAAGAUACUUAUUCAUGGGUGGUCUCAAAUAAUGAAGGCCCAUCCAUCUUGGAGAAUAGGACAGAAGAUUAUGUUCAUGCUUUUCCAUAGCUCUAAAGCGAAUAUCCUAUUUAUUGACCACGUUGCGAGAUGAAGCCGCUUUCAGACGGUUGUGGAUGCGCGGGGUGGCGCCUGGGCCUUGUCCUAGGGCUUGGCAGCCUCACCCUUGGUUAACUGUAGGCAAAGUAGCACUGUUCGAGGCAUGCUUUGUACGGUUGAACCUGUAUAAGUACUCUUUCUGCUUUCAGCUUUGGUUGUUAAGUGCCCUUGCUGGUUUCCGUUAAGGUUGUUAAGUACUCCUGCUGCUUUUACAGUCUGUCGUGUUUCUUCAGUCCUGUCUUCAUCCAGCAGCCAAAACCAAACCAGCGCCAGCGGGGCCGCCUGCUUCCGCCUCCCACGGCUGGCUGCGCCUCAGCACACGCAUCGCCGCCCCACCGUCUCCUAAAUCGUUAACGCCGACGUCCUUCGCGUGCUUUGGUGCGCUCACCGCGGCGCCGCCCUCUCGCGUUGUCAACAUGGUCAACAAACAGCAGGAAUUGGCAGAAGUACGUGGAGAAGAUGACAGUAGGGGCCCACCACGUCAGCGUAUGGAAAAAUAAAAUGCUUCCUCCUAGUGUUUUCCUGACAUCUGGGACCGACGACAUUGUGAGCGUAUAUAGUCAAUAGACAAGAGAACAUCACAAGAUCGGCUGACACCUGGGACGUAGCUACUCGAGCAGUAUUUUUUUGUUUGGUAUUGUUGAGACGGAGCAGGGUUUGAACUGGGCUGUGGCCCGUCUAGCCCAGGCUUAUAUUUUAUGUUCACCAAGUGACUAGCCCAGCUACUUUUUCUUUGUGAAAAUGAGCCCAGUUUAUUUUUUCUGAAGAAUACCCAAUCCAGGCCUACUUAUUUUUCUACGCCCUGAUGGGCUGCAACUCUUUCAAGACGCCUGCAAAUCUUGAAAGUAAUAUGAAAUGGGUUGUAAAUAUAAAAACAGAUGACAAAUUGGCAAUUACUUUAUAAUUUCUGAAUUUUAUCACAUUUUCAGAUUCCUAUUUCACUGGGCAUUAGCCUAAUUUAAAUAUAUCUUCAAAGUACUUUAAAUCUGGCUGGACAUUUCGGUAUUAAAAAUAGUUUGGAACCCAUAGAAAUAUGCAAAAUUGGCCCUGGCCAACCAAAACAAUGACUACAAUAAAUUGCAUAAGAAGUUUCCAUGAGCUAUAUAUAAAUUAUUAUAUAUAGCCAUGGUGCGCUCGGCGCGGCGUGGUCAACAUGGUCAAGGAACGGCUUCCAUCGGAUGUGGACUGUACGUGGAGAGGCUGACAGCUGGGUCCACGGCCGCAGCAAGGAAGUGCCUCCUUAUUACGUGCAAAAUAAUUAUUCCUCCACCUAACAGCAGGGACCCACCAGACGGGCCACCAGUAUUUUGUGAAAAAAUCAUUUCCCCCUGAUUGCUGGGACCCACCAGACGGGCCACCGUAUUUCGCGAAAAAAACGUUCCCCCCGCUGUCAGCUCGGCCCCACCGGAAGUGCCUCCUUAUUAUGCACAAAAAAAUGAAUACUCCCCCGGCUAGCUGGGACCCACCUUGGUGGGAGGCUAACUUGUGGGCCUACUAAGUUGACGGGGAUGAAGGGCUUUGUCAACUUAGUCAAUAUGAAUGAUUCUAGCUCCAUUGACCGUGCGAUGUCCAUCCAACGGCCGUAGUGCUUCUUUAACCUCUGGUCUUCUUGCUCCAGCCGCCCAAAGCAGCGCCGGUCAUGCCGCAUGGUCCUGCCUCCCGUGGCCGGCUGUGCUGCCACGGAGGCCUCACCGCCCCCUACUAUUCCCACCGCUGGCCAGGCCCUGCGGCGGCGACAGCCUCACACCGCAGCCGAACCAGUGAACCCUCGUACUCCUCUCCACGCGCGCAGGCUUCCACUGUCGCGUCUUCCCCGGCUCCCCGUCGUCCCCUUCCUAGGCCUCGCCGUCGUCCACCGCCCUGGUGCUCUCGGGGCGGCGUGGUCAAUGUGGUCAAGGAACGACUUUCAUCGUACGUGGACUGUACGUGGAGAGGCUGCCAGCUGGGUCCACGGCGGCAGCAAGGAAGUGCCUCCUUAUUAUGCAGAAAAUAAUAAUUCCUCCACCUGACAGCAGGGACCCACUGGACAGGCCACCGUAUUUCGCGAAAAAAACGUUUCCCCCCUGACUGCUGGGACCCACCAGCUACACCUUCGCACGCAAGGAAGUGCGUCCGAGCAAAAAAAAACGAUUCGCCCCCUCACUGCUGGGACCCACCAGCUACAUCUUCGCACGCAAGGAAGUGUAUCCGGGCAAAAAAACCAAAAUGAUUCGCCCCCCUGACUGCUGGGACCCACCAGCCCCCCGACUGCUGGGACCCACUAGCUACAUCUUCGCACCCAAGGAAGUGCGUCCGGGCAAAAAAAUGAUUCGCCCCCUGAUGCUGGGACCCACCAGCUACAUCUUCGCAGGCAAGGAAGUGUCUGACAGUCGGGACCCACCUGGUCGAAGCGUAUGUAGCGUUAACAUUCUGGUCGCGAACGUGUACGUACAUACUGGUCGAUGUAGAGGCGCGCACGUGUCGUAGUAGAGGCGCACACGUGUCAUAGUAGAGGCGCGCACGUAGCAUGUACACGUACGUACAGCGGCCAGGGUGCAAGAAAGAAAAUACGACCACGUAUGUGUACAUACGGGCGGGGUCUCGAACGCCUACUCGCGCAUACUUACGGCGAGGGCUCGUGUACAUGUCUGGGUCGGAACGGAGAAACAGCGUCGUCGUCGUGUUCAUGGGUCGGAACGGAAUGCGUGGUCGUGUUCAUCGGGAGGGCUUGAAUGGAAGAGGCGAUGGAAACGAGGCCUGGCGUACCACACAACGGAGGAAACAGACCUCCUACGGUCGAAACGGGGGUCCUGUUGAUCGGGAGGGGUGUGGCGUACCGCAAAACGGAGGAAACGGACCUCCUACGGUCGAAACGGGGGUCCUGUUGAUCGGGAGGGGUGUGGUGUACCGCAAAAUGGAGGAAACGGACCUCCUACGGUCGAAGUGGGGAUCCUGUUGAUCGGGAGGGGUGUGGCGUACCGCACAACNNNNNNNNNNNNNNNNNNNNNNNNNNNNNNNNNNNNNNNNNNNNNNNNNNNNNNNNNNNNNNNNNNNNNNNNNNNNNNNNNNNNNNNNNNNNNNNNNNNNNNNNNNNNNNNNNNNNNNNNNNNNNNNNNNNNNNNNNNNNNNNNNNNNNNNNNNNNNNNNNNNNNNNNNNNNNNNNNNNNNNNNNNNNNNNNNNNNNNNNNNNNNNNNNNNNNNNNNNNNNNNNNNNNNNNNNNNNNNNNNNNNNNNNNNNNNNNNNNNNNNNNNNNNNNNNNNNNNNNNNNNNNNNNNNNNNNNNNNNNNNNNNNNNNNNNNNNNNNNNNNNNNNNNNNNNNNNNNNNNNNNNNNNNNNNNNNNNNNNNNNNNNNNNNNNNNNNNNNNNNNNNNNNNNNNNNNNNNNNNNNNNNNNNNNNNNNNNNNNNNNNNNNNNNNNNNNNNNNNNNNNNNNNNNUAGGCAUCCACGCGCCAGCAUUUCUGUGGUUGGGGUUUUUGUUUUUUUUGAAAGGGGGGGGGGUUGGGGGGUUUUGGGGGGUUAAUUUAGGUGUUUCAUAUAUUGUGUUAGCUAGCUAUAAUUAAUAGAGAGAAGUGUCCUCUCUUAUGUCCGUGCUUGGUCGACGCUACGUACUAUACAUACGUAUAGAGAGGACUAGACACGCUAGCUAGCUAGUAAGCAAACGAAGGAAACAGAAGAUCGUCAUGAACAUAUAUGCAUACAGAGAGAAGUGAUAUCGACCACCUCUCCUUCUCUGAGAGAUUGGUCCAACAACAAGUUCUCAUAUAUCUAUCCGACACUACCGGCUAUAUAUAUAUACAAUAAUUAUCUCUUACAAAUAUAAUCAUACGGACUCAGGGUCCACAUAGUAUUCUCCGUCUUCAGGGAUCACUUGGUCAAGAAAGAAUGCCGCCAAUUCCUCUUGAAUUGCUCGCAUGCGAGCUGGUGCUAGGAGUUCAUCCCGCUUCCGAAACAUCUAAUUUAAAGAAGGGGGUCAAUAUAUAAAUAUAUAUGAAUGAAUGAAACUCAACACAAAUGAUGGUAAUAAAAUAAAAUUGUGAAUGUUGUUAUUUACGUACUUCAUAUUGUUCGUCAGUGUAGCCCCGCUCACAGGUCAUGUGGCGGAUGGACUCGCAAACGCAGUAUCCACAGAAAUCAUUCCCUUGUUCCUGCCACAACCACUUUACAAGAAAUAGAGGUCAAUCAAACUGAUAAGCAAGAAUGUCAAAUGGUAUUGAUGAAACUAGCGCUUGAAUGACUAGUAGAUGCGCGGAACAUGCUACUAUAGUACUUACUUUCGGGUGUCUAAAUUGCAGCUCCUUCGGCAGUCCCGGAGCUUUUCUGGUGAAUUUUCUCCAAACCCUGCCGGACAAAGAAAACAAUUACUUGAUAUAUCAGGAAAUGAACAAAGUUGCUGAUAUGGUGGAUAAUGAUCGAUUUAACUUACUUCUCGAGUAUUUGAGUCAUGUCUGCAUAGUCCUAGGGAUCUUUUCGUCUUGAGUCUAAGACGGUUACUAGUCCCUGCUCAAGCUUAAUCUCUAGGAGAAUAUAGUGGAAACUGCACAUGCAUGCAUAACUCAUCAAUUACAUUACUAUAAACUUGACUAAUAUAUAAGGGAAACCGAAUACACACAAGACAGUAACACUCACUUGAAGUUGUAAGGAAAGAGUAUUACAUCUUUGUUUUCAUUUAUUACCAACGAUCGUAGCAAGUUGGCCUCGGUAGCUGUGGCAUGAAAUUUAACCUGAGUUGCAUCUAUGAGAUAUGUGUUAAUGAACCCAAUAUCACCAACUUGUCUUUUCUUCAAUUCGGCGAUCUUCAAUCUGCAUAAUAUAGUGAGGAUGAUUAUAAAUACAUGCAAUGAAAGAGCUGAGCUAUAUAGAGAGACUUAAUGACAGAGGUAGUACUACUUACAGACAGUAGCAGGCGACCGUUGUUUUAUCGAGGGCCAAUUGAUUGAAAAACUGAUAGAACUCCUCAAAUGGAACAGGCAACAGUUCAAUUCCAACGAGGUCAUGCUCCUUUUUUACUUUCACAUACAAAGUACUCCUCCCCUCAGAGUCUCUGCAGAUUUUCAAGUACCAAUCAUGCAAUCUUCGCAUCAUCGUUGAUAGAGAUCUUUCAUCUUUGACGAGAGGCUUCCUGUACUCGUAUCUUUGUAUCUGCACCUCCAUGGGUUCAUAAUGUACAUCGUCGGGCAGGUAAUCUGCAAGAUUGCUAUGACCGGGCACCAUCCUCGGAUCAUUAGCGACAUUGUGGCUAGGCACCUUGAGCGGGGGGCAUGAUUGCUUCGCUUGUUCGCGGAGCUGGGCAAUUUGUUUCCCAGCUUGUCAGUCUUUCAGCCUUUGAUCACUGACAGUACUUCCCGACCGCUCCGCUUCGGCAAAGUCCUUUCCAAUAAUGCGCUCAUAGUUUCCUUUCGGCGGAGACUUGGGUGCUUUUGUCAGGGCAGCCAGAGUGCGCUUCGCUUUCACCAGAUCUACCUUCUCCUCCGGAAGUGGAUGUCUCUUUGCUUUCAACCCUUGAAACCAGUCAUCCACUUCGGUUUGUGCGAUCUCGGCGUUCUCCUCCGGGGUCCUCUCGUAUGGUAACUUCUCUGGAGUCUUCAGAGAAGGACCGAAUCUGUAUGUCCUCCCGCCUCUGGCUGUACUGCUAGACGCCGACCGAGCAGACGGAGCGGUUGUCUUCUUUACUUGCUUACGAGGCGGAGGAGAAGGACUACGACGCGCCAGAGCAGCCGGAGCGGCGGCAGGUCUCUUCCGCCCUUGCUGACGAGGCGGCGAAGGAGGAGGCUGGCUGCUCGGGCGCGUCGGCGCAGGCGGAGAAGGAGGCGGAGUGCCACCACGCGCUGGAGAAGGAGCCGGUCGAGUGCCCUGAUGGACGAGGCGGAGUGCCCUGACUCGCCAGAGGAGGAGGCGGUCGAGGAGGCGGAGUGCCCUGACUUGCCGGAGGAGGAGGAGGAGGAGGCAGAGGCGUCCAGUUCGGAAGGUUGAUGAGCUCCUUCCGCCAUAGACAUGGAGUCUUCAGAGCAGACCCCAGCCUAGUCUCCCCUUCACCGGUAGGAUGGUCAAGCUGGAGAUCCUCAAAUCCCUCUGUUAUUUCAUCCACCAUCACCCUAGCAUAUCCUUCUGGAAUCGGCCGACAGUGAAAAGUUGCGCCGGGUUCAGUAGGAUAAACAGAGCCAACAGCCGCCUUGACCUUCAAAUUCAUCAAUUGCGUCAUAAGGUGGCAAUUUUGAGACUCCGUGAUAGCAUCCACGGGAUAGCUGGCAGGAGCCGUCAAGGCAUGCUCCGGCUGAAGCAGCUCGGUGGAAGCCACGCUGCUUCUUCGCUGAGAUGGCAGGGUAGCUUCGGGGGAAGCUUUGGCAGUACGUUUGCUGCGAUUUGCUUCUCGUUCCUCUAUCGCUUGUACCCUUGCUUGCAGCGCCUGCAUUUGGGUCUUCUGCACUUUUUUCCUCCUCUCAUGGGAUUUGUAACCACCUGCGUCCGGAAACCCAACCUUCCACAGAAUGGAGCCUGGCAUGCCUCGUGUCCAGGGUGCUCAUGAUUCCUGAGGGCCAUUCUGAGCUCGUCAUUCUCUCUGUCUGGAAAGAACGCCCCUUGCUGCGCUGCUUCGAUAUAGUGCUAAAGCAUCCUGACUGGUAUGUCCAUUUGAUUGUUCGUCCAAAUGCACUUCCCUGUUACAGGGUCCAAGGUUCCGCCAGCCCCGAAGAAUCAAGUCCGGCAACGGUCUGGCCAGUUAAUUGUCUCUGGUUCGAUCCCUUUAUCAACCAGAUCAUUCUCAGUCUUGGCCCACUUAGGACGGGCUACGAGGUAGCCACCUGACCCCGUGCGAUGGUGAUGCUUCUUCUUUCGCAACAUUUUGCUUGUUUGUCGCCGACUUCUUCUUACUCUUUUUCGAUGUCUUGUGGGCCACAAAUGCGGGCCAGUGAUCUCUGAUCUUCUCAUAUCUGCCCUUGAAUUCUGGUGUCUCAUUAUUUUCGACAAACUUAUUCAGCUCUUUCUUCCACCUCCUGAAUAGUUCUGCCAUCCUCUUAAGAGCAAAAGACUUGAUUAAUUGCUCUUUAACUGGCUUCUCUGGAUUAUCCUCUGGCGGUAGGGUGAAAUUUGACUUCAGCUCAGUCCAAAGAUCAUUUUUCUGCAUAUCAUUGACAUAAGACACCUCAGGGUCUUCUGUAGCCGGCUUAAACCAUUGCUGGAUGCUGAUCGGGAUCUUGUCCCUAACCAAAACCCCACACUGAGCAACAAAUGCGCUCUUUGUCCGGAGGGGUUCAAUCGGUUGGCCGUCGGGCGCGAUUGCUAUGAUCUCAAACUUUUCAUCCGAGCUCAACUUUUUCUUCGGGCCUCGUCUCUUUACCGAAGUUGUGCUCGAUCCGGAGGGCUAGAAAAAAGAACAAAGACUUAAUUAAUAUGUGUACAUACCAAAACAAUGAAUGCAUCAAUUAGCUAGUCAGCAGAAGCUUAACUAAUAUAUAUACCUGGCCGGACUCGGUUCGGUCACCGAAGAUGUCAUCACGAUCUCCUUCUUGCACCGGCAUUGGGUCACCGGAGCCGUCCUCACGGUCUCCUUCUUGCACCGGCAUUAGGUCACCGGAGCCAUCAUAAUCAGCUGCUUCCAGACCAUCGGUCUUGUUGAGAAACAACGAGCAGAUGGCAUCACUUCCUCGUGCGAUUAUGCCCCCCAACAACUCUUCUUGUACUUCGUCUCGGGCGGUGUCCAUAGUUUCUACAAAUAUUGACAACAUGGCAAUUAUUAUUCAAACAUGACAGAUGGAUAUAUUAGUGGCAAAAACAUAGAACUAAUAUUAAUUAGUGGCCUCGAUGCAGCUUCUCUAGGGUUUGGGGUGGCCUCGACCCCUCGGCGAUCCUCGACCCCUCAAACCCUCGACGACCCUGGACCCCUCGACCCCUCGAACCCUCGACGACCCUAGACCCCCUCUUGACCCCCUCAUGUCGAAGUUGUCGGGUAGGGGGUAUAUCGACAACGACAUACCCAAUACAUGCAUACAUACAUACAUAUCACAUGCAUCCAUACAUAUAUGAACAAAAUUAAUAUCUACUAAUUAACAACCUAAAUAAAAAAACUAAUACAUAUAGGAAGAAGAAGAAAAAAGAAGAGAAGAAAGAAUAGAGGAGAAGACUUCCUCUUCUUCCUCUCCUCUUCUUCUCCCUCUUCUUCUCCCUCUUCUUCUCCCUCUUCUUCCCCUUCUUCCCUCGACCCCCUAAACUAGUUCUCAACCCUCGACCCCCUAAACUAGUUCUCAACCCUCGACCCCCUAAACUAGUUCUCAACCCUCGACCCCCUAAACUAGUUCUCGACCCCCCCUCAUGUCGAAGUUAUCAGGGAGGCGGUAUAUCGACCCCCCUCAUGUCGAAGUUAUCGGGGAGGGUUAUAUCGACCCCCCUCCUGUCGAAGUUAACGGAGAGGGGGUANNNNNNNNNNNNNNNNNNNNNNNNNNNNNNNNNNNNNNNNNNNNNNNNNNNNNNNNNNNNNNNNNNNNNNNNNNNNNNNNNNNNNNNNNNNNNNNNNNNNNNNNNNNNNNNNNNNNNNNNNNNNNNNNNNNNNNNNNNNNNNNNNNNNNNNNNNNNNNNNNNNNNNNNNNNNNNNNNNNNNNNNNNNNNNNNNNNNNNNNNNNNNNNNNNNNNNNNNNNNNNNNNNNNNNNNNNNNNNNNNNNNNNNNNNNNNNNNNNNNNNNNNNNNNNNNNNNNNNNNNNNNNNNNNNNNNNNNNNNNNNNNNNNNNNNNGGCGGCGACGGCGAGCACAGGCAGCCUGGCGGCGUCGUCGGGGCGGGAUCAAAGAACUGAACCAAAAAUUUCACAAGGAUGGCUUAUAUAGACGGGGCAUUGGUCACGGUUUGUGCCACAAACCGUGACCAAUGCAUCCUUUAGUCCCGGUUGGUGCCACCAACCGGGACCAAAGGCCUUGUGCGGCUACGGCGUCGAAAGUUUAGUCCCACCUCGCUAGUUGAGAGGGGUGCGCAGUGGUUUAUAAGCCCCACUGCCGCACCCCUCUCGAGCUUCUCUCCAUUGCAGGCUUACGGGCCUAAUUGUCACUGCUAUGCCUGUGGGCCUAUUGGGCCUCCUGCGGGCCUGAAUCCUGGCCCUUGGAUGGGUUUCUAGUCGUAUUCAGGCCGUGGUGGCCCAGUAGGUGGCAUUUUUUUGUUUUUUUGUUGCUUUAUUUAUUUAUUUUCUUUUGUUUUUUUCUUUAUUUUUUAAUUCUUUAUGCUUUUAGUUUUAGAAAAAUUAUAAACUUUUUGUUAAUGCCAUUAGUUUUCAAAUUNNNNNNNNNNNNNNNNNNNNNNNNNNNNNNNNNNNNNNNNNNNNNNNNNNNNNNNNNNNNNNNNNNNNNNNNNNNNNNNNNNNNNNNNNNNNNNNNNNNNNNNNNNNNNNNNNNNNNNNNNNNNNNNNNNNNNNNNNNNNNNNNNNNNNNNNNNNNNNNNNNNNNNNNNNNNNNNNNNNNNNNNNNNNNNNNNNNNNNNNNNNNNNNNNNNNNNNNNNNNNNNNNNNNNNNNNNNNNNNNNNNNNNNNNNNNNNNNNNNNNNNNNNNNNNNNNNNNNNNNNNNNNNNNNNNNNNNNNNNNNNNNNNNNNNNNNNNNNNNNNNNNNNNNNNNNNNNNNNNNNNNNNNNNNNNNNNNNNNNNNNNNNNNNNNNNNNNNNNNNNNNNNNNNNNNNNNNNNNNNNNNNNNNNNNNNNNNNNNNNNNNNNNNNNNNNNNNUUUUUUUGUUUUCUUUGUUGCUUUAUUUAUUUUGUUUUGUGAUUAACUUUACUAUAAAAAUAGUUUUUUCUUGUUUUUUUGAUUUGUUUUUUGCAUUAUUUAUUUUCUUUUGUUUUUUGCUUUAAUUUUUAAUUCUGUUUGCUUUUAGGUUAGCAAAAUUAUAAACUUUCUGUUACUGCCAUUAGUUUUAGAAAAAUUAUAAACUUUUUGUUAGUGCCAUUAGUUUUCAAAUUUGAAUUCUUUGAAAAUUGUUUGAAUCACAAGUUUGUGAUUAACUUACUAAAAAAAUGAGAAUAGAUGCACUUAUAGAGAAAAUUCAACCUAAAUUCCUAGUAAAUUUCUAUGAAUUUCAGAGAAAUUCACUAUGAAUUUAGGUUAAACUUUUUCGCUAUUAGGGCAUCUAUUUUCACUUUGAGAGGAGCUCAACAAGGCAGAGAGGGAAGGGCUUAUAAACCGGUGUGAGCCCCCUUCGGUUGGCGAGGUGGGACUAAACUCUGCUCACAACGAGGACCAACCCUUUAGUCCCGGUUGGUGGCACAAACCGGGACUAAUGGUCAUGGGCCAGGGGCGAGGAGCAAAAUUAUAAACUUUCUGUUAGUGCCAUUAGUUUUUGAAAGUUGAAAGUUGAAAGUUGGCAUGGGCCAGGGACUAAUGGUCAUGGUAUUACGAGGGCCGAACCAUAAGACAUGAAAGCAUUUCAAAUGAACUCUGAAAAAGUUUAAAGUUGGCAUGGUAUCAUAAUUUCACCCACAUAGCAUGUGCAUGUACAAAACGGACAAUGGUAGCAUGUUCGUGUGUUACAAAGUUGGCAUGGUAUCAUCAUAAUAGUUGCGGGACAAAGUCUUAACUUUUUCUUCGCUUGUGUCAUUUGCUUAUUGCACCGUAACCAUGGAUAAUCCUCAUUGUUUAUCAGGAUGCUUGGGUCAGCCUUGACAUUGAAGGGAGGAAUUUCAUGAAAUUUUCAUAAUCUUCAGACAUGUCUGUCUGGCCGUCCACUCCCAGGAUGUCCCUUUUUCCUGAAAGAACUAUGUGGCGCUUUGGCUCAUUGUAUGAUGUAUUUGCUUCCUUAUCUUUUCUUUUUCUCGGUUUGGUAGACAUGUCCUUCACAUAGACAACCUGUGCCACAUCAUUGGCUAGGACGAACGGUUCGUCAGUGUACCCAAGAUUUUUCAGAUCCACUGUUGUCAUUCCGUACUGUGGGUCUACCUAUACCCCGCCGCCUAACAGAUUGACCCAUUUGCACUUAAACAAAGGGACCUUAAAAUCAGGUCUGUAGUCAAGUUCCCAUAUGUCCGCUAUGUAACCAUAAUAUGUGUCCUUUCCGCUCUCGGUUGCUGCAUCAAAGCAGACACCGCUGUUUUGGUUGGUGCUCUUUUGAUCUUGGGCGAUCGUGUAAAAUGUAUUCCCAUUUAUCUCGUAUCCUUUGUAAGUCAAUACAGUCAAAGAUGGUCCCCUGGACAACAAGUACAACUCAUCACAAACAGUGUUUGUCACCUCUGAGACAUGUUUCUAACCAACUGCUGAAAGUCCUGAUGUGUUCACAUGUAAUCCAGUCGUCGCACUGCUCCGGGUGUUUGGAGCGCAGAACGUUCUUGUGUUCAUCGACAUACGAGGUCACCAAGGUAGAGUUCUAUAGAACUGUGUAGUUUGCUUGAGACCAAGAAUAUCCAUCCCUGCAUAUUAUUGAGUCUCUUCCAAGAGUGCCUUUUCCAGUCAGUCUCCCCUCAUACCGCGAUUUAGGGAGACCUAUCUUCUUAAGGCCAGGAAUGAAGUCAACACAAAACCCGAUAACAUCCUCUGUUUGAUGGCCCAUGGAGAUGCUUCCUUCUGGCCUAGCGCGGUUACGGACAUAUUUCUUUAGGACUCCAAUGAACCUCUCAAAGGGGAACAUAUUGUGUAGAAAUACGGGCCCCAGGAUGACAAUCUCGUCGACUAGAUGAACUAGGACGUGCGUCAUGAUAUUGAAGAAGGAUGGUGGGAACACCAGCUCGAAACUGACAAGACAUUGCGCCACAUCACUCCUUAGCCUUGGUACGAUUUCUGGAUCGAUCACCUUCUGAGAGAUUGCAUUGAGGAAUGCACAUAGCUUCACAAUGGCUAAUCGGACGUUUUUCGGUAGAAGCCCCCUCAAUGCAACUGGAAGCAGUUGCGUCAUAAUCACGUGGCAGUCAUGAGACUUUAGGUUCUGAAACUUUUUCUCUGGCAUAUUUAUUAUUCCCUUUUUAUUCGAUGAGAAGCCAGUCGUGACCUUCAUACUGAGCAGGCAUUCAAAGAAGAUUUCUUUCUCUUCUUUCGUAAUAGCGUAGCUGGCAGGACCUUUAUACUACUUCAGAGGCAUGCCGCCUUUUUCGUGCAAACGUUGCAGGUCCUCCCGUGCCUCAGGUGUAUCUUUUGUCUUCCCAUACACGCCCAAGAAGCCUAGCAGGUUCACGCAAAGGUUCUUCGUCACGUGCAUCACGUCGAUUGAGGAGCGGACCUCUAGGUCUUUCCAGUAGGGUAGGUCCCAAAAUAUAGAUUUCUUCUUCCACAUGGGUGCGUGUCCCUCAGCAUCAUUCGGAAUAGCUAGUCCACCGGGACCCUUUCCAAAGAUCACGUAGUGUAAAUCAUUGACCAUAGCAAGCACGUGAUCACCGGUGCGCAUGGCGGGCUUCUUCCGGUGAUCUGCCUCGCCUUUGAAAUGCUUGCCUUUCUUUCGACAUUGAUGGUUGGUCGGAAGAAAUCGACGAUGGCCCAGGUACACAUUCUUCCUGCAUUUGUCCAGGUAUAUACUUUCAGUGUCAUCUAAACAGUGCGUGCAUGCGUGGUAUCCUUUGUUUAUCUGUCCUGAAAGGUUACUGAGAGCGGGCCAAUCGUUGAUGGUCACGAACAACAACGCCUUAAGGUUAAAUUCAUCCUGUCUGUGCUCAUCCCACGUACGUACACCGUUUCCAUUCCACAGCUGUAAAAGUUCUUCAACUAAUGGCCUUAGGUACACAUCAAUUUCGUUGCCGGGUUGCUUAGGGCCUUGGAUGUGAACUGGCAUCAUAAUGAACUUUCGCUUCAUGCACAUCCAAGGAGGAAGGUUAUACAUACAUAGAGUCACGGGCCAGGUGCUGUGAUUGCUGCUUUGCUCCCCGAAAGGAUUAAUGCCAUCCGCGCUUAAAGCAAACCAUACAUUCCUUGGGUCCUUUGCAAACUCAUCCCAGUACUUUCUCUUGAUUUUUCUCCACUGCGACCCGUCAGCGGGUGCUCUCAACUUCCCAUCUUUCUUUCGGUUCUCACUAUGCCAUCGCAUCAACUUGGCAUGCUCUCCGUUUCUGAACAGAUGUUUCAACCGUGGUAUUAUAGGAGCAUACCACAUCACCUUCGCAGGAACCCUCUUCCUGGGGGCUCGCCGUCAACAUCACCAGGGUCAUCUUGUCUAAUCUUAUACCGCAAUGCACCGCAUACCGGGCAUGCGUUCAGAUCCUUGUAUGCACCGCGGUAGAGGAUGCAGUCAUUAGGGCAUGCAUGUAUCUUCUCCACCUCCAAUCCUAGAGGGCAUAUGACCUUCUUUGCUACGUAUGUACUGUUGGGCAAUUCGUUAUCCUUUGGAAGCUUCUUCUUCAAUAUUUUCAGUAGCUUCUCAAAUCCUUUGUCAGCCACAACAUUCUCUGCCUUCCACUGCAGCAAUUCCAGUACGGUACCGAGCUUUGUGUUGCCAUCUUCACAAUUGGGGUAUAACCCUUUUUUGUGAUCCUCUAACAUGCGAUCGAACUUCAGCUUCUCCUUUUGACUUUCGCAUUGCGUCCUUGCAUCGACAAUGACCCGGCGGAGAUCAUCAUCAUCGGGCACAUCGUCUGGUUCCUCUUGAUCUUCAGCAGCUUCACCCGUUGCAGCAUCAUUGGGCACAUCGUUUGGUUCCUCUUGAUCUUCACCAGCUCCCCCCGUUGCAGCAUCACCAUAUUCAGGGGGCACAUAGUUGUCAUCGUACUCUUCUUCUUCGCUGUCUUCCAUCACAACCCCUAUUUCUCCGUGCCUCGUCCAAACAUUAUAGUGUGGCAUGAAAUCCUUGUAAAGCAGGUGGGAGUGAAGGAUUUUUGGGUUAGAGUAAGACCUCGUAUUCCCACAUUCAGUGCAUGGACAACACAUAAAACCAUUCUGCUUGUUUGCCUCAGCCGCAUCGAGAAACUCAUGCACGCCCCUAAUGUACUCGCGGGUGUGUCUGUCAUCGUACAUCCAUUGCCGGUUCAUCUGCGUGCAUUAUAUAUAAUUAAGUGUCCAAAUUAAUAGAAGUUCAUCAUCACAUUAAAACCAAAGUGCAUACAUAGUUCUCAUCUAACAACAUAUAGCUCUCCAGAGCAUCUAAUUAAUUAAACCAUACAUUGAAACUAUGUAAAACAUUUCAAUGCGAAAACAAAUGUGAUCAUAAUCGCAACCAAGGUAACAAUUGAUCCAACGGCAUAAUGAUACCAAGCCUCGGUAUGAAUGGCAUAUUUUCUAAUCUUUCUAAUCUUCAAGCGCAUUGCAUCCAUCUUGAUCUUGUGAUCAUCGACGACAUCCACAACAUGCAACUCCAACAUCAUCUUCUCCUCCUCAUUUUUUUUAUUUUUUCCUUCAACAAAUUGUUUUCUUCUUCAACUAAAUUUAACCUCUCGACAAUAGGGUUGGUUGGCAUUUCCGAUUCACAUCCUACAUAAAUAAAAUCUAUGUCACGUUGGUCGGCAUAAUUUUCAUAAACAAUAAAUGAACCAAUAGUUAUAAAGAUAAUAUAUAUACCACAUCCGAAUCAUAGACAGGACGAGGGCCGACGGGGGCGGAUACCAAAACCAUCGCACUAUAUAAGAUGCAAUAAUAAAAGUAAGAAAAUAAUACAAGUAUCUAUGUAAACAUACAAGUAAGAAUAUUUUUCCUUUCAGAAAGAAGAUAAAACAAGAGGCUCACCACGGUGGUGCCGGCGAUGAGCUCGGCGCGGGUGAUCGACGGCGGUGAAGACGGGGACGGGGCGUGACGGACCGCUAAACCUAGACAAAUAUUAUGGAAAAUGGAGCUUGGAGGUCGAGCUUGAAGAGGAGAAAGCUUAAGUAGUGUGGCUCGGGCAUUCCAUCGAACACCUUGUGUGCAUAGGAGGUGAGCUAGAGCACCACCAAGCCCUCUCCCCCUCGGUCAGAGAAAAACAGAGCACUGGGGUGCUCUGCUCGUGAGCGAGGGGUAUAUAUAGGCACCUCAUUGGUCCCGGUUGGUGACAUGAGCCGGGACUAAAGGGGAGCCUUUGGUCCCGGUUCAAGCCACCAACCGGGAUCAAUGGUGGUGGGCCAGGAGCGAGGCCCAUUGGUCCCGGUUCAUCCCACCAACCGGGACCAAAAGGUCCAGAUGAGCCGGGACCAAUGGCCCACGUGGCCCGGCCGGCCCCCUGGGCUCACGAACAGGGACCAAUUCCCACAUUGGUCCCGGUUCUGGACUGAACCGGGACUAACGGGCUGACCCGGCCUGGACCAAAGCCCUGUUUUCUACUAGUGCACGGAUACUGUUCAUCUUCACCGUCCCAACCGAUCACCUUCGACCAUCGGGAUUACUCGGCAAGUAUCCGGCGUGCAGGAUGGGCUGCCUUGGUGUUAGACCCGAUAAUUGACGGAUACCACUUCACACGAGUCUUGAUGGAUGGUGAUAGUAGUUUAAACCUGAUAUAUCAGGACACAGUCAGCAAAAUGGGGAUAGACCCAACAACAAUUAGCCAUAGCAAUACUACCUUUAAAGGAGUAACGCCAGGCCCAGAAUCCCAUUGCACGGGCUCCCUGCUACUAGAGGUUAUACUUGGCUUCCCCGAUAAGUUCCGCAGUGAAAAUUUAACCUUCCACAUCACUCCAUUCCAAAGUGGCUAUCAAGAACUACUCGGACGCGAAGCUUUCGCUCGCUUUAACGCAAUACCGUUUACGCUUCCCUCAUGCUCAAGAUUCCCGGUCCACGUGGCAUCAUUACAGUAAAUGGAAAUAUUGAGUGAUCCUUGCGCGCGGAAGACCGUGUGGCUACCUUGGCAGCCGCACACUAAACGGCCUCACCAACUAAAGCAUCUGACAGGUCGUUAAGACCACGAACACGGUUGGACGAGUCCGGUGCAGCUAUAUGUAAUUGAUACAAGUUUGAUGGCUAUACCCCUAUUACAAUACAAGGGGCUCAACGCGCGUGCACAAGUGGCAAUCAGGCUCAACUUUACUCAUUUUGAACUAUAUAUUGUUUAUUUAGUAUAACUUACCUUUUGCACGACAACUUUUCAAUUAAGUUCCUCUCUUUUUUAGAUGACCAUCAUGCUACACCCGUCCAGAAUACGGCACAACGGAGACACAGGUGCAGACGUGCAGCAGGGACCCGUUCCAAGGAUUCUUUUUAGAUUAAGACCCUGCGUAAACCUUUUUUACUGUCUCUUGUUGAUACAAAUCCCUCGGAUUCUUAGUAUAAUUGAGAGGGAUGCUGACGUAUUGGCAUGUGGCCACGUCAGAAUAUUGCAUGUACCUGGACACCAGGGGCUUAUUACAAAGGGCACUGUUUAGGCCCGGCUUCCACCAUAAAGACCGAAUACCUUAGGGAGUGUUCGGUGUCGUGAGUUUGGCCUUAUAUGCAUCAGCUCCGAAUCAUGUUUUUGGUCAAAUGUUGGGUUUGCCCGGCUCAUGUGUUUUGCUGCCUUACGUUCCACUCUAUCGGCACCAGGAGAACUACUGCGAUUGUGCCCUGGUUCAUCCGGACGAGCACCUCAGUAGAGAAAGCUGAAAACUGACUGUCAUGAUAUAGCGUGAGACUAGUCAACCACUCGAUGACCUAGCGGAAUCUUCGGGAUUGCUCCGCCUUAACGAAGGGCCGUUUCCCGGCCAGGCAUGUACGCACCCCGAAUUCGGAUGAGUGCGGAGCCACCAGGGGCUAUAUAGUAGCCCCACUGUCAAACUCCUCUGGCUAAGUGAAAGUGUUAAAGCAUUAUAGUCCGAUUGCCUAGUUCGCUGCGCUAUCACCUCCUUAAUGGACCAAGACGUUGGAUCAAGUGUGAACGUGUGUCUUCUGCGAACACCCCCGCAUUAUAUGCGUGGGGGCUGAAGCCGACGACUGCCAUCUUUCAGGUUAUAUACAUAUAUACAUAAACGGCCGCACAGGAGGCAUCAUAGUACUUUCGGGCAAAAGUAUAAAUACAGCCUUGAUAAACUCAAUAAAACAUUGUUUUAACAAUGGGAAUACGUGUCACUCAAACAUAAUAUUCUUCAAGCACUGAGCCUCUAUCAAACGAGCGCCUUCAAGAACUCCUUCAAAGUAGUGCUCGGCAGCCACUCGGCCUAUGGCCGAACCCUGUGCCGCAACAGUGGUGGCAUCCAUCUCCGCCCAGUAUAUUUUGACACGGGCAAGGGCCAUCGGCGAGCCUUCUAUGCACGCCGACCUCUUUACAGCAUCGAUGUGAUGCACAACGCCAAGGAAUUGUUGCACUAAGCUAAAAUAGCUAUUCGGCCUUGGCCCUCCUGGCCACAAAUGAUCCACAAUGGACCUCAUGGCCAGUCCGGAUAAUCUAUGGAGCUCGGCCCAACCGGUCAAUCACUCAUUCAGCAACAGCGGACGGGCUGGAGCGUGAAACUGUGACCAGAACAAUUUAUCCACUUCAGGACCUUUCUGAUCCUUGAAGUACUCGGUCGCAUCCGCAGCACUUGCAGCCAAAUCCAUGUACUCAUCCGCAGAACUACAUAGCCGGUCCAGAGGAGCAUAUUUCGGAUCUCCGAACUUAGUCCGCAACAAGAAGGACUUCCCAGAAACGAUAUCCGCAGCUUGAUUCAGCUCCUCCUUGUCGCUCUAAUUUUGGAGCGGGCUUCCUUGGCAGCCACCCGGGCCUUCUCCAGGUCCGUCGCCUUCACCCGGUUUUCUUCUCCAAGAAGCCGAUAACAGUCAGCAACAUUUUUUUACUCCAUGGCCAUCUUAGCAAUUUUUUCUUUGCUCCAGCAAUGUGCGACCUGUUCGGCCCUUAACUCUUCGGCCGCCUUUAAAGCGGUCGCAUUACUACUCCUUGCUUGAUCCUUGGCUCGGGUAAGCUCCGCCCGAAGGGUCUCCACGGUGGCAGCUCCAUCUGCAGUCACAACAUAUUAAAGAUACUAGCAUCAUGCUGCUCUUAGUAUGUGACAUUCACUAGAAGAAUCACCUACCCUGUGCCUCGUCAAGCCGCUUAUUGACAAGCACGAUGUCGGCAUCUGCCGCAUCCAGCUGCCGCUUUAGUUCGGCAUACCCAUCAGUCCGGCUAGCCACCGGAGCCUCCACCACCUGCACAUAAAGGCAGUCUGGUUACUACCUGGGACUAUGAUCCUCCGUUUGCCACCGUUUUCGACGACAACCAGAGUCUCAAGGCUACUAUCUACACAGGGCACAUCUAAAAAUGUGUGGUACUUUCAAAAAUGUACAUCAUUUCGCGUACCUCAAAACCCGUCAGUAGACUCGUAAAGGCUUCAUGCGGCGCUUUUGGCAGACGAAAUCCUUUCAAUCACCGUACCCAUCAAUGUGUGGUGCUCUUCUGAGAUAGCCGCUUUCUCCAGCAGAUCCCUUCGUACAUCCGACCGCACACCAGACGGUGCAGGACUCUUUUGAUUUCUCUCUUUGAGAGCCGGAUACUGAGGACUUUGGGUGGCCACAUGAUUACCUUCUGGCCUUGCCGGAUCAGGAGAAGCCCUCCGCGAUGACACCUCGGGGUCGCCCUCUACGUAAGGCGGUGUGGCAGGGGGAGGCGUUUCGCUCUCCAUCAUCUCCGGAAGAAGAUCCCCCGAAGACGAGCUCUGCUGAGAAGGGCUAAGAUCCGAACUACAAGAUAAAUGCUUCGAUUAUUUUCCUCAGAAAUAGAGCAAGAUAUUUUCGUUAUUGAAUACCCUUUUACUUACAGCUUAGUAGAGGGCUGAUCCCCGCGCGGACAUUGUGCGGCAAGAGUACCCUCCAGGGCAGGUCCCUCUGGCGGAGAUUUCUUCUCCCGUUUGGAAACCUUAGUUUCCGGAUCUUCAGAGGUAGACCUCUUCCUUCCCCGGGGAGAGAGAAUGUCAAAUUCUUCCCCUUGGUUAUCCUCCCUCGCGGAGGUGCUCAUUCCCUCGAUGGGAAUAGGUAGCGACGGAGGCCCGCUUUCGCCCUCUUUAUUCCCCCCUUCAUCUUCCUUUGAGGGCACUAGACAAGGUGCUGGCUCGAGCAUCUUUUCCAGCACCGGAUUGUCCAAGCCUUCAGGAAGGGGGGCCGAACACCGGAUCAUCUUCGCCUUUGUUAUCCAGUCCUGGUUAAAGAGUGAUUCUUCAAAAUGAUGUCAUGAUAAAUAAAAAGACAGUGUGUUCGGCCAUGGGAUUACUUACUUGGGGAGCAGGGCAGUUGCAGCUCAGGCCCACGUCCUCGGUAGUGUCCGGACACUCUAUUUGGGGUCCGAAGAACGAUUUGUACAUCUCCUCGUGCGUCAUGCCGAGGAAAUUCUGAAUAGUGCGCGGUCCUUCCGGGUUGAAUUCCCACAUGCGGAGGGUCCGGCGUUUGCAAGGCUGGACUCGACGAACCAGCAUAACUUGCAUUACCAUAACCAGACUAAAAUCCCCCUCGAAGAGAUCUCAGAUACGGCUCUACAGUAUUGGCACGUCCUUGGCUGGACCCCCGAUCAGCCCCCUGCUGAUCCAUGACAUCAGUUGUGGUGGAGGGCCCGAGCGAAAGGUGGGGGAAGCUACCCACUUGGCACUUCGGGCAGCUGUGACGUAAAACCACUCCCGUUGCCACAAUCCGGACACCUCUGGAAAGGAACCCUUUGGCCAUGGAGCGUCAGCAAUUUUUCUUAUUAGAGCACCUCCGCACGCUACGUACUGCCCCUCGACCAUCUUUGGCUUCACAUUGAAGGUCUUGAGCCAUAGGCCAAAGUGAGGGGUAAUGCGGAGGAAGGCCUCACAGAUGACAAUAAAUGACGAGAUGUGAAGAAGGGAAUCCGGGGCCAGAUCUUGAAAAUCCAGCCCAUAAUAGAACAUGAGGCCCCUAACAAAAGGAUCCAGAGCGAGGCCUAGUCCUUGGAGGAAGUGGGAGAUGAACACAACGCUCUCAUUGGGUUCGGGAGUAGGGACGACCUGCCCUCGGCCGAGCAGCCUAUGCGAAAUUUCAGCGGUCAGAUAUCAGGCCUCCCUCAACUUCUUGAUGUCCUCCUCCGUGACGGAGGAAGGCAUCCACCUGCCUUGAAGGCUGGAUCCGGACAUGAUUGAAGGUCCGGGGCACCUGACCUGGGCUUUGGGUGUUAGAACUCGAGGCGGGGGAAGGAUUCGAUUGAGCACGGGAGGGAAAAAAGAAAAAGCCUUGUCCCUUUAUAAAGGGGAUGAAUAUCAGGCGUCCUCCUCGUAGCCGUUCUAGACUUACCUAAAAUCUAGGAGUCAUACCAACAGGCACGGUUGGGUUACCCACAUUUGUAUUGAUGAGAAUCCCGUGAUAAGGGGAACACGAUCUCUGCUUUGACAAGACGUGUCAAGAAACCGCCUCGCGUUAUGUGCGGGGCUGGUUAAAGAAAAAUGGUUCAAAUAAUUACCGGGCCGUGGCGUGAUGUCAUGCUGCCAAAACAUGUCAGCAAAUUGGACUUGUGGAAAUAUUAUUCUCUCUACAAUGGUAUGUGGAACUUAUUUUGCAGGGUCGGACACUAUCCUUGUAUUCAAACUCUUCCGUGGUGUAUUCGGAGGAGGAACCCGCCUUGCAAUGCCGAAGACAACACUGCAUGCCAGACUCAUCAUCAUUGAAGCCUGGUUCAGGGGCUACUGAGGGUAUCCUGGAUUAGGGGGUCUCCGGAUAGCCGAACUAUAUCCUUUGGCCGGACUGUUGGACUAUGAAGAUACAAGAUUGAAGAUUUCGUACCGUGUCCGGAUGGGACUCUACUUGGCGUGGAAGGCAAGUUAGGCAAUACGGAUAUGGAUAUCUCCUCCUUUGUAACCGACCUUAUGUUACCCUAGCCUCCCUCGGUGUCUAUAUAAACCGGAGGGUUUUAGUCCGUAGGACAACAUACAAUCAUACCAUAUGCUAGCUUCUAGGGUUUAGCCUCUCUGAUCUCGGGUAGAUCAACUCUUGUACUACUCAUAUUAUCAAGAAUAAUCAAGCAGGACGUAGCGUUUUACCUCCAUCAAGAGGGCCCGAACCUGGGUAAAACAUCGUGUCCCCUGCCUCCUGUAACCAUCCGCCUUAGACGCACAUUUCGGGACCCCCUACCCGAGAUCCGCUGGUUUUGACACCGACACCCGCAGCACCAAGUGGGUAGCUGCACUCACGUUUCGCCCUGGCCCACCGUUACAGCUUGCAUCAUGGGCCAACAAGGGGCUGGAUUGGGGAUCAGUUGAUGAAGUGCGGACUCUACAAAGUCGCAUACGAACCCUCCUCGAGAGGGAUAUCGAUCUUGUCAGCGUGAUUCAAGUAAUGUUGAUUCGCCGAAUCCUACCAUGCCAACGUACGCCUCUCUGUAUGUGGGAGUUCAAUCCAGAAGGACCACGAUCCCUCCAACACUUCUUCGGCAUUACGCACAAAGGGAUGUGGAAGUUGUUUUUCGGAAAACGAAAACAUUGGCCGAACACUAUUGAGGACACAUGCCUCGACUGUAACUGUCCGGAUACCCCGGUAAGCACUUGACUUCCGAACACCCUUUUUUUAAGUAUGCUGUAAUACAUUAUUGAGCAAACUAUCUCCUCCUAGGGCUGGAUAAACAAAAGCGGAGCUGAUUAGGUGUCCGCCCCCCCCCCCUUUCCGAAGGUUUAGCGGAUCCUGUAUUAACAAGGAUCCUAUCCCCGACACCGUACCAGAUGCUUGUGAAGGAGGGAAAGGCAGAGAGGACCAAAGAUGGCCCCCAUCCCGAUGGUGUGCCAGACAAGAUUCCAUCGUCCGAAGAAAAAAAUGACGGGAAAGUCAACGUCUCUUCCCCCCAUGGGAAGAAAAGGGUCACCUCCGAAGAUUGGGAGGAAAAGGCUCAUAAACGAGGCAAGAUGCCUUCGUCGGGUGGCUCGGGCUUGGAGGACAACGUCAUCGCACAGUCCCAUGAUGAGGACAAGCCUCAGGCCAACUCGUAAGUGAACAAGGGUGUUUUAAACACGUCACACCCCUUUCUUGUAACGUCUAGAAUAUAUGUUUUUUUGUAGUUCGGCACGCAGUCUUCUUCAACAAUCCUCUUCCUCGGGGGAUCUUCUCCCGAGAUGAUGGAAAGCGAGACACCUCCACCAAUCUCGUCGCCCAAUAGGGCGGAUGACUUCAAGGUGUCGUAGCGGAGGGUAUCUCCCGAUCAACAAGUGGUGCGAGGGAUGACGAAGACACAACCCGAAGGUGAUACUUCGGUGGCCCAUGGUCCGGGGACCAACAGUAAAGGCCCCGAACAUUCCGGUCUACAGCCGGAUAUGAAUAAACGGAUUCCUUGAAAGGGAGGCCGUACUCCUUCAGCAGCCUCCGGAGUCCCAGAGGCGCCGGAUAUAUUGACGAACAUGCUGCGACAGGCGUCCGUCUCAGAGGAACAUCGUACCUUGAUGAGCACGGUGAUAGAAAAGGUCCUGGCCGCGAAAAGCGGAUUGAAUGAGGCCUUCAUGGGCCUACUAGGAUGCUUCGAGGUUUGUACCGUAAUAUGUUCGAUUGUGUUUUAUUCAAGAAUACACCUGUGCAUAGAUAGUAGCCCCUAAGACUCUGAUUGGCUUCCCAAGGGAGAUGGUUAUAUGAUCAAAAGAUAUGCCCAGGAAGUAAUAUGAUUGUUGGAACACAGGAUGUGACCUCCCCGGAAACUGUCUGGACUGUAGAGAUUGUGGAUUUGCAAGACAAGAUUGAUGAGGCAGAUACUGAUAUCACGCUUAUCAACAGGCGUCUUGACGAGUCGCAAGGUACAUGUUCAAAGCAAUCCAUACAUAUAAGUUUUUUAAUAUAAGCGUGACACUGAAAGUUGCAUACUGGAAUAUGCAUGGUUGCAGAUGGUGGUGCCGCCGUUGAGAUUCUUCGGGCGGAGCUGGCCCGGGCCAAGGAGUAGGCCUGGUUUAGUAAUGUGGCUGCCAAAAAGGCAUCGACCAAGUUAAAGGCCGAACAAGCUGCUCAGCACCAAGACGAGGAGAAAAUAUCCUCGAUGGUGCUCGAACUAAAAAAUACUACCAGCCGCUAUGAAUUCCUAGAGAAGGAGAAUAAAGCCAAAGCGGCUGAGCUUGACAAGGCCUUGCGAGAGGCGAAAGAAGCGCGGUCCGAAUCUAGAGCGGCCCGUGAGGAGAUCCGGCAAGUUGGGAAGAUUGCCGCUGGUAAGCCAUUUUUAUUACAGACAAAGUUCGGCGAUCCGAAUUAUGCUUAGCUUAACCAAGUGUGGAGUUCUCCAGAUGUGUUUUUGGACAUGCCGAAGAGUUCAUCCGAUGCGGCGCAGUUUUACCAAGCGCAAGAGGGAUAUGCAAUGGAGAAGCUUUUCUGGUCAUAGUUUGGCGCAUCAAAACGCCCUCUACUGCUGAAUGAACAAAUGUCCCAACUGGUCGAGCUUCACAAGAUGUCCACAGCUGCCAUGAAGAACGUCAUACUUUAGCUAUGGCCGACUGAGCCGAUUCCGAAUAGCUAUUUCGGCUUGGUGCGGUGGCUUGCUGAUGCGGUGCCACGUAUCGACGCCGUGAAGUGGUCGACAUGCAUUGAAGGUGCACGGAUGGCCUUUGCCCGAGUCAAGACAUACUGGGGGAAGAUGAAGGCCGUCGAUGUUGCAUUGCAGGGUCCACCCAAGGGCAAGGACCAUCACGCACCAGAGCAAUACUUUGAGGACAUCUUAGAGGCUGCCCGCUUGAUAGAGGGUCAAUGUUCGAAAGGCAUAAUAUUCAAGUGAACUCUUUACAAAUUGUAAAAGACAAUUGUUAUAAUCAAUCUAUAUUUUGAUUUUGCCUAAAGGCUUUUGUUCCUCAUGUGCGGCUGUUUGUAUGUGAACUGAAAGUUUUCCAGUCAUCGGCUUCAGCCCCUGAUGACCCACAAGUAUAGGGGAUCUAUCAUAGUCCUUUGGAUAAGUAAGAGUGUCGAACCCAACGAGGAGCAGAAGGAAAUGAUAAGCAGUUUCCAGCAAGGUAUUCUCUGCAAGUACUGAAAUAAGUGGUAACCGAUAGUUUUAUGAUAGGAUAAUUUGUAAUGAGCAACAAGUAACAAAGGUAAAUAAAGUGCAGCAAGGUGGCCCAAUCCUUUUUGUAGCAAAGGACAAGCCUGGACAAACUCUUAUAUAGAUAAAAGCGCUCCUGAGGACACAUGGGAAUAUCAUCAAGCUCGUUUUCACCACGCUCAUAUGAUUCGCGUUCGGUACUUUGAUAAUUUGGUAUGUGGGUGGACUGGUGCUUGGGUACUGUCCUUACUUGGACAAGCAUCCCACUUAUGAUUAACCUCUAUUGCAAGCAUCCGCAACUACAACAAAAGUGUUAAGGUAAACCUAACCAUAGCAUGAAACAUAUGGAUCCAAAUCAGCCCCUUACGAAGCAACGCAUAAACUAGGGUUUAAGCUUCUGUCACUCUAGCAACCCAUCAUCUACUUAUUACUUCCCAAUGCCUUCCUCUAGGCCCAAAUAAUGGUGAAGUGUCAUGUAGUCGACGUUCACAUAACACCACUAGAGGAGAGACAACAUACAUCUCAUCAAAAUAUCGAAUGAAUACCAAAUUCACAUGACUACUAAUAGCAAGACUUCUCCCAUGUCCUAAAGAACAAGCGUAACUACUCACAAAGCAUAAAUAUGUUCAUAAUCGAGGGGUAUUAAUAUGCAUAUAGGAUCUGAACAUAUGAUCUUCCACCAAAUAAACCAACUAGCAUCAACUACAAGGAGUAAUUAACACUACUAGCAACCUACUAGCACCAAUCCCGGACUUGGAGACAAGAAUUGGAUACAAGAGAUGAACUAGGGUUUUGAGAGGAGAUGGUGCUGAUGAAGAUGUUGAUGGAGAUUGCCCUCUCCCGAUGAGAGGAGCAUUGGUGAUGACAAUGGCGAUGAUUUCCCCCUCCAGGAGGGAAGUUUCCCCGGCAGAACAGCUCCGCCAGAGCCCUAGAUUGGUCCCGCCUCGUGGCGGCGGAGUUUCUUCUGAGAACAUGGCUUAUUAUUUUUUCCCAUCGAAAGACUUCAUAUAGCAGAAGAUGGCCACCGGAUAGCCACUAGGGGGCCCACGAGGUAGGGGGGUGCGCUCAGGGGGGUAGGGCGCGCCCCCCACCCUCGUGGGCAGGGUGUGGCCCCCCUGGUGAAUCUCUUCCGCUGAGUAUUUUUUAUAUAUUCUGAAAACGUCUUCCGUGAAGUUUCAGGACUUUUGGAGCUGUGCAGAAUAGGUCUCUACUAUUUGCUCCUUUUCCAGCCCAGAAUCCCAGCUGCCGGCAUUCUCCCUCUUCAUGUAAACCUUGUAAAAUAAGAGAGAAUAUGCAUAAGUAUUGUCACAUAAUGUGUAAUAACAGCCCAUAAUGCAAUAAAUAUUGAUAUAAAAGCAUGAUGCAAAAUGGGCGUAUCAACUCCCCCAAGCUUAGACCUCGCUUGUCCUCAAGCGAAAAGCCAAAAUCGAAAAAUAUGUCCACACGUUUAGAGAUAGAGGUGUCGAUAAAAAUAAAAUACGGACAUGAGGGCAUCAUGAUCAUUCUUAGAACAACAACUUACAUAAUUCUUGUCAUAUGAUUCCUUAUGCUAGAUUAAUAAUUCAAUCACAAUUUCAACUAUGAAUCGUAAACUUCAUUGAAAACUAACAAACUAUAAUCUCAGUCAUUGGAGCAAUUGCAAUUUAUCAUAACAUAGGAAAGAGUCAAUAUAUAAGAGCUUUUCAGCAAGUCCACAUACUCAACUAUCAUAUAGUCUUUCACAAUUGCUGACACUCACACAAUACUUAUGGGUAUGGAGUUUUAAUCGGACACGGAGAAAGAUAGGGGCUUAUAGUCUUGCUUCCCAACAUUUUACCUCAAGGGUAAUGUCAACAAUAAUAGUUCAUGAAAACUCACAUCCAAUUAGCCAUAUAUACCAAGAUCUUUCCAACAUACUGUGCUCGCCAAAGGAUAAAGUGUAAAAAGGAAUGGUGAAGAUCACCAUGACUCUUAUGCAAGGUAGGAGAUAAAAGUAGAAGAUAAGCCUUUCGCAGAGGGAAGUAGAGGUUGUCAUGCGCUUUAAUGGUUGGAUGCACAGAAUCUUAAUGCGAAAGAACGUCACUUUAUAUUGCCACUUGUGAUAUGGACCUUUAUUAUGCAGUCUGUCGCUUUUAUUUCUUCCAUAUCACACAAUCGUAUAAAGCUUAUUUUCUCCCACGCUAAUAAGUCAUACAUAUUUAGAGAGCAAUUUUUAUUGCUUGCACCGAUGACAACUUACUUAGAGGAUCUUACUCAAUCCAUAAUAAAACUGGUUUAAGGGUAUUUGGAAGCACAAGUAGUAUCUCUACUUGGUGCGAUGAAUUUGGCUAGCAUGAGGGAGAAAGGCAAGCUCAACCAUGUUGUAUGAUCCAUGACAAUAUAAUUUAUCUCAGAUGUAAGAAACCAUAACCCAUUACGUUGUCUUCCUUGUCCAACGUCAACUCUUUUAGCAUGUCAUAUUUUAAUGAGUGCUCACAAUCAUAAAAGAUGUCCAAGAUAGUAUAUUUAUAUGUGAAGACCUCUCUUUCUUUAUUACUUCAUAUUAUUUGCAACGAUGACCAAAACUAUGCUUGUCAACUCUCAACAACUUUUAUUCAUCAUACUUUUUCUAUGUGAGCUCACCACUCUCCAUAAGACUCACAUGAUCUCUUUGUUUAUUUUUAUUUCUUUCUCUUUUCUUUCUCUUAGGAUCAUGGCAAAAUAAUCAAGCCCUUGACUCAACACUAAUCUUUAUUAUAUAGCUCACGGACUCGAUUACAUAGAAGGACUAUAAAGAAAAACUCACAACUAGAUCAUACUAAGACUUUUAUUCCACUAAAUCAAGAUAUUACCAAAAGUAUCGAACUAAGAAAAAUGGUAAAGAUAAAGAUAAAGGUGAUACGAUACCGGGGCACUCCCCCAAGCUUGGCAGUUGCCAAGUGGAGUGCCCAUACCAGAUGCUCAAUUAUUUUUUGUUGGUGCAUAAGGUGGAGUUGUUGAUGAUGGACAGUCGCACAUCGAGCGUAGGAGGUCUUCUAACUUGCGGAUAAUGCCCUUGAGUGCGAUGAUAUGCUCCUUCAACAAAAUAUUUUCACAUGUGAGAUACUUAUUUUGUAUAUGAGCUAACUCAAUCAUCUUGAAAGCUUCGAUUUUUUUUGGGGUAAGAAGAUUGUGAUCAAGUUGAAGGGCGUCUUCUGUUGCCGGAACUUGGUCCUCCAUGGCCUUCUUGAUCCCUUCAUCCUUGUUGAUCUCCAUGGGUUCUUAUCUCUUCAGCUCUAUCUUCAUUAGCCAAGCAUCAUUGCCCUCAUGGUUGGAGGAGGAGGAGGGAGACGACAUAGUGCCUGGCCUUGACAACCCUGACAGAAAACAACUCGAAACAAAGACAGGAGAUUUUUGCAUGAUACGGGAGUCAAAACCUCCGGGGGAUUAUAUAAUGAAUUUUUACCGGCCAAAAUACGUGUCGUGUAAGAAAACGGAGUCCGGGAAGUGCACGAGGAGCCCACGAGGUAGGGGGCGCACCAAGGGGGUAGGGCGCACUCUCCACCCUCGUGGAGCCCUCGUGUCCUUCCCGGACUGCUUCUUAUUUUUCUAUUUUUCUAAAUACUCCAAAACGGAGAAAUAUUCCCUUAAAAACUGUUUUGGAGUCGGUUUACUUACCGUACCACAUACCUAUUCCUUUUCGGAGUCUGGAGCGUUCCGGAAAGUGUCCCUUAUGUAUUCCUCCAGGGUUACGGUUUCAAUAACAUUGGUUUCAACAUUUAUGGGAUUACCUAAGAUAUAAUGUUUGAUUCUUUGACCGUUCACCACCUUCGGAUUUGUGCCUUCGAAGUUGUUGAUUUUUAUGGCACCGGAACGAUAGACCUCCUCGAUAACGUAAGGACCUUCCCAUUUAGAGAGAAGGUUUCCAGCAAAAAAUCUUAAACGAGAGUUGUAUAGCAAUACAUAAUCACCAACACUAAACUCACGCUUUUGUAUCCUUUUGUCAUGCCAUCUUUUAACUUUUUCUUUAAACAACUUGGCAUUUUCAUAGGCUUGGGUUCUUGAUACGUCUCCAACGUAUCUAUAAUUUUUGAUUGCUCCAUGCUAUAUUAUCUACUAUUUUGGACUAUAUUGGGCUUUAUUUUCCACUUUUAUAUUAUUUUUGGGACUAACCUAUUAACCGGAGGCCCAGCCCAGAAUUGUUGUUUUUUUGCCUAUUUCAGUAUUUCAGAGAAACAGAAUAUCAAAUUGAGUCCAAACGGAAUAAAACUUUCGGGAACGUGAUUUUCUCACUGAACGUGAUCCAGGAGACUUGGACCCUACUCCAAGGAGUCAAAGAGGCGGUCACGAGGGUGGGGGGCACGCCCACCCCCCUAGGGCGCGCCCCCUGCCUCAUGGACCCCUCGGUGCUCCACCGCCGUACUCCUUCCUCCUAUAUAUACCUACGUACCCCCAAACGAUCAGAACAGGAGCCAAAAACCUAAUUCCACCACCGCAACUUUUUGUAUCCAUGAGAUCCCGUCUUGGGGCCUGUUCUGGAGCUCCACCGGAGAGGGCCGUCAUCACGGAGGGCUUCUACAUCAUCAUAGCCCCUCCGAUGAAGUGUGAGUAGUUUACCUCAGACCUUCGGGUCCAUAGUUAGUAGCUAGAUGGCUUUUUCUCUCUUUUUGGAUCUCAAUACAAAGUUCUCCCCCUCUCUUGUGGAGAUCUAUUCGAUGUAAUCUUCUUCUUUUUGCGGUGUGUUUGUUGAGACCGAUGAAUUGUGGGUUUAUGAUCAAGUCUAUCUAUGAAUAAUAUUUGAAUCUUCUCUGAAUUCUUUUAUGUAUGAUUGGUUAUCUUUGCAAGUCUCUUCGAAUUAUCUGUUUGGUUUGGCCAACUAGAUUGGUAGUUCUUGCCAUGUGAGAAGUGCUUAACUUUGGGUUCGAUCUUGCGGUGUCCUUUCCCAGUGACAGAAGGGGUAGCAAGGCAUGCAUUGCAUCGUUGCCAUCGAGGAUAACAAGAUCGGGUUUAUUUCAUAUUGCAUGAAUUUAUCUCUCUACAUCAUGUCAUCUUGCUUAAAGCGUUACUCUGUUUUUAACUUAAUACUCUAGAUGCAUGCUGGAUAGCGGUCGAUGAGUGGAGUAAUAGUAGUAGAGGAAGAAUCGUUUCGGUCUACUUGUCAUGGAUGUGAUGCCUAUAUACAUGAUCAUGCCUAGAUAUUCUCAUAACUAUGCUCAAUUCUGUCAAUUGCUCAACAGUAAUUUGUUCACCCACCGUAGAAUACUUAUGCUCUUGAGAGAAGCCACUAGUGAAACCUAUGGCCCCCGGGUCUAUUCUCAUCAUAUCAAUCUCCAUCACUUUAAUCUUGCUUUGCUUUUUUACUUUGCCUUUUACUUUUUACUUUGCAUCUCUAUACCAAAAAUACCAAAAAUAUUAUAUCUAUCAGAUCUCACUCUCGUAAGUGACCGUGACGGGAUUGACAACCCCUAAUCACGUUGGUUGCGCGUAGCUAUCGUUUUGUGCAGGUAUGAGGGACUUGAGCGUGGCCUCCUACUGGACUGAUACCUUGGUUCUCAAAAACUAAGGGAAAUACUUAUGCUACUCUGCUACAUCAUCCUUUCCUCUUCGAGGAAAUCCAUCGCAAGCUCAAGAGGUUGCAAGAAGAAUUUCUGGCGCCGUUGCCGGGGAGUCUACGCAAAAAGUCAACAUACCAAGUACCCGUCACAAUCCCUAUCUCUCGCAUUACAUUAUUUUCCAUUUGCCUCUCGUUUUCCUCUCCCCCAGUUCACCCUUGCCGUUUUAUUCGCCCUCUCUCUCUCUAUCCUCCCUCUCUAUUUGCCUCUUUUUGCCCGCUUGCCUUUUUGUUUGCUCGUGUGUUGGAUUGCUUGUUUGUCGCGAUGGCUCAAAAUACUACCAAAUUGUGUGACUUCACCAAUACCAAUAAUAAUGAUAUCCUUAGCACUCCAAUUGCUCCUCUUGCCAAUACUGAAUCUUGUGAAAUCAAUACUGCUUUGUUGAAUCUUGUUAUGAAAGAUCAAUUCGCCGGCCUUCCUAGUGAAGAUGCCACUACUCAUCUGAAUAGCUUCGUUGAUUUAUGUGAUAUGCAAAAGAAAAAAGAUGUCAAUAAUGAUGUCGUUAAAUUGAACCUAUUUCCUUUUUCUCUUAGAGAUCGUGCUAAAGCUUGUUUUUCGUCUUUGCCUAAAAAUAGUAUUGAUUCUUGGAACAAGUGCAAAGAUGCUUUUAUCUCUAAGUAUUUCCCUCCCGCUAAGAUCAUCUCUCUUAGAAACGAUAUUAUGAACAUUAAGCAACUUGAUCAUGAACAUGGUGCACAAGCUUGGGAGAGAAUGAAAUUAAUGAUACGUAAUUUCCCUACUCAUGGUUUGAAUUUGUGGAUGAUUAUACACAAAUUUUAUGUCGGAUUGAAUUUUGCUUCUAGAAAUCUUUUAGAUUCGGCCGCGGGAGGCACUUUUAUGGAAAUCACUUUAGGAGAUGCUACUAAACUCCUAGAUAAUAUUAUGGUUAAUUAUUCUCAAUGGCAUACUGAAAGAUCUUCUAAUAAAAAAGUGCAUGCGAUAGAAGAAAUCAAUGUUUUGGGUGGAAAGAUGGAUGAACUUAUGAAAUUAUUUGCUACUAAGAGUGUUUCUUCUGAUCCUAAUGAUAUGCCUUUGUAUACUUUGAUUGAGAAUAACAAUGAAUCUAUGGAGGUGAAUUUUGUUGGUAGGAAUAAUUUUGGUAACAACGCUUAUAGAUGGAAUUUUAAUCCUAGGCCAUAUCCUAGUAAUUCUUCUAAUAAUUAUGGGAAUUCCUACAACAACUCUUAUGGAAAUUAUAAUAAGAUGCCCUCGGAAUGUGAGAAUAGUGUUAAAGAGUUUAUGAAUUCACAAAAUAAUUUUAAUGCUUUGCUUGAAGAUAAAUUGCUUAAAGUUGAUGAGUUGGCUAGGAAAGUUGAUAGAAUUUCUCUUUAGGUUGAUUCUUUAAAGCUUAGAUCUAUUCCUCCUAAGCAUGAUAUCAAUGAGUCUCUCAAAGCCAUGAGAAUUUCCAUUGAUGAGUGCAAGGAAAGAACCGCUAGGAUGCGUGCUUCCAAAGAUGCCUUUAUUAAAGCGCAUUCUUCCAAUUCCUAUGAAAAUCAAGAUGAAGAUCUAAAAGUUAUUGAUGUGUCACCUAUUAAAUCUUUGUUUUGCAAUAUGAAUCUUGAUGAAACUGAAUAUGAUCUUCUUUUACCUAGAAGGAGUUCUAAAAAUUCGGAGUAUUUAGAUCUUUAUGAUGAAAUUGAUGAAAGUGGGAUUGAAAGAAAUAAAAAUCUAGAUGUUGCUAAACCCACUAUAUUGGAUUUCAAGGAAUUUAAUUAUGAAAGUUGCUCUUUAAUUAAUUGUAUUUCCUUUAUGCAAUCCGUGCUAAAUUCUCCACAUGCUUAUAGUCAAAAGAAAGCCUUCGCCGAACAUAUUUUUGAUGCCUUGAUGCAAUCUUAUGAAGAAAAACUUGAGUUGAAAGUUUCUAUCCCUAGAAAACUCUAUGAUGAGUGGGAACCAACUAUUAAAAUUAAAAUUAAAGGUCACGAGUUUUAUGCUUUGUGUGAUUUGGGUGCUAGUGUCUCCACUAUCCCCAAAACUUUGUGUGAUUUGCUAGAUUUCGCAAUUUUGAUGAUUGCUCUCUAAAAUUGCAUCUUGCAGAUUCUACUAUUAAGAAACCUAUGGGAAGGAUUAAUGAUGUUCUUAUUGUUGCAAAUAGAAAUUAUGUGCCCGUAGAUUUAAUUGUUCUUCAUAUAGAUUGCAAUCCUUCUUGCCCUAUUAUUCUUGGUAGACCUUUCAUUAGAACGGUUGGUGCGAUUAUUGAUAUGAAGGAAGGGAAUAUUAGAUUUCAAUUUCCAUUAAAAAAGGGCAUGGAACAAUUUCCAAGAAAGAAAAUAAAAUUGCCAUAUGAAACUAUCAUGAGAUCCACUUAUGGAUUGCCUACCAAAGAUGGCAAUACCUAGAUCUAUCCUCGCUUUUAUGCCUAGCUAGGGGCGUUAAACGAUAGCGCUUGUUGGGAGGCAACCCAAUUUUAUUUUUAUUCCUUAAUUUUUGCUCCUGUUUCAUAAUAAAUAAAGUAUUUAGCCUCUGUUUUGGUUGUGUUUUUUGUGUUUAAUUAGUGUUUGUGCCAAGUAGAACCGUUGGGAAGACUUGGGGAAAGUCUGGUUGAACUUGCUGUAAAAAACAGAAACUUUUGCGCUCACGAGAACUGCUGCCAUUUUUAUUUGGGGAGUGAUAUUUAGUUAAUUCUUUUUGCAGAUGAUUAAUAGAUAAAUUCCUCACGUCCAGAAAUUUAUUUUAGAAUUUUUGGGGUUCCAUAUAUUGCUCUAGCUACCGAUUACUACAGACUGUUCUGUUUUUGACAGAUUCUGUUUUUCGUGUGUUGUUGCUUAUUUUGAUGAUUCUAUGGUUAGUAAAAUAGUUUAUAAUUAGAAGUUGGAAUACAGUAGGUUUAACACCAAUAUAAAUUAAUAAUGAGUUCAUUACAUUACCUUGAAGUGGUCUUUUGUUUUCUUUCGCUAACGGAGCUCACGAGUUUUCUACUUUAAGUUUUGUGUUGUGAAGUUUUCAAGUUUUGGGUUAAUUCUUGUGAUGGAUUAUGGAACAAGGAUUGGAAAGAGCCUAAGCUUGGGGAUGCCCAUGGCACGCCCAAUAUAAUCCAAGGACACCAAAAAGUCAAAGCUUGGGGAUGCCCCGGAAGGCAUCCCCUCUUUCGUCCACUCCCAUCGGUAAUUUACUUGGAGCUAUAUUUUUAUUCACCAACAUGAUAUGUGUUUUGCUUGGAGAGUCUUGUAUUAUUUUUGUCUUUGUGUUUUAGUAUGCCACAAUCAUCCUUGCUGUACACACCUUUUGAGAGAUCCAUACAUGAAUUAAAAUUUGAUAUAAUACUCUAUGUGCUUCACUUAUAUCUUUUUGAGCUAAGUAAUUUUGCUCUAUGUGCUUCACUUAUAUCUUUUGAGCUAUGUAAUUUUGCUCUAUGUGCUUCACUUAUAUCUUUUUGAGCUAAGUAGUUUUGCUCUAUGUGCUUCACUUAUAUCUUCUGAGCGUUAUAAUUUUGCUCUAUGUGCUUCACUUAGAUCUUUUAGAGCACGGUGGUGGAUUUGUUUUAAAGAAACUAUUGAUCUCUCAUGCUUCACUUAAAUUAUUUUAAGAGUCUUAAUAGCAUGGUAAUUUGCUUAAUGAUAACAUGCUUGGUAUUCAAUAUUUGUGAAACUUUCUUUUGAGUGUGUUGAAUACUAAGAAAAGUUGGAUGCUUGAUAAUUGUUUUGAGAUAUGGAGGUAGUAAUAUCAAAGUCAUGCUAGUAGAGUAAUUCUGAAUUUGAGAACUGCUUGAGUUAAAGUUUGCAAGUCCCGUAGCAUGCACGUAUGGUAAACGUUAUGCAACAAAUUUGAAACAUGAGGUGUUAUUUGAUUGUCCUCCUUAUGAGUGGCGGUCGGGGACGAGCGAUGGUCUUUUCCUACCAAUCUAUCCCCUAGGAGCAUGCGCGUAAUACUUUGGUUUUUGAUGGCUUGUAGAUUUUUGCAAUAAGUAUAUGAGUUCUUUAUGACUAAUGUUGAGUCCAUGGAUUAUACGCACUCUCACCCUUCCAUCACUGCUAGCCUUUACGGUACAGUGCAUUGCCCUUUCUCACAUCGAGAGUUGGUGCAAACUUCGCCAGUGCAUCCAAACCCCGUGAUAUGAUACGAUCUUUCACACAUAACCCUCCUUAUAUCUUCCUCAAAACAGCCACCAUACCUACCUAUUAUGGCAUAGCCAUUCCGAGAUAUAUUGCCAUGCAACUUUCCACCAUCCAGUUUAUCAUGACACAUCCAUCAUUGUCAUAUUUCUUAGCAUGAUCAUGUAGUUGACAUAGUAUUUGUGGCAAAGCCACCGUUCAUAAUUUUUUCAUACUUGUCACUCUUGAUUCAUUGCAUAUCCCGGUACACCGCCGGAGGCAUCCAUAUAGAGUCAUACUUUGUUCUAGUAUCGAGUUGUAAAUAAAUAAAAGUGUGAUGAUCAUCAUUUAAUAGAGCAUUGUCCCCAAAAAAAGGCCAAAGAAAAAAACAAGGCCCAAAAAAGAGAAAAUAAAUAAAAAGGGGCAAUGCUACUAUUCCGUUUUCCACACUUGUGCUUCAAAGUAGCACCAUGUUCUUCAUAUAGAGAGUCUCUUGAGUUAUCACUUUCAUAUACUAGUGGGAAUUUUCAUUAUAGAACUUGGCUUGUAUAUUCCAACAAUGGGCCUCCUCAAGUGCCCUAGGUCUUCAUGAGCAAGCAAGUUGGAUGCACACCCACUUAGUUUCUUUUGUUGAGCUUCCAUACAUUUAUAGCUCUAGUGCAUCCGUUGCAUGGCAAUCCAACUCCUUGCACUAACAUCAAUCGAUGGGCAUCUCCAUAGCCCAUUGAUUAGUCUCGUUGAUGUGAGACUUUCUCCUUUUUUGUCUUCUCCACAUAAUCCCCAUCAUUAUAUUCUAUUCCACCCAUAGUGCUAUAUCCAUGGCUCACGCUCAUGUAUUGCGUGAAAGUUUAUGAGUUUGAAAUUAUUAAGGUAUGAAACAAUUUCUUGGCUUGUCAUCGGGGUUGUGCAUGAUGAGAGCAUUCUUGUGUGACGAAAAUGGAGCAUGACUAAACUAUAUGAUUUUGUAGGGAUGAACUUUCUUUGGCCAUGUUACUUUAAGAAAACAUAAUUGCUUUGUUGGUUUGCUUGAAGUAUUAUUAUUCUUUAUAUCAAUAUGAACUUUUGUCUUAAAUCUUCCUAAUCUGAAUACUCAUACCACAAUUAAGAAGAUUUGCAUUGAAAUUAUGCCAAGUAGCACUCCGCAUCAAAAAUUAUCUUUUUAUCAUUUACCUACUCGAGGACGAGCAGGAAUUAAGCUUGGGGAUGCCUGAUACGUCUCCAACGUAUCUAUAAUUUUUGAUUGCUCCAUGCUAUAUUAUCUACUGUUUUGGACUAUAUUGGGCUUUAUUUUCCACUUUUAUAUUAUUUUUGGGACUAACCUAUUAACCAGAGGCCCAGCCCAGAAUUGAUGUUUUUUUGCCUAUUUCAGUAUUUCGGAGAAACAGAAUAUCAAACGAAGUCCAAACUGAAUAAAACCUUCGGGAACGUGAUUUUCUCACCGAACGUGAUCCAGGAGACUUGUACCCUACUUAAGGAGUCAAAGAGGCAGUCACGAGGGUGGGGGGCACGCCCACCCCCCUAGGGUGCGCCCCUGCCUCGUGGGCCCCUCGGUGCUCCACCGACGUACUCCUUCCUCCUAUAUAUACCUACGUACCCCCAAACGAUCAGAACAGGAGCCAAAAACCUAAUUCCACCGCCGCAACUUUCUGUAUCCACGAGAUCCCAUCUUGGGGCCUGUUCCGGAGCUCCGCCGGAGAGGGCCGUUGUCGGUGUCAAAACCGGCGGAUCUCGGGUAGGGGGUCCCGAACUGUGCGUCUAGGCCGGAUGGUAACAGGAGGCAAGGGACAUGAAGUUUUACCCAGGUUUGGGCCCUCUCGAUGGAGGUAAAACCCUACGUCCUGCUUGAUUUAUAUUGAUGGUAUGGGUAGUACAAGAGUAGAUCUACCAUGAGAUCGAAGAGGCUAAACCCUAGGAGCUAGCCUAUGGUAUGAUUGUUGACGUGUACGUUGUCCUACGGACUAAAACCCUUCGGUUUAUAUAGACACCGGAUAGGGUUAGGGUUACAUAGAGUCGGUUACAAUAGUAGGAGAUCUACAUAUCCGUAUCGCCAAGCUUGCCUUCCACGCCAAGGAAAGUCCCUCCCGGACACGGGACGAAGUCUUCAAUCUUGUAUCUUCAUAGUCCAGGAGUCCGGCUGAAGGUAUAGUCCGGCUAUCCGAACACCCCCUAAUCCAGGACUCCCUCGGUAGCCCCUGAACCAGGCUUCAAUGACGACGAGUCCGACGCGCAGAUUUUCUUCGGCAUUGCAAGGCGGGUUCCUCCUCCAAGUACUUCAUAGAAGAUUUUGAACACAAAGAUAGUAUCCGGCUCUGCAAAAUAAGUUUCCACAUAUUGCCAUAGAGAGAAUAAUAUUUACACCAAUCUAAUCUGCUGACAUAUUCCGUAGCGUGACACACCACGGCCAAGCCUUUAUCCGAGUCAUUUCAUUAUCCCACCUCAGCGCGUUAUGCGAGGCGGUUUCCUUGGCACGUCUUGUUAAAGCAGUGAUCGUGUCCCCUUAUCCUGGGAUUCUCAUCAAUACGGGCGUGGGUAACCCAACCGCGCCAUUGAUUACGGCGCUUGGAGAUAAGCGAGUUUUACCAGGCUGGUGGGGACAUGUAGUUGGGUCCACCCAUAUAAGGGGAUAAGGAUCCACCUUUUCACCUACGCCUUCUUCCUCCUUCGCCUAUCCAUUUUUGUGCACUCGAGCUCCAGCGCCCAAAUCUGCACUCCCCACCUCAACCUUCUCCAGCCAUGUCUGGAGCGGGAGGCAAGUGGAUGGUCUCCUCCGUCACGGAGGGACAUAUCAAAAAGCUGAGGAAGGCCGGAUACCUGUCUAACGAUAUCGCGUACCGGCUCCCCGAAAAGGGGCAGCUCAUCCCCACCCCUAGGCCCCAUGAGAGGGUGGUGUUCCUCCCCCAUUUCCUCCGCGGACUGGGCUUCCCUCUCCACCCAUUUGUCCGGGGGCUCAUGUUCUACUACGGCCUGGAUUUCCACGAUCUAGCCCCAAACUUUGUCCUCAACAUCUCAGCGUUUAUCGUCGUGUGCGAGGCCUUCCUCCGCAACCGCCCCCAUUUCGGCCUAUGGCUCAAGACUUUCAAUGUCAAGCCGAAGGUGGUGCGCGGCAACCAGGCAGAGUGCGGAGGUGCCAUGGUGGGCAAGAUGGCCAAUGUCCUAUGGCUCGAGGGCUCCUUUGUGGAGACCCUGAAGGGGUGGCAAUCGGGGUGGUUUUACAUCACCGAGCCACGUGACACCGAAUGGGUCGCACCCCCCGAGUUUUGAUCCGGACCCCCCACGUGGCUCACCUCCUGGAAGGAGAGGGGCCUGUCUUGGGGUAAAAAAGGAGAGCUGACCGGACUCCAAACAUGCAUCCAAACCCUGGCGGACAAGAAGCUCAAACUUGUCACAUAGUCCAGGUUAUGCUCAUCCGCCUGAUCCUCCCGUGUUAACAACGGGCUUUCAACCUGUGGGAGUUCGACCCGGCGCGGCACGGCACCAAACUCUGAGCAGGCUCUUUGACACGACAUACGAAGAUGCCUGGAAGGUGCUUUUCAAAGGCGCCGAGGCUCCCGCGUCCACUACCGAGGAUCGCGGAUUCAGUGCCCAGCAUCACGCUCUCGCGGUAAGAUGUUUUUUUCCUUUUAUAGGGUAUCAGUUUUUCAUAGUUUGACUCCAUGCGGGAUCUAAGCUCCCUUACCUCUGACAGGAUUGGCAGGUGACGUCCGGACAGAUCAACUGUCCGUCUGCUUUGCCCGAAGGCCCAGCGGACGCCCGCUUGGCGAAGCUGCUGGUUCCGGCACCCUAUGUGGUGCCGGAGAAGAAGGCUGUGAAAAAGGCCGUGGGGACUCGAAAGAGUGCCCGGCGCCAGGAGGUGUCGGAUCCAUCAUCCGAUGGUUCCGAGGCGCAUUCCUCCCAUGAAGACGAGGAGGAAGAAGAGGAGAACUCUCCCCCUCCAGCGGGAGGAGAGAAGAAAAGGAAGGUCGCCCUCUCUGGGGAGGCCGGAGGGUCCAAGAAGGGGAAAACCCUUCCUCCGGACUACUCCACCGACGCCGACGGCGGAGAGGAGUGGCAGCCCAGGGCCAAGCCCCUGGCAAAAUCGUAAGUAUCCGGAUACAAGAGUAAUUCAUAGUAUUCGUUUAUUGCACAGCUUUCCCUUACAUCGAAUAUGUUUAUGCAGCCCACCCAAAGACCGGCUCGACGCGUCAUCGAGCAGCUCAUUGGACUCGUNNNNNNNNNNNNNNNNNNNNNNNNNNNNNNNNNNNNNNNNNNNNNNNNNNNNNNNNNNNNNNNNNNNNNNNNNNNNNNNNNNNNNNNNNNNNNNNNNNNNNNNNNNNNNNNNNNNNNNNNNNNNNNNNNNNNNNNNNNNNNNNNNNNNNNNNNNNNNNNNNNNNNNNNNNNNNNNNNNNNNNNNNNNNNNNNNNNNNNNNNCACCGAAGUGUUGUCCCAACAGGUUCCAAGCCGGGAGGAGGUGGUCCUGGAGGCGUCGCAAGGCGACCUCCCGGACUCCAGGAGUAAAGGGGAUGAAACCCCCCAGGGCUCCAAGUCCGGCUCUAGGCCGGACACCGCUCCAGAACCUUCAAAGGUUCCAGAGUCCGGUGGUGGACCUCCUUCCAAGAGGAGCAAGUCCACUGUGCCGGCGGCCCCCGUCCAACCGGAGGCGCCGGACAAUAUGUUGGAGGCGCUCCAAGGCACCUCCAUCGACGAGGAGCACCGCACUAUUAUGAGUGCGGUGGUCCAGAAGGUUCAGUCCGCCAAGAGCGGACUGACUGAAGCUUGUACUAGCCUUUUGACAGGCUUUGAGGUAAGUAAAGAAUGUGUAAAUAAUACUAUCGCAUAGACAGUAGCCCCUGAUGCUCUCUUUGGCGUUCGGGAAGAAAAGCCGAAUAGAGGAUCAAAUAGAAUUCGCAGGAGUCUAACAAAAGUGAGUCAAUAUGCAUAUGCAGGCUUCCCUGCUUGCGUCUGCCGCACUGACUGCGGAAGUGGACACGCUAAAGCAGAACCUCGAGCGGUCCGAGCAAGAGCUCGGGCGUGCCAAGAAGCAGCUCGAGGAUAAUGAAGGUAAGAAAUACCUUGCUUUUAAAUAUAUAUAAAAAGGUACAAUUGCAAAGAAUGACAGGAUUAUCAUGGCUAUUUUAGGGGCCACAUCUGAAGUGGCGACCCUUAAGCAAGCGCUGGUCGAGGCCGAGAAGAGGGCGGCCUCAGAGCACACCGAGUGGGAGAAGUAUGAGGCCGAGGUUGGCAAGGUGAGGCAAGAGCUCCAGGCUCUCAUGGAAAAACAUGAGAGUUUGGAGCUUGACUCAAAGAUGCGAGCGUCCGAGCUCGCGGUGGCUAUUGAAAAUGCCAAGUCUGCCAAGGCCGAAUCCCAGAAGACCCUCCAGGAGUUGGAUGAGGUGAAGAAGAUAGCGGCGGGUAAGGCAUUCUUUAUGCAAAGCAAACACAUAAACGUGAGUUACUUGUUACUUACCCGAAUCCAGAGCUCUCCAGGAACGUUUGCAGAUCUUCCCCGGAGUGUGUCCGAUGCCGCCGCAUUCUAUCGAGCCGAGGAGGGCAGCUCGACAGAGAAGGUGUUCUGGUCUCAGUAUGCUGAGGACGGACACCCCGUGCCCCUGAGCGACCAGCUGAAGCAACUAGUCGAGCUCCACAAGGCGGCUGAACAGGCCAUGAAGGGCCUCAUUGUUCGGUUGUGGCCUGGAGGGGCUCUUCCUGGGAGCUAUUUCGGGCUGGUGCGGCGGUUGGUGGAGGCCUGUCCAAGGCUCGAAGUCAUCAAGCGCUCCGUCUGCAUUGAAGGUGCCCGUAGGGCCCUUGCCCAUGCUAAGGUGCACUGGGGCAAGCUGGAUGCUGAGAAGCUGGUGAAGGACGGGCCACCGCCGGGGAAAGAGCAUCGCAAGCCCGAGAAUUACUAUAAGGAUGUUCUAAAGGGUGCCUGCCUUGUGGCGGAUGAAUGUUCUAGGGAUGUAAUUUUUGAGUGAGACUUGCUCGUUUUGUCCUAUGCGCUGAAAACUUGUUUAUAUGCGCUAAGCAAUGCUGUUGGAAUUUAAAAUAUUACCUUAUGUGCGGCUGUUUAUCAAUUCUGAGAGAUGGCGAGUCGUCGGCUUCUGCCCCCGUGCCGCUAGUGCUGGGGUGUUCGGGGAUAAACCUGAGCGCUCUUUUUCCCAUGUUUGGGUCCUUCGAGGGAGGCGCUCAGCCCAACCAACAAGGCAAUCAGACUAUAAUGUGUGAACACUCUCACUUAGCGAUAGAAUUCUAUAAUUUUAAAUUUCGGCGAAGCCCCUGGUAUUUGCAAGACCAAGUUCCGGGCGCUAUCCACGCCCUGGCCGGACAGAGCCGGCUCCUCACCCUAAGCGGCAUAUGUCUUUAGGGACUCUAAAAACCUCUCGAACAGCGACCAACUCUCGCUUCAUCAUGACAGUCAGUUUUAGCUUUCUCCACUAAAGUGCUCGACCCAGCUCAACUGGGGCACAAUGGUAGUGGUUCUCCUAGUGCUACCUUAGCCGAUAUAGCGGAACGUAAGGCACCAAAACAUAGGAGCCGGGCAAACCCAACUAUUGACCCAAGACAUGAUUCGGAGCCGAUGCAUAUAAUGCUAUAAGUUCGGGGUGCCGCACUUGUUAAAGUGUUCUGACUUCUCACACCAUAUUGAGGGGUACUAAAGCCCCUGGCGUAUUUUGGCCGUACCAACGUGUACGGGUGCAACAUGUCGUUAAGGAACAUAUAUAAAGAAAAAAGGUAAUGCAAAAAUAGACGAAAGCUAUGCAUUGUUUAUUAAAAAGGGCUGCGAUCAAAGCAGAACGAUACAAAUAAUGCGAUAAGUGGAAGGUUGGACUAGUUAACAUGUCCGUUCCAGGGGCAAGCUGCGGAAUAGUAUGCGGAACAGGUAUACCGCUCGUGAUAGAGACCACCUGGGAGUUCUGUACUGCGGCGUGGCUUGUCUGCUUCCCUGGUUCUUGCAUCGUUUGUGCGGCAAUUGAACUGGCGAACAGGCCUUCCGAAGGAUGGAGUCCUGAAAGUAAGAUAAAAUUAAAAAAAUCGGCAGCCCCUGGUAUGGUUUAAGCCGUAUUUUUGGCCGUGACGUCAUGGUGCCCCUCCCCCUGUACCCAUGGUAUCUCUAGAGCGUAGUUAUGUACGCGAAGUACUGGCGUCGCCUUUUUGCGAGGGUUGGGGUUGGGGCCGCAUUGCUACGCCUGCUCGGAUCGUGCCAGGAGGUCUUGUUGUAGGUUACUCUGGGCGCGCUUCACGGUGUCCGGUCGUUUAGUGGCUGGACAGGAGAACUGCCUGCAGAGGCUGCUCUGUACUUGCGCUGCAAGGGCCGCCGUGUGCUCCUCCGUUCGGAGGGAGCGUUCGGUGUUUCCAUUGACCAUAAUUACUCCUCGAGGGCCUGGCAUCUUGAGCUUAAGGUAUGCAUAGUGCGGUACCGCAUUGAACUUAGUGAAUGCGGUUCGCCCGAGCAGUGCGUGAUAACCACCGCGAAACGGGACUAUGUCGAAGAUUAACUCCUCGCUUCAGAAAUUAUCCGGAGAUCCGAAGACCACUUCAAGUGUGACUGAGCCUGUACAGUUGGCCUCUACACCUGGUAUUAUGCCUUUAAAGGUCGUUUUGGUGGGCUUAAUCCUCGAGGGAUCUAUGCCCAUUUUCCGCACUGUAUCCUGGUAAAGCAGGUUCAGGAUGCUGCCGCCGUCCAUAAGGACUCUGGUGAGAUGAAAUCCGUCAAUAAUUGGGUCUAGGACCAAUGCGGCGAAUCCGCCAUGACGGAUGCUAGUGGGAUGGUCCCUUCGAUCAAAGGUGAUCGGGCAGGAGGACCAUGGGUUGAACUUUGGCGCGACUGGCUCUACCGCGUAUACGUCCCUUAACGCGCACUUCCGCUCCCUUUUCGGGACGUGGGUUGCGUAUAUCAUGUUCAGCGUCCGCACUUGUGGGGGAAAACCCUUCUGUCCACUGUUGUUCGGUGGCCGGGGCUCCUCGUCGUCAUCGCUAUGCAGCCCCUUGUCUUCAUUUUCGGCGUUCAACUUGCCUUCCUGCUUGAACACCCAACAAUCCCUGUUGGUGUGAUUGGCCGGCUUUUCGGGGGUGCCAUGUAUCUCGCACAAGUGGUCGAGUAUUCAGUCCAAACUGGACGGGCCCCUAGGAUUCCUUUUGAAUGGCUUUUUCCGCUGACCGGAUUUAGAGCCUCUGAAUCCGGCAUUGACUGUUGUAUCCUCCGCAUUGUCGCCGUUAAUGCGGCGCUUCUGCUUGUUGCGACGCGACCUGCCACUACUGUCCCUGGUGUCCGAAUUACCAGGGUUCUUGGUCAUAUUGUUGUUACGAGCAAGCCAGCUGUCUUCCCCCGCGCAAAAGCGGGUCAUGCGUGUCGUGAGUGCUGCCAUAGAUUUCGGCUUUUCCUGUCCAAGGUGCCGGGCCAGCCACUCGUCACGGAUAUUGUGCCUGAAGGCUGCUAGGGCCUCAGUGUCCGGACAGUACUAUGUGAUUUUUCUUUGUUAGGAACCGUGUCCAGAAUUUCCUGGUCGAUUCCUCUGGCUGCUGAAUUACGUAACUUAGGUCGUCGGCGUCUGGGGGUCGCACAUAAGUGCCCUGGAAAUUGUCGAGGAAUGCGGCUUCUAGGUCCUCCCAACAACGGAUUGACCCUGUUGGCAAGCUGUUAAGCCACUGCUGAGCUGGUCCUUUAAGCUUGAGUGGGAGGUAUUUGAUGGCGUGGAAAUCAUCGCCACGGGCCAUGUGGAUAUGAAGGAGAUAAUCCUCGAUCCAUACCGCACGAUCUGUUGUGCCAUCAUAUGAUUCGAUGUUUACGGGUUUGAAACCCUCGGGGAUUUGAUGAUCCAUUAUUUCGUCUAUAAAGCAUAGUGGGUGUGCGGCGCCUCUAUACUGGGCGAUAUCAUGACGUAGCUCCAAUGAGCUGUGUUCGGCCCUGCCGAAUUUGUGGCCGGCGUGACGGUUAGUGUCGGUGUCAAAACCGGCGAAUCUCGGGUAGGGGGUCCCGAACUGUGCGUCUAGGCCGGAUGGUAACAGGAGGCAAGGGACAUGAAGUUUUACCCAGGUUCGGGCCCUCUCGAUGGAGGUAAAACCCUACGUCCUGCUUGAGUAAUAUUGAUGAUAUGGGUAGUACAAGAGUAGAUCUACCAUGAGAUCGGAGAGGCUAAACCCUAGAAGCUAGCCUAUGGUAUGAUUGUUGUUCUGUAUGGUGUAUCGACUAGCAUAGCCCUGGUUUAUAUAAUGCACCAGAGGCCUAGUGUUAACAAGAGUCCUAGCCGAAUAUGCCAGUGGGGAGAAGUCCUUGUCUUGAUCGCCAAGUCUUUGUGGAAUCUUCCUUGUAUGCGGCAGCUGUCUGAACUGGCCCAUGAGUAUACGGCCAUGGGGGGCCUCGGCCCAAUCUAAUAUAUCGGGAGACGACGUGGUGAGUACCCCCUAGUCCAGGACACCGUCAGUAGCCCCCUGAACCAGUCUUCAAGUUAGGGACGCUCCAUGAUUCUUUCGAGAUGUUCUUCAUCUUCGGUCGUCGGUCUUGAAAACUGGUUCAACAAAUCUUCUUUAUCUUUGAUCUUGAGGAUCGCCGAAAUGCAUUCGCCGAGUUUACACGUCGGGUAUCCGAGGAGCCCCUUUAAGUUUCCGGCCUUUACCAAUGCCUUGUUAUGUUUAUGCCACACCUCGGGUUUGAAUUUGUUCCCGGCUGGCAGCGUCCUCUUGCGUCCGAGCUCCAACGCCGGAUUGUAUUCGAGGUAUCUUUUGCAACCGAGCACCAAUGCCGGACCGCUUCCCAGCUCUAACGCCGGAAUGUAUCCGAGCUCCAACGCCGAAUGUAUCCGAGCUCCAACGCCGGACUGUAUAUCCGAGCUCCAACGUCGGACUGUAUCCGAGGUGUCGUAAAUCACCUUGGUUCAAAGAAGUUUGAAGGAGUUUAGCCGAGCUUAAUGCCGGAAAUGCCCUCUAUGGAGCCAGCCACUAGCGCCCGAGCUUUAUGCCGGGCUGCUUCCGAGGUGGUGCACCACCCCGAAUGUGGGCCGAUUUUUGUGAAUAUUUUUUAUUGGUGCAAUUUAUUCUCUGCCGAGAUAUAUAGCCAGUAGCCCUCAAGGUGUGUAUCGGUCUAAAACCCGAGAUGCACCUGAAGGAUGACAUAAGACUGCUGAUCCCAAUAGCCGCUGAGACUCAGGUUGAUUUGCAAAAUGGGCCUGAGGAUCAAGUCCAAGCUCGGCUGAAUACUUCGGGACACUAAAAGCGGUGUGCUCAGUCCUCGAGACUCAGGUUGGGUGCGGCCGACCAACCUGAGGAUCAAAAUCUCCUCGGAAACUAUAUUGCACAUAAAAUUUUCUGCAUUGGACAAGCAAUGCAGUAGCCCCCGAGACACUGGUCGGGUGGUAACACCAGAUCAGGGGAUCAAUGUGCCCCUUUAGUAUUUGUAAAUAAUAAGCCCGAAGCCCAGUAGCCCCCGAGCAUUAAUGCGGGCACGGGUGGCCGAAUUAAGUUUCAAUAUCCAUAGUAAAAUCACAAAUUAUGUGUAAUGACUCUAUGUAUCCAAGUACUUUACGUCAUUAAUGCUCAGAUCCGCAUUGUACAAAACUUUGUUGACCGACCAUCGGCUUCCACCUCCUCGGCCAGUAGCCGAGGAGUGUUUGUCCUACUUUAUAAAGCCUUUAUGAGGGCAAAGAUUUACAACAAACAAGGCAAUCUGGCUAGACGGUUUUAUAAACAAAGGUACGCAGAGAGAUAUAUUACUGUUUAACAGAAGAAAUGUCUUCCAAAGAAAAUAGUCUCGCUAUCGGUUCCUUUCUUUGGGUUGUCAUGCUAAGCAUGAUCAUUAAACCACAGCUCUAAUGUAAGAGCAAAAUAUUGAGGAUUUAGUUUGGGAGGCCAGUUAAUAGCCCCCGGUAGAGUUCGGCGACAAUCGGGGUCAAGCCGUAAACACUUCGGCCAAAGUUAUGAACGGCCCAUCAUUUAACAUAGUCAUCGGAUCGCUGACCAGUUUACGCUUAUUGUGAAAGUCAGUUUUUGGCUUUCUCCACUGAGGUGCUUAACCAUGUGAGCUGGAAGCACAAUCGCAGUGGUUCUCCCUUUGCACGCCUAGCCGAACAAAACGGAACGUAGGAAGCAACUGCAGGAGCCGGGCAACCCAACUAUUGACCGAAGACACAAUUCGAAACCGAUGCAUAUAUAGAAAUAUCUGAGAAUGUUUUUGCCGAAUCCCUAAAGGUGUUCGGCGUUGCACUGCGAGACUAAUGCUGGAAAAGCACAAAUAGUUUAAAAGUGCCAAAAAGCUUGGAAAACCAAGAAACGUCAGUAAAAACAUGACGUCCGAACAAUAUCAAGUGUUCGGUGCCAAUCCGAAAGUUGGUCUUAGAAAAAAGAAGUGUUUCUAUCGUGCUUUAACAUGAUAUAUCCUAUCUCAAGACUUCGAGCGGGUCAGCCUACGGCUUCAACCUCCUAUCCCGAGGGCGGAGUACUUCUCAUCAGGCCAGUUUAGCAAACUAAACUCUAGCGGCUUUGAGAGAGAAAUUAGGCUCCCCGGCUAGUGACCGCACACUCGUGUCGAAAAAAGGUGUGAUAAAUAAUAAUAAAAAAACUUUGCAACGACUAAGAAGAAGAACACUUAUUAUAGAACGGCUCAAAUAAACUUAAGAGCCCCCAAGUGACUUGGGUAGAAGAAUGAUUGCAUGUACCGAAGUACUUAUAUCAUAUCUAUGUUCAACCGAACUUUAAACGCGUCUUGACCGACCGUCAGCUUCUCCCUCUUUAGUCAAGGACUGAAAAGUGUUAUGUACUCCAUCGGUCGAGAAUAUCGACGGUGUUUCCAAUAACCAGGCAAUCAGGCCAUAAGGCUGUAACAAACAAAGCGCGCUCAGGGAACUUAUGCUAUAUUACCGUGAAGUGUAAGAAGCAUCUUCGAAGAAAAUAGUACCCCCACCGAUACCUUUCUUCGGUGCUCAUUGUUAUUAUGAGACUUGUGCAAUAGAUUUUUUGUACUCAUGAGUUCCGAUGUGUGCCGACCAUCAUUGAAAACUAUAAGAGCGCUAGCUUUCGGCUUCACCCAGUCUGAGGUCCGGCUCGGGUGACCCGAUCGUGACAAUCGCAGAGGUGAUCCCUUUACUCCCUAGCCGAACAAUCGGGAGCGUAGGGGUAAACGCAGGAGCGAGGCAACCCAGCUUGCAAAUCGCUUAAGUCAAUAUGGUGCAUAUUGUGGCGUAAUACACGAACAAGGAACGAAGCCGUACAAGUAUAAUCAUUUGCAAGUGGAAAAGCUUCAUAAAGGAAGCCCCCAAAUGAAUUGGGUAUUUGAAUUUAUGCGUCACAAACAAAGUUUGGACAAGGAAAUUUUUUACACGCAACUUUUUUCCAAGAAAGUAUAAUGCUUGGUCGAACCGAACACAAGUUAGAAAUUAAAGCUUUGAGCAUGAAAGCGACUUAGCUGGUUAAUGUGUUCGGUAUUGAUGAUGCGGUUUGAGCUUGAUGUGGGGCAAGGUUCCAUCCCCCAAGCUGGUCCCGAGGUGGUGGAGCGAAGAGCUCGUGUCGGGGGUUUGGUGCGACAUAUGCCAACGGAUGGCUUAUCAUGGUGGCGGCGAGUAGAACAUCGCCGGUGCCUGGAAACGGGAUGAGGCGAAGACAUGCACGCCGGUGAAUCUUACCCAGCUUCGGGGCUCUCCGGGGAGAUAAUACCCCUACUGCUGCUCUGCGUGGUGUCCGCAUGAUCACUAUGGUCAAGAGUUUACACGGUUGCUCCUUGAGCUGUGUCUGGUGGUAGGAGAGGGCAAGGCUAGCUCUCUCCUCCUAUCUGGUAUGGUAUAGAACUACUGGCAUCCAACCCUUUGCAUGGGUGCCCUGGGGGCUUAUAUAGGCCUACCCCCCAGGGGUACAAUGGUAAUUCGACUGGGCGCGGGCCCAGCCGUCAGUGCCUCCGACCUCCGACUUCUCCGCUGACUGCUGGGGCCCGCCGACUGGUGGGCCCCGCCGACUGGUCUGGUACGGAGCCGAUAGGCCGCGUCCGCCGCGGGCGUGUCUUGCCGGCUGCUGAUUACUGUAGUCGUGCUCCUGAUGACGCAAGCUUGGUCAUGGGGUCGUGGCAAUAGCCCCGCCGCCUGGCGGGCCAUCAAUCUGGCCACUCUCCAUCUCUUCUUGAUUAAUGGUGCGUGGGCCCUGGGGAAGGGCUCGGCCGACUCCCCCGGGCCGACUCCCGACGGGUCCGACUGGCGAUUCUCCUGCCGUCUCCCGAGGUCUUGCUGACUGGUGGGCCCCGCUGCCUCCAGGCCGUACAGACAAGCCGUCGUGGGCGCAGGACCCGGUACAGUGGUGCUGAUGUCAGGGCCGGCCGGGUAACAGUGCCAUGCCACAGGGAGGUCUUCCCUAGUACGGCGUGCUGUAGCCAUGCCUACCCUUGGUAAGGGGCGGGGAGUGGGCUUCAUUGUAGCCACGCCCCUGCCCCGUCCCCUUCGAUGAGGUCACGGUUUGUUGGAGUCGCCGGCCGACUCCCCAAAGCCGGCUUCUCUGGAAGUCGCCCCUGGGACUCGGCCGUGAGUGGGCAGUCGGCCAUCUUGCCGUAGACUCCCCAGGAGGCGGCUCUUCGCCCUGUGGUCUUGAGGGGCGCAGCCUACCCCGAUGUCUUGAAAGGUUUGGGGCUCGGGUUGGCCUACCCGUGGCCCAUUACUCCGACAGUAGUCCCCGAAGCUGGUGAGGCACCACGGACGAUCGGCCGAGAAGCCUCAGCAGUUUCUCUUUCCGGGUGCUCAACACAUGGUCUUGAUUGACUUCUGUCGGGCUGACUAGAAGGAGUCGAACUCGCCCAACUCGGACUCCAUCAAUUCCGACUUGCUCAGUAGUUCGAACGUCGCGGCGGGAUUUCAAGUGCCGUGCUAGCUAAGCUUCCAGGCUGCCGCCCGUUCUUGGCCUGUCACGCGAGGGCAUGUGCCAGGCCGUCCUGCCAGCCCACGCGCGCGACGGGACAGGCCCGUAGGCAGGGCCCGCCACUACCACGCCUCGGCGCCCGAGCAGAUCCGCUGCGGCCCCGGUGGACGGUUGGGAUUCCCGUGAAGUUACUACACGCAGUAACUUUACACGGAUCGUGGGGUUGCGGGCACAGUAAAUCCCCACGUCCGCCCCCUCGGCUUCGCAGCCCACGGGGCUAUAAGUAGGGGGAAGAGGGGGGCACGCGUGCCCCUCCUUCCCACUACCCCUUUCUUUCUUCCUCCUCGCAGCUCCUCGCUCUCCUGCUUCCUCUUCUCUUCUUCGCUGCGCCGCACGCCCAGGCUCCGGUGAACGCUGCGGUGACAGCUCGUGAUGAGUUCUUCCUCCACUGCCGCGCCUCCCCCAGUGCGCUCCGGCACCUGGGACGGCUCCGAAGUCCACGAAGACCAUAUCGAGUUCCUCCGCUGGACACGUCGGCUUCCCGGCGAAGAUCGUGUGCAGGUGCGUCUUGCACCGGCGGGGGAGAUUUCCCCCGCCCCGCAGGAGGGCGAGCGGGUCAUCUUUCGCUCGCACUGCCUGCACGGGCUGGGGCUGCCAGCGAGCAGCUUUUUCGGUCGUUCAUGGAGUUCUACCGCCUCUAGCCGCACCACCUCACCCCCAAGAUAGUGGUGCUGCUGUCCGCCUUCGUGGCUCUGUGCGAAGGCUUCCUCGGAGUCCUCCCCACCCUGGAGCUCUGGGGGGAGUUCUUUUUCUCCAAGCUCGGCACCCAGACCGCGGGUGUGCCGGCUCAGUGCGUCGCCUUCAUCGCCGUGCGAAGGACAGGAGCCGACAACCACUUCCCAUCCAUCUCGCUACUGAAGUCGGUGAAGAUGUGGCAGAGGUCCUACUUCUACGUCAGGAACGUCGCCACGAGGGGCGACCGGGUCAAUCUGCCGGCUUUCGAAGCUGGCCCGCCGGCUGGGAGAUUGCCCAACUGGUCGUACUGGGCCAGGUCGCUGACGCCUGCGGUUGCUUGAGGGCAAUGUUGACGUUGAGCCCCCGAGCUUCAUAGAUGAUUCCUCCGUGAUCUUGAUAGAGAUCGGAGUUGAUGUUUGAUGAAGGCCCUCGUCCGAACAUGGUGAUCCGAACACGGGGUGAAAUUCUUGGUCGAACCAAGGUGACCAGUCGAACUGGUGACGAAGACGCCGAAGUCGCAGUUGAUCUACAGGCGAGCCAUCGAUCCUUUUGUCGAUCAUACAGCGGAACUCUCAAUGAAAGCACCAAUGUCCGUGUCAAAACCGGCGGAUCUCGGUUAGGGGGUCUCGAACUGUGCGUCUAGGCCGGAUGGUAACAGGAGGCAAGAGACACGAAGUUUUACCCAGGUUCAGGCCCUCUCGAUGGAGGUAAAACCCUAUGUCCUGCUUGAUUAAUAUUGAUGAUAUGGGUAGUACAAGAGUAGAUCUACCACGAGAUCGGAGAGGCUAAACCCUAGAAGCUAGCCUAUGGUAUGAUUGUUGUUCUGUAUGUUGUAUCGACUAGCCUAGCCCUGGUUUAUAUAAUGCACCAGAGGCCUAGUGUUAACAAGAGUCCUAGCCGAAUACGCCGGUGGGGAGAAGUCCUUGUCUUGAUCACCAAGUCUUUGUGGAAUCUUCCUUGUAUGCGGUAGCUGUCCGAACUGGCCCAUGAGUAUACGACCAUGGGGGGCCUCGGCCCAAUCUAAUAGAUCGGGAGACGACGUGGUGAGUACCCCCUAGUCCAGGACACCGUCAGUUACCUUCUCGAGCCGUGGGGCGCCCACGCGAUCCGUAGAUCGAGCGUGUUUGCCUUGCCUUGUCCUCCAACAUGUCUCGUAAGUCCGGCGCAUAUUCUCGUGCCUUGAUACGGGGUGCGGCUUGAGUGGAGGGCCGGGAGGCCUCUCUGUCGCGGCCAUGAGGUGGCCGGUCGGCCGCAUCAAGUGCUUCCUCCUCUAACCGGGGUAGCAACCUGUGCUUUGGGUAGCUCUUGGAGGGGCGUUCGAGUUUAUGCUCUUCGGCCGCAAGGACUUCAGUCAAUCUGUCGACCAGCAAAUCUUGAUCAGCUCUAAGUUGUUGCUUUUUUUUCUUGAGGCUUCUUGUCGUGGCCAUAAGCCUGCGUUGAAAAUACUCUUGCUCGACGGGAUCCUCUGGCAUGAUGAAUUCAUCGUCGUCGAGGCUUGCCUCGUCUUCGGAGGGAGGCAUAUAAUUAUCGUCCUCGACCUCUCUGUCUGCCGCUCUCUCAUGAGGGUUGGUUUCUCCAUCCUCCUGUGCUAAGUCUUGCUGGAGGGGGUUUUCUUCGGCACUUUCCGGAGUAUUAUUAUCUCCCAUGCUGGAAUCGCCGUAUUUGUUUUGGCGGGAUUUUGAGCGGCUCCGCUGACGCCGGCGCUUACUCUGUUUCUUGGAGGGAUCCUCCUCCGCUGUUCCAUCGCCAUCUCCCUCUUUUGGGGUGUCCACCAUGUAUAUGUCAUAUGACGAGGUGGCUUUCCAGGGCCUAGUAGGCGCUGGUUCUUCAUCAUCUCCUUCAUCGGCAUCCAUACCGUCGAUGUCUUCGGUGUCGAAGUCGAGGAUGUCGGUUAAGUCGUCGACAGUGGCUACAAAGUGGGUGGUGGGUGGGCUUUGAAUUUCUUCAUCGUCCGUACCCCAACCUUGCUGACCGUAGUCCGGCCAGGGCUCUCCUGAUAAAGAGAGAGACUUCAGUGACUUCAGGAUAUCGCCGAAAGGCGAGUGCUGAAAGAUGUCCGCGGCAGUGAACUCCAUAAUUGGCGCCCAAUCGGAGUCGAUUGGCAGGGACGUGGAGGGUUCGGAGUCCGGCUCCUUGGAGUCACGAGUCUCGUAGAGUACGGGGCUAGUGUUCGGCUCAAUCACCAUUGGGGUCGCAGCCCCCGGGGUGGCGUCCAACCGCCCAUCCUCGAUCGGCGCAGUUGGCUCCGAAUUAAGGGUUGGAGCCGAUGCGGGUGCGGCCUCCAGGGCACUGUUCGGCGGCAGAGCUAGAUCAUGCUCGUCAUGACAGUGCGGCGCGCUCGGCAGUGGCUCGAAUCCGUCGAAGAUCAAGUCCCCGCGGAUGUCCGCCGUGUAGUUUAAACUUCCAAAUCUGACCUGACGGCCAGGGGCGUAGCUUUCCAUCUGCUCCAGACAGCCAAGAGAAUUGGCCCGCAGUGCGAAGCCGCCGAAGACGAAGAUCUGUCCGGGGAGGAAGGUCUCACCCUGGACUGCAUCGCUAUCGAUGAUCGUAGGAGCCAUCGAGCCUGACGGCGACGACACAGAGGAACUCUCAAUGAAAGCACCAAUGUCGGUGUCAAAACUGGCGAAUCUCGGGUAGGGGGUCCCGAACUGUGCGUCUAGGCCGAAUGGUAACAGGAGGCAAGGGACACGAAGUUUUACCCAGGUUCGGGCCCUCUCGAUGGAGGUAAAACCCUACGUCCUGCUUGAUUUAUAUUGAUGAUAUGGGUAGUACAAGAGUAGAUCUACCACGAGAUCGAAGAGGCUAAACCCUAGGAGCUAGCCUAUGGUCUGAUUGUUGAUGUGUAUGUUGUCCUACGGACUAAAACCCUUCGGUUUAUAUAGACACCGGAUAGGGUUAGGGUUACAUAGAGUCGGUUACAAUGGUAGGAGAUCUACAUAUCCGUAUCGCCAAGCUUGCCUUGCACGCCAAGGAAAGUCCCUCCCGGACACGGGACGAAGUCUUCAAUAUUGUAUCUUCAUAGUCCUGGAGUCCGACUGAAGGUAUAGUCCGGCUAUCCGAACACCCCCUAAUCCAGGACUCCUUCAGCCGUCAUCACGGAGGGCUUCUACAUCAUCAUCGCCCCUCCGAUGAAGUGUGAGUAGUUUACCUCAGACCUUCGGGUCCAUAGUUAGUAGCUAGAUGGCUUUUUCUCUCUUUUUGGAUCUCAAUACAAAGUUCUCCCCCUCUCUUGUGGAGAUCUAUUCGAUGUAAUCUUCUUCUUUUUGCGGUGUGUUUGUUGAGAUCGAUGAAUUGUGGGUUUAUGAUCAAGUCUAUCUAUGAAUAAUAUUUGAAUCUUCUCUGAAUUAUUUUAUGUAUAAUUGGUUAUCUUUGCAAGUCUCUUCGAAUUAUCUGUUUGGUUUGGCCAACUAGAUUGGUAGUUCUUGCCAUGGGAGAAGUGCUUAGCUUUGGGUUCGAUCUUGCGGUGUCCUUUCCCAGUGACAGAAGGGGCAGCAAGGCACGUAUUGCAUCGUUGCCAUCGAGGAUAACAAGAUGGGGUUUAUUUCAUAUUGCAUGAAUUUAUCUCUCUACAUCAUGUCAUCUUGCUUAAAGUGUUACUCUGUUUUUAACUUAAUACUCUAGAUGCAUGAUGGAUAGCGGUCGAUGAGUGGAGUAAUAGUAGUAGAUGCAGAAUCAUUUUGGUCUACUUUUCACGGACGUGAUGCUUAUAUACAUGAUCAUGCCUAGAUAUUCUCAUAACUAUGCUCAAUUCUGUCAAUUGCUCAACAGUAAUUUGUUCACCCAUCGUAGAAUACUUAUGCUCUUGAGAGAAGCCACUAGUGAAACCUAUGGCCCCCGGGUCUAUUCUCUUCAUAUCAAUCUCCAUCACUUUAAUCUUGCUUUGCUUUUUUACUUUGCCUUUUACUUUUCACUUUGCAUCUCUAUACCAAAAAUAUUAUAUCUAUUAGAUCUCACUCACAUAAGUGAUCGUGAAGGGAUUGACAACCCCUAAUCGCGUUGGUUGCGAGUAGCUAUCGUUUUGUGCAGGUACGAGGGACUUGAGCGUGGCCUCCUACUAGAUUGAUACCUUGGUUCUCAAAAACUGAGGGAAAUACUUACGCUACUCUGCUGCAUCAUCCUUUCCUCUUCGGGGAAAUCCAACGCAAGCUCAAGAGGUAGCAAUAAGGAUUUCUGGCGCCGUUGCCGGGGAGUCUACGCAAAAAGUCAAUAUACCAAGUACCCAUCACAAUCCCUAUCUCUCGCAUUACAUUAUUUGCCAUUUGCCUCUUGUUUUCCUCUCCCCCCAAUUCACCCUUGCCGUUUUAUUUGCCCUCUCUCUCUAUCCUCCCUCUCUGUUUCCUUUUUCCCUCGCCAUGUCAGAACCAAAAAGAGUUGGGGGUUUUCUCCCAAGUUCUAGUGCUUUAGACAGUCCUGCUAUCUUAUCUAAACUUAUAAAUCGGAAUGCUAUAGAACAACUUGCCGGAGUUAUCAAUGAGAACCUUAGUAAUUUUGAUGAAGAUGAUUCUGGAAUUUUCCGUUAUUUACUUGAUGAAUCUUUGAAAGAUUCUUGGGAUAGGUUGUUAAGGAUUCGGGCUAGCUAUGUACCCCAAUAUCAAAUUGAGGUUUACUUAAAAAGCUUUUAUGUUGGGCUGCCCGCUUCGUUCAAACAAGUUUUAGAUUCUAUUUGCGAGGGGGGUUUUCUUGAAGGGGACCCCAUAGAUACCUAUGAAAGGAUGAAAACUAUAUUUGGGCACCCCAUUAAUGAGAAAACUGAAAUCACAUCCCUCUUCCGGUGGAGCACCGGAAGAGGCCCCAAGAUGGGAUCUCGUGGAUAUAGAAAGUUGCGGCGGUGGAAUUAGGUUUUUGGCUCCCCUUCUGAUCGUUUGGGGGUACGUGUGUAUAUAUAGGAGGAAGAAGUACGCCGGAGGAGCAACGAGGGGCCCACGAGGCAGGGGACGCGCCCUAGGGGGGGCGCGCGCCCCACCCUUGUGACCGCCUCUUUUGUUCCUUGGAGCAGGGUCCAAGUCUCCUGGAUCACGUUCGGUGAGAAAAUCACGUUCCCGAAGAUUUUAUUCCGUUUGGACUCCGUUUGAUAUUCCGUUUCUUCGAAACACUGAAAUAAGCAAAAAACCGCAAUUCUGGGCUGGGCCUCCGGUUAAUAGGUUAGUCCCAAAAAUAAUAUAAAGUGGAAAAUAAAGCCCAAUAUAGUCCAAAACAGUAGAUAAUAUAGCAUGGAGAAAUCAAAAAUUAUUGAUACAUUGGAGACGUAUCAACCAUGAAUAAAAUGUGAACCACCAUCAGUCAUUAAAUAUCUAGGGACUCCGAAAAAUAACUCACUACAAAAAAAUACACUUCUGUGAUGAUACGUGUUUGUCACAGUAGGUCGCGUUUUCUGUCAUGCAUGUACAUCCAUGACAAAUUUAUGACAGAAUCAAGAUAGACAUACCUGUGCUGUCGUAGAAGUGUUCCAUGACAUUACCAAAAUUAUCAUCACGGAAGUGUCCACUUCCAUGACGAUAAAUCUCGCGUCACAGAAGUGCUUUCGUCAUGGGUGAUCGACACGUGGCAUCCACCGUAACGGAACACCGUUAAGCUAUCGGGUCGGGUUUUGGAUCCGAUAACCCGUUAACAGCCCCGACCAAUGGGGAUUUUCCACGUGUAAAAUCAUCAUUGGCUGGAGGAAACACGUGUCGUCUCAUCAUUGGGACAGAUGUCAACCACUCAUUGGACGGAAGGCGCCUAUGAUACGUCGACACGUGGCACGGACCAACAGAGGUCCAUUCCUGUGAAAAGGCCGGCCCGUUUGACUUGGUCAAAAGCUAGCGGGCCGGCCCAUGGAAAGCCUGUUAACGGCAUGUCCGAAUAUAGCCCAUUUACAGCCCGCUAACCCAAGGCCCGUUACACCCUAUUCGUAUUAGGCCCAGUAGCGUCAUCUGGGCCAUCCAAUAUGAUUCCAGCCCAUUUUCACUUCUGGCCCAUGUAUGGCCCAUGAUGUUUUUCGGCCCAUAUGAGGCCCUAUGUAACUCUUGGCCUACUAACGGCCCAUGGUGAAACUGGCCUGUAAUGAAUAGUGUAUCACUUUACACCCAUUAACGGCCCGUGGUGAAACUGGCCCGUAAUGAACAGUGUAUCACUUUAUACCCAUUAACGGCCUGUUAUUCCGUUGGGCCGUUUCCAGCCCAUGUUAUCUUUCGGCCUUCUCAGAGCCCAUUUAUUCUUGGGCUCAUUUUCAGCAUUCGUUUACUUACGGCCCGUUGUUGUCAUUUUCUGCUUGUGGGCCAAAUUCAGCCCGUGGUUACAGUCGGCUCAUUUGUGGCCCGUUAAUAUGUUGGGCUGACUUCAUAGCGUCAUCAAAUACGGCCUAUUAACGAUGGCCCGUUAUGGUCGGCCCAUGAAUGGACGAUUCCAUCUCUAGCCCGUUUACGGCCAUAAUGCGGUCUGUUUGGCCCAUGUUUGGCCAAUCGAUUAUACGGCCCGUAUAAGGCCCAUUGAUAAUACGGCCCGUAGAAGGCCCAUUGUUUCUACGGCCCGUAGAAGGCCCACUGUUUCUAUGGCCAGUAGGAGGCUCAGUGUCACUACAGUAAAUAUUAGCCCAUGGUUAUUGUGGCCUAGUUUUAAAAAAUAGGUUAUUGCAGCCACUAGCUAACCGCGGAAAAAGAACUGCAAUGACUACAAGCAAACAAAUAAACAAGACAACAAGGAAAUAAAUAAGCAAGCAACUAAUGCUAGGCUUCAUGGCUAUUACACAUAAUACAUCCACUGGGCAUCAAAGUUCGCCACCAGUGCAAAUAUAGGGAACAAAGCAGCAUAUCAUAUACACUGGUUGUCAAAGUUGGUGACCAACGCAAAUAAAUGCCGCAGCAAAACAAAUCCAGAACUGAAACCACUUCAGAAGAUAUCAAGAAACAAUAUCCUGGGUACCCAUAAUGCUGGCAGGAUACUUAGCAAGCUUAUUAAAUUUCUCUUGUUUGGCGCUUAAAUCCUCUAGCGCUUGCUGUUGCACCAGAAAAUAUGCAUCUGAAUUCUGCAGCGACUUCCUCAGUCCUUCAGCUUCCUGUCGCAGCACAUCUGAUCGAUGUCUUUGAACUUGAAGUUGAGACUCAAGAAGACGAACUGAUUCAAGCAGCGAGUUUGAAGAGCUUGUGCCAGCAGUAGUGGCCAGUAACUCGAACACUACAUCAAGACAGGACUUUUGGGUUCCCUCACCGUCUUCAAGAUAGUUUUUAUCAGCUUUCUUGGAGACCAACAGGGAUGUCUCACUAUCUUGAACCUUAUCUGUAUUACUUCCUUUACCAUUGGAUAACGCGCUACUGUUCUCCAAUAUUUUGUCCGCAUUCUAAAAGAGAAACAAGCAGACACAUCAUAUGUUUACCACGCGGCAUCGGAGUGAAGUGUAGCUAAAUCGGAGCAGCAUCGCAAGCAAUAGCAAGAGCGAGAGCAGCAGCGUGGGCAAGAGCAAUAGCAAGACCAGACCAGGCAGGGGACCGAGAGCAAGAGCAGAGCAGCAGCGCGAGCGAGAGCUAAAGCAGCAGCAGGUCCUACUGAUGUGGACGUCGCCGCCGAGGGAGCGACACCGUGGAGGAAGUGGCCGGUGAUGCCGCCGUGGAUGGAGCCGCGCCAUGUCGGCUCGGGACCGAGCGCCGGCAGCACCGUGAGAUCGAAUCAAGAAGAAAAUGCGACGAUUAGUGUACAACCUCUUUGGUGGCGCCGAUUAGGCCGCAACUUCAUCUGAGGAAACGGUGAUGAUGAUGCUCUUCCGGUGGUGCAGGUGAAGACGGUGGUGUGGGAAUGGAGGUGGCGCGAAAGACGAGGGGAACAUCGGGGCAGCUCCUUGGAGGUGGAGGACGGGGUGGCUGAACCGACAGGACGAUGAGAUCAAUGACGGAUCCUCAUCCGGUACGGUGGAUGAGGGACGUCGAGGUGUUGCUGUGGACGACGUCGUCGGGGAAGAGGCUCCGGCUGGGUGGCAGACGGAGCAGGGUGUGGGGUUUUGUCACGGGUUUUCGCGGCCUCGGUGUACGAAUGGGUGGACGGAUGGGAUGGUAGUGGGGAACCAUGGCUUAGAGACGCGCUUGUCCGAAAUGUGGGGUAAGUUACGGAAGUACCCCCACCGAUUUGAGGUGGUUCUUUCGGUUCAGGGGUACCACGGGCAUUUCGUGUGUCGGGAUUUCACAGGAGGUGGGAGUUUUCACACUCGUUGUAAUUUCGGAAUAGCAAGGCGCGGGUUGAUAUGGAAGGAGUUGUCGGAGCACAACGAGACAAAAAUAUAUCUUAAAUAUUUCGGGCUAAUAAGGCGCGGGUUGAAAUUUCCGGACAAGCCUAACGUGUAUUGUACCAAAUCAAUGUGCCCUACAAAUGUCAUUCAAAACUUUGAAUUCAUGUUAUGUUAAAUUAAAAUAUUUCGCUACGUGUAUAAUGCAUGCAACCUACUACUCAAAUGAACGUUUUAGUGCAUUCCAAACCUAUAUACUACCGCUUCAAUAUGAACUAAAUUUGAAUUCGUCUCUCUAUUUGAAUAAGAUCUACAAUAAUGAUUGUUGUGAAGUCAAAGCAUUUGAAUUCGUUUCUCUGUUUUAAUAAGAUCUACAAUCAUCAUUAUUGUCAAGUUAAACCAUCAUUUGUGUAUUAUCUUCACAGCACACCACAUGAUUAGUCUCGAGUUACAUAUGAACUAUGUGUACUAUAUGAACUCGAACUAAAUUUUUUGAAUCCACUUUAUUUUGAUUUGAAAUCACAUUACAUUUCUAGCUCUAGCUAGAUCUUCAUAAUCUAAACCAUGUAUCAUAUGUAUAAUGUGUUUAUCACAUUAUGUAUGGUGCCCCGCCCCCUACGCCUACAAGUAUUUAGAUGUGAGUUGCAAACACCACACAUUACCACAAAUUCAAAUAAAAUGUGAGAAUGUUCGAUAUAUAGUAUUGUUUAGAUUGUUCCAUAUUUAGUUGUAAGCUGCAAACGCCACACAUUAUCACAAAUUCAAAUAAAAUGUGAGAUUGUUUGAUGUAUAGUAUGGUUUAGAUUGUUCGGCAUUUAGCCGUGAGUUGCAAACGCCAUGCAUUAUCACAUUAUGGUAUACCGUGUGCACCACACGUGUAUCACCGCUAUAUUCAUGCAUGCAAUGUUUAAAACACUAUGAUCUCCUAUUCAAAUAUAUGAAUCCACUUCCAUAUCAAAUUAUGAUCUUUGUUAGUCUCUUACACCCACACAAUCCUCUAACCUUUGUAGCUACCACUAACUUUCUCUCGUGCAUGCACAUGCCCUCCUCGCCCCCCUCCCUCGGCAUUCUAUCCACCGGGCACAUUCAUUUUUUUUCUUUAGGUCGUUCUCCCAGAGUCUCCACAACUCCUUUCCGACACACACCACCGAUAGAUAAACUUCUCCAGCGAUGCCUGCCUACAACAUACAAACACACCUUCAAUCUCCUCCUAGGAGGUGGUUUGCGGUUUAUCCUUUUCUAUCUCUCUAUACAAAUUUUCUAACGUGCACUGCUGUACUACAACUAAAUCAAAUUUACUGAAUAUUACGUAUGUAGAAUUCCAAAAUAUCUGUCUAUGAAUUAAUGCACAAACUUCUAAGUGUCAAGAUGUUGAUUCUAUCCAAUUUUGGUAUUAGUUAUCUUAUAUUUAUUGAUCUUUGUAUUGCUGCUCAAUGUUCUAAGCAUGGAUAUAAUGACUCUGUCUCAUUUUGUUAUUAUUGCCAUGUAAAUGUUGUCUUUACCCUUUUAUUUUGUAUAGUAAGUACAUUUGAUUGAGGCUAAUAUCCUGUUACUUGACAUGGCAGUGACUAUCUCUUUAAGCUUCUGCUUAUCGGAGACUCAGGUGUUGGCAAGUCAUGCCUCCUCUUAAGAUUUGCUGUAAGAGUCCCUAUCUAAAGCAUGAUUUGUUCACUAUCUUUUAUAGGUCUUCCUUUUUUUAAUAUGCAUCUUCAUCUUAAAAGUUUGAUAUAAGUUUUCUUCGGGAUAUCAUGGAAACUGUAAAAAAAAAUUAGGCUCAGUAAACUGUAUGAUUUCCCACUACUUAAUACGAAUGAGGAGUUCAUUGUUGGUAGCUACUGUUUCUUAACAACAUGGAGAUGAUCCCUAUAACAAUCUUGUUGUUACUAGUUAAUUUACUCUGACCUCCUUAAUAUCGACUCUUUUGGCAGGAUGACUCAUACCUGGAGAGUUAUAUCAGUACUAUUGGUGUUGAUUUUUGUAAGUAUAUUUAGUUUCUUGGUCUGAGUGUUAAUGUUCUGGCUACCUUAAUUGAACUUGUAGUUUUGUUUUCUUCCAACUUUGUCGAUAGAAAAUACGUACCGUGGAGCAAGAUGGAAAGACUAUGAAGCUGCAAAUCGUGAGUCCAUUCUUUCUUUCAUUAUGUCCAGUAUGCAUGUACCAUCAAAUCCAGAUUGUACAUCGAAUCCAGAUUUGACAAAAUAGAAGACUUUAUCGGGAAACAUUUCAUUUAUAGCCCUCUUCUGUUUUGUGGAGUUUGCUGGAUUUUCCCUUUGCAUAAUAUAGCAUGCCGUUAUUCAUCAGUAUUUAUGUGGUUGUUAGUUGAGGCCAGUUUAUAGGAAACAGAAACUCCACUACUCCCUCCUUCCAUCUAUAUAGGGCCUAAUGUGUUUUUCGAGGCUAACUUUGACCAAAUACUAGAGCAAUAAUAUAUGACAUGCAACUUACACAAAGCACACCGUUAAAUUCGUGUGUGAAAAGAGUUUUCAAUGAUAUAAUUUUCACAUUGUGCAUGUCAUGUACUAUUAAUCUUGUCAAUAGUCAAAGGCGGUCCUAAAAACACAUUAGACCCUAUAUAGAUGGAAGGAGGGAGUAUGGCUGAAUAUGUAGGCAGUUGCACAACCCCCUUUUACCUUUUGGUUUUUUUAGUUCCAUCCAUUUAAAUUACCGUUGAACAUAAAGAAUAAGAGUAGUUUAGCCCAUUAAAUUAAAUGUUAUAAAGUUUCUUAGUUCGCAUAAAGAAUCGCACUUUCAAGAUGUUUUUAGAUACCAAAGUGAUGCCCAUUUUGAACAUCAUAUUUUUUUUCAAAAAUGGGGGCUCCCCGGCCUCUGCAUCAUUUGAACAUCAUAUUUAAGGGCCUGAUAGUAUGUCAUUUAAAUACUUGGGUGGUACGGUAGCUCAUGUUGCACCUACUGUUGGCAUUUGGCGAUUCUUCCUUCCUUUUGUGUGACACAUUACAUUUAGUGAUGCAAGAUAUCCUUUUCCUUUUCUUUAAACCCCUCUUUGGUACCUUUGUUUUUAUCAGUGGGACACUGCUGGGCAAGAACGCUUCAGAACUAUUUACUAGCGGCUACUAUCGAGGGGCUCACGGGAUCAUUGUAAGUUUGUUUAUGUGAAAAUCUUAUUUUUAUUUUUCACAUGCUAUUUAACAUGCAUAAAUGUCCACAUUUUUAUAUAUUUUGAAUACAUAUAUACAAAUGGGGUUGCAGAUUGUCUAUGACAUGACAGACCAGGACAGCUUCAACAAUGUGAAGCAGUGGUUGAACGAGAUUGAUCGCUAUGCUAGUGAGAAUGUUAACAAGCUUCUUGUAGGGAACAAAUCUGAUCUCACUGACAAAAGAGUUGUAUCAUAUGAGACAGUGAAGGUACCUUAUGCUUUACUCAUAUCUGCUAAAGCAUUCUUUCUGCUCUUUGUGUUCACGUUUGGUGUAUGCAGGCAUUUGCUGAUGAGAUUGGCAUCCCAUUCAUGGAGACCAGUGCAAAGAAUACCUUGAACGUUGAGCAGGCUUUCAUGGCUAUGUCUGCUUCAAUCAAGGACAGGUGUGUGUUCCCAGACGGUUUAAUUAGCACAGGCCAUCCUACUAGUCCACUUUUUUUUAACUACCAUCAUUUUACACUUUAUUUACUGCUCAUUGAUGCUCUGUUCCUGUAGUACUCCCUCUGGUCCUUUUUACUCCCCACAUUAGCUUUGUCUGAAGUCAAAGUUUGCUAAGUUUGACCAAAUUUAUAUUAAAAAAUAUUAACAUCUAUAACAUCUAAUAAAUAUAAUAUGAAAAUAUAUUCCGAGAUGGAUCUAAUAAUAAAUGCGUUGUUAUGUGAAUGUUAAUAUUUUUUUUGUAUAAACUUGAUCAAAGUUGGAUGAGAUUGACUUCAGACAAACCUAAUAUGUAGAGUAAAAAGGACCGGAGGGAGUAUCAUAACCAAAAUUGCCCUACACUCUUUAGCAUGUUGCUGUUAAUUGUUCUAUGUUAUUCCUCACGGUGUUGUUCUAUAUACACCUCAUAGAAAGAGCAUAUAAUUAUGAAUAAAAAUCUUGGUUUCCAGGAUGGCGAGCCAGCCGGCUGCAAACAGCGCUCGCCCAGCGACGGUGCAGAUACGCGGGCAACCUGUCGAACAGAAGACGAGCUGCUGCUCUUCUUGAAAUGCAGGCAGCCGUCAUCCGUGUUACCCAAAUGGAGACGCAAACUUGGCCGCGCCAUCCUUGAGUCCAUGCUUCUACAUAGGCCUACUACAUCUUACACCUUCAUUCCAUUCUUUCUAGUGUACUUAUUAGCUCUUGAAUCGUUGGACUUGUAACACCGGACGGAGUUUGGAGACAGUAUCUUCUUCUAGUUGUGUAUCUUGAAUGGUUAUAUGUUACGAUUUGCAGCUGUUGCUUUUCUUCCCUAAAUUUAAGGCGAUUUCUACUUUUACUUGAUCAAAUUGUCCCGUUCCUCGAAAUAUUAUUCGACAGUAUGCUUAUCUUUAUGGUAUAAAAACUUCCUGAUUAUAACUUUCAAGGUGCACUUGUUGAUUGUUGAAGGUAGCAUUAGGAAUAGCACAACAUUAGAUCAACUGGGGCGUGUUUGGUUGCCUGGGCAAAUUGCCAACAUUAGAUCAGUUGGGGCGUGCUUGAUUGCCUACAUCUUUUGUCUCAGUGGGCCUAGUUGAGUUGCCUGUAUUUGUGCUAUUGGUAUGCAAAGCAGAACUGUUUUGCUCACCCCGUGGUGAUCUUACCACACAAAUGCAGCACUUCAUAUCAUACUAAGAAUACUAGGCCCGUAAGGGAUUCUUUUUCCUGGAUUUUUUGAACUUUUUUUACUAUUCUUGUCAAUUUGACGCGUGUGACUGGGUUAAUCAUGUGCAUAGCUUUUUUUAACUGGUUAAACAAUUUUGCACGUUUCUCUCCACCGCUUUGACCGGGCCUUCUGGGCUAUUCGAUUUACUUGUAUACAUGCCACGCGUAUCUUGUCUGCGGCCGCUUGCCACCGCGUGUCCAGUUCUCUCCCGAGGGCUCGAUUCCAGAAAUUGCUACAUCACGGGUUGCCACUACUAUAUAAAGGGCACGCUUUCUUGCCUAGGUUCUCAUCUUGCCGCGUCGUUGGUCCGUCUCCCAAAUUCCGGCGACGCCCACACCCCUAGCUCGCCGUGCUUCCCUGCCCCCCUCUCCGCACGGCCAGCUGGUGGCGCACGGGAACCAUCACUAACCAUGUAUGGAGGGCACAAGGCGGCAGCGGCCACCUCUAGCCUGAGGCCCGAAAGGAACGCCCGGAGACAUGCAGCCAUGGAGCUAAGCAUCGCCAGCCUCAUGAGCCCGCGCAGCCUGCGGGAGCCCCAUGCCCGGAAGCGACGGAAGUGCUUCUGGAUCAUGCGUGCCUCUCAGACAGCCGGCGUGCGUGACGUGGCAGCAGCGAGGGCGGGUCUUCCUUGUGCGCGUGCGUGUGGUGGUGAAUGUGAGGGUUGGACUGCUGAGGCUGCAGCGACCUCGAGCACGACUACGCGGCGCAAGAUUUAGUGGAGCAGGAGCUGGCCGUGGUCGGGCAGGUUCGGGGCGCAGGCGCAGCGGCGCAGGUGCUCGGGAAACCACGCGCGUGAUAGAAGGUACUGUUCUACACGCACAUGCGCGCUCGCUGCCUCUUCAGGGUCAAGCAAUUGCAGCUGAGUCUGCGGCUUGGUGCCUUGCAAUAGUAGUAUGUAAUGUUUAUUUCUUUGCCACUAAUUCUAGGAAUCAGAAGUAGCUUAAUUGCAUUAUUAGCACAGUUGAAAAAAAAAACAGACAGGGGUACAGAGUACCAUAUAUCAUCAUCUUUUAUUGUGUUUUUUCCAGCAGCACCUGUCUUGCCGAGCCAGUCGCAUAAUCUUGCAGUUGCAGGGCCGAGCUGCUCCCGAGUGUGGUUUUGUGUAGCUCAAGUUACAUGGUACCCCUUAUCUUAACCAUUCAUUUUUGCAUCAUGAUCCGUGCAGGCAUAUUUGUCAUUUUUGUUUCUCUCAAACGAAACAACGUAUAAACUUCAAACUUUGCAUGACAACCAAACAUUUUGAUUACUAUGUGGGAAAAAACUUUCAGAUUUUUUCAUGCAUUUUAAAUGCUAAAAUUUAUUUUUUUAAUCAAAAAAAUCCUCAUUUUGUAUAUUUAUGUUGGUCCAAAAAAUCUGAAAGUUUUUUCACACAUUGAAGUUGUAAAUUUUGUUUGAUCUGCAAAGUUUGAAGUCUAUAUGUUUUUUCAUUUGAAAAAACAAAAAAGAGAAAUAUUUUUGCUGUAAGUUAGUUGAAGAGUAUAGAUCUCAAAGCAAUAUUGAAGGGAUGAAGAUAAGAGGUUUCAUGUAGCCUGAGCUACAGAGAAACUUUACCAGCUGCUCCCUGUCUUUGCUUUUCCUCCAGGACUUCAGGUAAUUUUUGAUAUAUAUAUAUAUAUAUAUAUAUAUAUAUAUAUAUAUAUAUAUAUAUAUAUAUAUAUAUAUAUAUAUAUUCUCUCCCUGUUCUUUUUAUCUAUCGGCCCAUGGAUCUGUUUUGAGUUGCACAUUCCUUUGGCGCAGCAAUGCAUAUAUGAUUCAUGAUUCGUUCAAUAUGGCUAUGUUACAUUUGAUUCAAAUCAAAAUCAGACAUACAUCUGCACAAUGAUUAUUUUAAACACCAUUUGUUUGUUGUAACAGAUAUUGUGGAAGUGAUUUCAGAUGAUAAUUACCUGAUUGAUCCAGUCACUAGGAUGUUCUCCAAAAAAAUUAAUGAGACCGCGAAGUACAGUGUAGUUCAGACCUUUUUGUUCCGUGUACACCAUUUUAAACACCAUAGACUCAUUAUUGCAUCUCCCUUUUUGUUCCUUGUACAAAAACCGAACCUUGAUCUAUAACUAGAGAGGAUGUUUGGCUUCUUACAGUGUAGUUCAGACCUACGUUUAAUAUUUAAUUUAUCUUGGUUUUGCUGUUCUCCUUGCCCUCGCAUCUUCAGCCUCUCGCAGUCUCUACCCUGGUCCAACGCAUUUCCAGUUCAGUUCGCCACUUUGAUUCUUACUUUCCGUGAUGUGAUCUGGAUGUGAUACUUGGAGAAGGACUUGGAUAGUGCCUUAAUUUAAAUAACACACGAUUUAGUGAAGUUCCAUGAUCUUACUUCUCAUCUGAAUUUUAAUUGGUGGUGUAAAGAUCCAAACCAACUCUAGCUUAUUCAGCUGGUAGUGAGGUUUGAUGAUCCUUAAGAUAUCAUGUACGAGUACACACACAAAAAAUGAUGCAUUUUGACAUUUUGUAGAAUUUACUGAUGGUCAAUAUUAUACAGGAUCUAUGACUUGCUUGCUCCUCUUCACAUUUUAUACUUGCUCUUAUUUUGAUUCCGGCCUUAUUGCGUAGAGCAUAACCUGGUUUCUAAUGUUCAAUUCUAACUAGCUGAACUUCGGAUUAGUUGAAUUGGGGGAGCUAUAUGUCUUCGGAUUACUUUAACCUGGUUUCUAAUACUCAUCUCGGGUUUCUUGUUUAGAUUCAGUAAUCAGAUCCAGUUUAAAGUUUCAUUGUCUGCAGAAAAUUUUAUUCAGUGAUCAACGGUUCUCCUCCAACUGAAAUUUCAUGUUUAUGUUUUUUAUUCUAACCCUGUGUCCAUCUCCAGUUUACUCAAGAAACCAAGUAGGUGAUCAUGGAGGAUGACACAAGUACAUGCCAAGUCAGCGUAAAGCUGAGAUGGGAAACCAAAUUGAGCAACUUCAGAAGCGUAAUGCACUAUCCAAGGUAGACCACGAUAGCAGGUAGUCUUGUCAUCUUGCAUCUUUCUUUUUCGAGGAAUUUUGCAUCUUCAUAUAUCUUAUGCAUUGCUUAUAGCUGUGGCACAGAACAUGUAAUGGAAGACUAUUCUUUUUCUUAUUGCAUUUGUAACCUCUGUUUAUUAUACUGUAGAGAAGAGAACAACAUAUUUGAUACUAAUAGUUUCAUUUCCAUAAUGGUUGAAAAAAAACUGUCUGUAGUUUUCAGAUAUCUUGUCGAUGCUAGCCAGGAAGAGCACCAAAAGGAAUGCACUGUACCACUAGAUCACAGAGACCUACCCAGCUGGAGGAUUGACGUCUCAGUUCUAGCUAUAGAAUAUACAAGCAAUGGUACCAUUGUAAACUUGUAGUCUCGCCUACCAUCAUGUAUCUUAAGGAUGUAGCACCCAUGCUUAAACCAUGUAUAACUAUAUCCAUAAAGAGCUCCGCGCCAUGGCUGAGCGCGUAGCCCUUUCAGGAUCCGGUGGAUCCNNNNNNNNNNNNNNNNNNNNNNNNNNNNNNNNNNNNNNNNNNNNNNNNNNNNNNNNNNNNNNNNNNNNNNNNNNNNNNNNNNNNNNNNNNNNNNNNNNNNNNNNNNNNNNNNNNNNNNNNNNNNNNNNNNNNNNNNNNNNNNNNNNNNNNNNNNNNNNNNNNNNNNNNNNNNNNNNNNNNNNNNNNNNNNNNNNNNNNNNNNNNNNNNNNNNNNNNNNNNNNNNNNNNNNNNNNNNNNNNNNNNNNNNNNNNNNNNNNNNNNNNNNNNNNNNNNNNNNNNNNNNNNNNNNNNNNNNNNNNNNNNNNNNNNNNNNNNNNNNNNNNNNNNNNNNNNNNNNNNNNNNNNNNNCGGUACCGGCGGCCGGCGACGCGCCGUGGCGGAUGAAGCGGGGACGCCGGGAGCGUUCGCGCCCGCGCGCGGAGGGCGCGCGCACACUUCCGGCCCCUAGGCCGCCGCCGCACUAUCGGCUGCCGGCGCGCUUCUUCGGCUACUGCUACAACUGCGGAGAAGACGACCACAUCUCGAGGGAGUGCACGAACCCGACCAAGUGUGUUCUCUGUGAUGGCACCGGGAACAGCUCCAGGGACUGCCCGCUGCGGCGUGGCUCCUCGUCCGGUGGCAGCUCCCCCAGGCCGCCUGCUCGUCGGCAGCGUGUCUUCUCUCCGUCUCCGCUGAUGCCUAGGCCGUCGCUGGGUGCGGUCCCCCCGCCCCCGCCCCCGCCCGAGGUCGUCCGGCUUGGUCGCUCUUGGAGCAAUGUUGUGCGGGAGGACUCCAGUGAGGGAUCGGUGGAUGGCCCGGCCUUCGUCGUCCCCUUCGUCGGGCUCCCCCCCCCCCCCGGGGUGGAGGUUGUAAGGCUGCCGCCGGCGCAGCGGGUGGAGGAGCCAUCCUGUUGCCACCUUGAGCGCUCCGAGGAGAUGGAGCGGCUGGAGGCGGAGCUCGCGCACGCGGUUGUGGUUACCAUCGUCGGAAACCGCCGGCGGUGGAUCUGGCCAGUGCGGCGGAGGCUCUUCAUGCUGCAUUUGAUGUCGGGCCGGCGUCCAUGUCCAUCCGUGCCUUCUUCCCCGAGGACUUUCUGGUGCUCUGCGACUCCAUUCACCUCCGGCAGCGCAUGGCGGAUCGCGGUCGGGCGGACGGCCCGGGCUUCACGCUGACGCUCCUGUUGGAAAUAUGCCCUAGAGGCAAUAAUAAAUUAGUUAUUAUUAUAUUUCCUUAUUCAUGAUAAUCGUUUAUUAUCCAUGCUAGAAUUGUAUUGAUAGGAAACUCAGAUACAUGUGUGGAUACAUAGACAACACCAUGUCCCUAGUAAGCCUCUAGUUGAUUAGCUCGUUGAUCAAUAGAUGGUUGCGGUUUCCUGACCAUGGACAUUGGAUGUCGUUGAUAACGGGAUCACAUCAUUAGGAGAAUGAUGUGAUGGACUAGACCCAAUCCUAAUCCUAGCACAAAGAUCGUGUAGUUCGUAUGCUAAAGCUUUUCUAAAUGUCAAGUAUCAUUUCCUUAGACCAUGAGAUUGUGCAACUCCCGGAUACCGUAGGAAUACUUUGGAUGUGCCAAACGUCAUAACGUAACUGGGUGGCUACAAAGGUGCACUAUGGGUAUCUUAAAAAGUGUCUGUUGGGUUGGCACGAAUCGAGACUGGGAUUUGUCACUCCGUGUGACGGAGAGGUAUCUCUGGGCCCACUCGGUAGGACAUCAUCAUAAUGUGCACAAUGUGAUCAAGGAGUUGAUCACGGGAUGAUGUGUUACGGAACGAGUAAAAAGAGACUUGCCGGUAACGAGAUUGAACAAGGUAUCGGGAUACCGACGAUCGAAUCUCGGGCAAGUACAAAACCGCUAGACAAAGGGAAUUGUAUACGGGAUUGAUCGCAUCCUCGACAUCGUGGUUCAUCCGAUGUGAUCAUCGUGGAACAUGUGGGAACCAACAUGGAUAUCCAGAUCCCAUUGUUGGUUAUUGACCGGAGAACGUCUCGGUCAUGUCUGCAUGGUUCCCGAACCCGUAGGGUCUACACACUUAAGGUUCGAUGACGCUAGGGUUAUAAAGGAAGUUUGUAUGUGGUUACCGAAUGUUGUUCGGAGUCCCGGAUGAGAUCCCAGAUGUCACGAGGAGUUCCGGAAUGGUCUGGAGGUAAAGAUUUAUAUAUGGGAAGUCCUGUUUUGGUCACCGGAAAAGUUUCGGGUUUUAUCGGUAACGUACCGGGACCACCGGGAGGGUCCCGGGGGUCCACCAAGUGGGGCCACAAGCCCCGAAGGGCUGCAUGGGCCAAGUGUGGGAGGGGACCAGCCCCAGGUGGGCUGGUGCGCCCCCCCACAAGGGCCCAAGGCGCCUAAGGGGAGGACGGGGGCAAACCUUAAGGGCAGAUGGGCCUUAGGGCCCAUACCUGGUGCGCCUCCCUCUCUCCCUCCACCUGGCCGCCACCCAGAUGGGAUCUGGGGGCUGCCGCCACCCCUAGGGAGGGAACCCUAGGUGGGGGCACAGCCCCUCCCCUCCCCCUAUAUAUACUUGAGGUUUGGGCUGCCCAACACACACGAGUUUCUGACCUCUCCCUGGCGCAGCCCUACCUCUCUUUCUCCUCAUAUCUCGCGGUGCUUGGCGAAGCCCUGCUGGAUCACCAUGCUCCUCCACCACCACCACGCUGUUGUGCUGCUGCUGGAUGGAGUCUUCCUCAACCUCUUCCUCUUUCGUUGCUGGAUCAAGGCAUGGGAGACGUCACCGGGCUGUACGUGUGUUGAACGCGGAGGUGCCGUCCGUUCGGCACUAGGAUCUCCGGUGAUUUGGAUCACGACGAGUACGACUCCUUCAACCCCGUUCUCUUGAACGCUUCCGCUUAGCGAUCUACAAGGGUAUGUAGAUGCACUCUCCUUCCCCUCGUUGCUGGUUUCUCCAUAGAUAGAUCUUGGUGACACGUAAGAAAAUUUUGAAUUUCUGCUACGUUCCCUAACAGUGGCAUCAUGAGCUAGGUCUAUGCGUAGUUUCUAUGCACGAGUAGAACACAAAGUAGUUAUGGGAGUUGAUUUUGUUCAAUAUGCUUACCGUUACUAGUCCAAUCUUGAUUCGGCAGCAUCGUGGGAUGAAGCGGCUCGGACCGACCUUACACGUACUCUUACGUGAGACUGGUUCCGCCGACUGACAUGCACUAGUUGCAUAAGGUGGCUAGCGGGUGUCUGUCUCUUCCACUUUAGUCGGAUCGGAUUCGAUGAAAAGGGUCCUUAUGAAGGGUAAAUAGCAAUUGGCAUAUCACGUUGUGGUUUUUGCGUAGGUAAGAAACAUUCUUGCUAGAAACCCAUAGCAGCCACGUAAAACAUGCAAACAACAAUUAGAGGACGUCUAACUUGUUUUUGCAGGGUAUGCUAUGUGAUGUGAUAUGGCCAAAAGGAUGUGAUGAAUGAUAUAUGUGAUGUAUGAGAUUGAUCAUAUUCUUGUAAUAGGAAUCACGACUUGCAUGUCGAUGAGUAUGACAACCGGCAGGAGCCAUAGGAGUUGUCUUAAUUUAUUUAUGACCUGCGUGUCAACAUAAACGUCAUGUAAUUACUUUACUUUAUUGCUAACCGUUAGCUGUAGUAGUAGAAGUAAUAGUUGGCGAGACAACUUCAUGAAGACACGAUGAUAGAGAUCAUGAUGAUGGAGAUCAUGGUGUCAUGCCGGUGACGAUGAUGAUUAUGGAGCCCCGAAGAUGGAGAUCAAGAGGAGCAAAGUGAUGAUGGCCAUAUCAUGUCAUUUUUUGAUUGCAUGUGAUGUUUAUCAUGUUUAUGCAUCUUAUUUGCUUAGAACAACGGUAGUAAAUAAGAUGAUCCCUCAUUAAAAUUUCAAGAAAGUGUUCCCCCUAACUAUGCACCAUUGUGAAAAGCUUGUCGUUUCGAAGCACCACGUGAUGAUCGGGUGUGAUAGAUUUUUACGUUCGAAUACAAUGGGUGUUGACGAGCCUAGCAUGUACAGACAUGGCCUCAGAACACAUGCAAAACACUUAGGUUGACUUGACGAGCCUAGCAUGUACAGACAUGGCCUCGGAACACAAGAGACCAAAAGGUCGAGCAUGAGUCGUAUGGUAGAUACGAUCAACAUGAAGAUGUUCACCGAUGUUGACUAGUUCGUCUCACGUGAUGAUCGGACACGGCCUAGGUGACUCGGAUCAUGUAAUCACUUAGAUGAAUAGAGGGAUGUCUAUCUGAGUGGGAGUUCAUAAGAUGAACUUAAUUAUCCUGAACAUGGUCAAAAGGUCUUCGCAAAUUAUGUCGUAGCUCGCGCUUCAGUUCUACUGUUUAGAUAUGUUCCUAGAGAAAAUUUAGUUGAAAGAUGAUAGUAGCAAUUAUGAGGACUAGGUCCGUAAACUGAGGAUUGUCCUCAUUGCUUCAUAGAAGGCUUAUGUCCUUAAUGCACCACUCAGUGUGCUGAGCCUCGAAUGUCGUCUGUGGAUGUUGCGAACAUCUGACAUACACAUUUUGAUAACUACGUGAUAGUUUAGUUAAACGGUUUAGAGUUGAGGUACCGAAGACGUUUUGAAACGUCACGAAACAUAUGAGAUGUUUCGAAGGCUGAAAUUGGGAUUUCAGGCUCGUUCCCACGUCAAGAGGUAUAAGACCUCCAACGAUUUUCUUAGCCUGCAAACUAAGGGAGAAAAGCUCAAUUGUUGAGCUUGUGCUCAGAUUGUCUGAGUACAACAAUCAUUUGAAUCGAGUGGGAGUUGAUCUUUCAGAUGAGAUAGUGAUAUUUCUCCGAAGUCAUUACCACCAAGAUGCUAGAGCUUCGUGAUGAAUUAUAAUAUAUCAGGGACAUAUAUGAUGAUCCUUGAGAUAUUCGCGAUAUUUGACACCACAAAAGUAGAAAUCAAGAAGGAGCAUCAAUUGUUGAUGGUUGGUGAAACCACUAGUUUCAAGAAGGGCAAGGGCAAAAAGGGAUGCUUCAUGAAACGUCAAAUCAGCUGCUGCUCUAGUGAAGAAACCCAAGGUUGAACCCAAACCCGAGACUAAGUGCUUCUGUAAUAAGGGGAAUAGCCACUGGAGCAGAAUUACCCUAGAUACUUGGUAGAUGAGAAGGCUGGCAAAGUCGAUAGAAGUAUAUUGGAUAUACAUUGUGUUAAUGUGUACUUUACUAGUACUCCUAGUAGCACCAUGGUAUUAGAUACCGGUUCGGUUGCUAAAUGUUAGUAAACUCGAAAUAAAAAAGCUGCGGAGUAAACGGAGACUAGCUAAAGGUGAGCUGGCGAUAUGUGUUGGAAGUUUUUCCCAAGCUUGAUGUGAUCAAGCAUCGCACGGUCCCUCUACCAUCGAGAUUGGUGCUUGCAUUGAGCAUAGACAUAAUUGGAUUAUGUCUGUCACAAUACGGUUAUUCAUUCAAGGAGAAUAAUGGUUACUCUGUUUAUUUGAAUAAUGCCUUCAAUGGUCUUACACCUAAAAUGAAUGGUUUAUUGAAUCUCGAUCGUAGUGAUACACAUGUUCAUGCCAAAAAGAUAUACGAUAGUAAUGAUAGUACCACCUACUUGGGGCACUGCCACGUAAGUCAUAUCGGUAUAAAAUGCAUGAAGAAGCUCUAUGUUGAUGGAUCUUUGGGCUCACUCGUUUUGAAAAGUUUGAGACAUGCGAACCAUGUCUAUUGGUGUAUAUGCAUGAAGAAACUCCAUGCAAAUGGACCAUUUGGACUCACUUGAUUUUGAAUCACCUUAGACAUGCAAAUCAUACCACAUGGGCAAGAUGACUGAAAGCCUCGUUUUCAGUAAAAUGGAACUAGAAAGCAACUUGUUGGAAGUAAUACAUUUUGAUGUGUGCAGUCCAAUGAGUGUUGAGGUGUGUAGUGGAUAUCGUUAUGUUCUUACUUCACAAAUAAUUUGAGUAGAUGUUGAGUAUAUUUACUUGAUGAAUCACGAGUCUGAAUUAUUGAAAGGUUCAAGUAAUUUCAAGGUGAAGUUGAAAGAUCGUCGUGACAAGAGGAUAAAAUAUCUAUGAUAUGAUCAUAGAGAUGAAUAUCUGAAUUACGAGUUUGGCACAGAAUUAAGACAUUGUGGAAAUUGUUUCACAACUAAUACAGCCUGAAACACCAUAGUAUGAUGGUGUGUCCGGACAUCAUAACUGCACCCUAUUGGAUAUGAUGCAUACCAUGAUGUCUCUUAUCGAAUUACCACGAUAGUUUAUGGGUUAGGCAUUAGAGACAACCACAUUCACUUUAAAUAGGGCACCACGUAAUUCUGAUGAGAUGACACCGUAUGAACUAUGGUUUGGAGAAACCUAAGCUGUCAUUUCUUAAAAGUUUGGGGCUGCAACGCUUAUGUGAAAAAGUUUCAGGCUGAUAAGCUCGAACCCAAAACGGAUAAAUGCAUCUUCAUAGGACACCCAAAACAGUUGGGUAUACCUCCUAUCUCAGAUCCGAAAGCAAUAAGGGAUUGUUUCUAGAAUCGGGUCCUUUCUCGAGGAAAAGUUUCUCUCGAAAGAAUUGAGUGGGAGGAUGGUGGAGACUUGAUGAGGUUAUUGAACCGUCUCUUCAACUAGUGUGUGGCAGGGCACAGGAGUUGUUCCUGUGGCACCUACACCAAUUGAAGUGAAUGCUUAUGAUAGUGAUCAUGAAACUUCAGAUCAAGUCACUACCAAACCUCGUGGGAUGGCAAGGAUGCGUACUACUUCAGAGUGGUACGUAAUCCUGUCUUGGAAGUCAUGUUGCUAGACAACAAUGAACCUACGAGCUAUGGAGAAGCGAUGGUGGGCCUGGAUUCCAAAAUGGCUCGAGGCCAUAUAAUCCGAGAGAGGAUCCAUAUAUGAAAGCAAAGUGUAGACUUUGGAAGAACUACUUGAUGGUCGUAAGGCUGUUAGGUACAUAUGGAUUUUAAAAGGAAGACGGACAAUGAUGGUAAGUAUCACCAUUAAGAAAGCUCGACUUGUCGUUAAGAUGUUUUCCGACAAGUUCAAGGAGUUGACUAUGAUGAGACUUUCUCACUCGUAGCAAUGCUAAGAGUCUGUUGGAAUUAUAUUAGCGAUUACUGCAUUAUUUAUGAAAUCUUGCAGAUAGGAUGUCAAAACAUUGUUUCCUCGACAAUUUUCUUGAGGAAAGGUUGUAUGUGAUACAACCGGAAGGUUUUGUCAAUCCUGAAAGAUGCUAAUAAGUAUGCAAAGCUCCAGCAAUCCUUCUAAGGACUGGAGUAAGCAUCUCGGAGUUGGAAUGUAUGCUUUGAUGAGAUGAUCAAAGAUUUUGGGUGUAUACAAAGUUUAUGAGAAACUUGUAUUUCCAAAGAAGUGAGUGGGAGCACUAUAGAAUUUCUGAUGAAUAUAUGUUGUUGACAUAUUGUUGAUCAGAAAUGACGUAGAAUUUCUGGAAAGCAUAUAGGGUUAUUUGGAAAGUGUUUUCAAUGGAAAGCCUGGAUUAAGCUACUUGAACAUUGAGCAUCAAGAUCUAUAGAGAUAGAUCAAGACGCCUGAUUAUACUUUCAAAGAACGCACACCUUGACAUGUUUUUGAAGGAGUUCAAAAUAGAUCAGUCAAAGAAGGGGUUCUUACCUGAGUUGUAAGGUGUGAAGUUGAGUAAGACUCAAAGAUUGACCACGGCAGAAGAAAGAGGAAGGACGAAGGUUGUCCCCUAUGCUUCUGUCAUAGGCUCUAUACGAUAUGCCAUGCUGAGUACCGCACCUGAUGUGUGCCUUGCCACAUGUCUCGCAAGAGGGUACAAAGGUGAUCUAGGAGUAGAUCACCAGAUAGCGGUCAAAAUUAUCCUUAGAGGAAUAAGGAAAUGUUUCUCGGUUAUGGAGGUGAUAAAGAGUUCGACGUAAAGAGUUACAUCGAUGCAAGCUUAACACCUAUCCGGAUAUCUCUGAAUAGAGAUACCGGUUACGUAUAAUGGAGCAACAAUUUAGAAUAGCUCCAAGUAGAACAGUUAUUUGAAAUGGCUCCAAAUGUAGCAUAGUAGUUGCAUCUACAAGAUGACAUAGAAAUUUGCGAAGUACAUACGGAUCUGAAUGUUGCAGACCCGUUGACUGAAACCUCUCUCACAAGCAUAACAUGAUCAAACCCAGAACUCUUUGGGUGUUAGUCACAUGGGGAUGUGACCUUGAGUGUUAAUCACAUAUCAAUGUGAACUGGAUUAUUGACUCUAGUGCAAGUGGGAGACUGUUGGAAAUAUGCCCUAGAGGCAAUAAUAAAUUAGGUAAUAUUAUAUUUCCUUGUUCAUGAUAAUCAUUUAUUAUCCAUGCUAGAAUUGUAUUGAUAGGAAACUCAGAUACAUGUGUGGAUACAUAGACAACACCAUGUCCCUAGUAAGACUCUAGUUGACUAGCUCGUUGAUCAAUAGAUGGUUGCGGUUUCCUGACCAUGGACAUUGGAUGUCGUUGAUAACGGGAUCACAUCAUUAGGAGAAUGAUGUGAUGGACUAGACCCAAUCCUAAGCCUAGCACAAAGAUUGUGUAGUUCAUAUGCUAAAGCCUUUCUAAAUGUCAAGUAUCAUUUCCUUAGACCAUGAGAUUGUGCAACUCCCGGAUACCGUAGGAAUACUUUGGGUGUGCCAAACGUCACAACGUAACUGGGUGGCUAUAAAGGUGCACUACAGGUAUCUCCGCAAGUGUCUGUUGGCUUGGCAUGAAACGAGACUGGGAUUUGUCACUCCGUGUGACGGAGAGGUAUCUCUGGGCCCACUCGGUAGGACAUCAUCAUAAUGUGCACAAUGUGAUCAAGGAGUUGAUCACGGGAUGAUGUGUUACGGAACGAGUAAAAAGAGACUUGCCGGUAACGAGAUUGAACAAGGUAUCGGGAUACCGACGAUCGAAUCUCGGGCAAGUAUAAUACCGCUAAACAAAGGGAAUUGUAUACGGGAUUGAUCGAAUCCUCGACAUCGUGGUUCAUCCGAUGAGAUCAUCGUGGAACAUGUGGGAACCAACAUGGGUAUCCAGAUCCCGCUGUUGGUUAUUGACCGGAGAACGUCUCGGUCAUGUCUGCAUGGUUCCCGAACCCGUAGGGUCUACACACUUAAGGUUCGGUGACGCUAGGGUUAUAAAGGAAGUUUGUAUGUGGUUACCGAAUGUUGUUCGGAGUCCCGUAUGAGAUCCCGGAUGUCACGAGGAGUUCCGGAAUGGUCCGGAGGUAAAUAUUUAUAUAUGGGAAGUCCUGUUUUGGUCACUGGAAAAGUUUCGGGUUUUAUCGGUAACGUACCGGGACCACCGGGAGGGUCCCGGGGGUCCACCAAGUGGGGCCACAAGCCCCGAAGGGCUGCAUGGGCCAAGUGUGGGAGGGGACCAGCCCCAGGUGGGCUGGUGCGCCCCCCCACAAGGGCCCAAGGCGCCUAAGGGGAGGAGGGGGGCAAACCCUAAGGGCAGAUGGGCCUUAGGGCCCAUACCUGGUGCGCCUCCCUCUCCCCCUCCACCUAGCCACCACCCAGAUGGGAUUUGGGGGCUGCCGCCACCCCUAGGGAGGGAACCCUAGGUGGGGGCGCAGCCUCUCCCCUCCCCCUAUAUAUACUUGAGGUUUGGGCUGCCCAACACACACGAGUUUCUGACCUCUCCCUGGCGCAGCCCUACCUCUCUUUCUCCUCAUAUCUCGCGGUGCUUGGCAAAGCCCUGCUGGAUCACCAUGCUCCUCCACCACCACCACGCCGUUGUGCUGCUGCUGGAUGGAGUCUUCCUCAACCUCUCCCUCUCUCCUUGCUGGAUCAAGGCAUGGGAGACGUCAUCGGGCUGUACGUAUGUUGAACGCGGAGGUGCCGUCCGUUCGGCACUAGGAUCUCCGGUGAUUUGGAUCACGACGAGUACGACUCCUUCAACCCGGUUCUCUUGAACGCUUCCGCUUAGCGAUCUACAAGGGUAUGUAGAUGAACUCUCCUUCCCCUCAUUGCUGGUUUCUCCAUAGAUAGAUCUUGGUGACACCUAAGAAAAUUUUGAAUUUCUGCUACGUUCCCCAACAGCUCCGGCCCUGGAUUAGGUAGGCGCAGGCCACGGCGGUAAACCUCCCCUUCCUCGUUCCGCUUGACCUCGUCGGUGUGCCUGCCAAUGCGUGGACGCGGAGGACGGCGGACGUCAUCCUAGACGGCUAUGGGUACGUGGUGGACAUGGUGGAGGAAAUGUCGAGCCGUAACGACAUGUCUCACUUCCGCGUCUGGCUUCGCAUGGCGGACCUCUGCCGCAUUCCGUCCCGCAAGCUCCUCUUCAUGGAAGAGCCGGCCCUGCCACCCGCGCCGGCGGCACGAGGCCGUCCGCGGGUUUUCUCCCGAGCUCGCGCUGGCACUCUGCGGUAUCCCAUCGAGAUCCGUCGGGUGGGCGAUCUCCCGGCGGUGCCUCGCCCGCCGCAGCCUCCCUCCUCACCAUGGCCGCCCCACCUCCUUACCUGCCUUCCAAUGAUGGCCAUGGCCCCGGUGCUGGCUCGUCGGGCCGCUAGAUGGAGGAGGGUGGCUCGUCUGCUAGGCGCGUGGAGGAGCCCAGCGGCGGAUAUUUCCGGCGUUCCUACGCCGGAAAGGUGGACGCGGUGUCGAAUCAUCGCCGGCGGGCACCUGCCGGCGCUGAUGAUGGUGACAUCAUGCCAUGUGGGGCUGGCUCUAUGUGCACGCCCGACUGCGCUGCGCUGGGGCCCGCUGAGGCCAUGCAGGCUUUGACCACGGUGGACUCUGGGGCCUGGUCCCAGGAAUCGCAGGUACGAACUGGCCCCGGGCCCUCCUCGGGCUGUGCAUCCGGAGUGGAUAUGGAUUUGAUGGAUGUUGGCCGCUCCCCCUCUGCAUGCAGCGGCCCGUCUUUCCAAUCCGCGGAGGUGGGCAGUACGAUUGCUGCUCUACGUGGCAGUUCGACAGGGGCGCGCGGACGCUCUCGUGAUGCUUCUGCUGCCUCCUGGUCGGCCUCCUGGUCGGUCCGCAGCAACGGCUCGGGCAGGGUCCGCCUGUUAGUUGACCAUGGCCCCGCUUUUGAGGCAUCGGUUUCCCCGCUGCAUGCGCGCUGCUCUCCCCAGGCGGACCCACACGAGCUUUCACCAAUAAGUACACAUGCAGCCCUGGCCCACCCAGCUACACCCCCAUGCAGCAGCCCAUUUGAUCCCGCUACGUCACCCCAUAUGCUGGCCACCCCCGCUCGGGAUUCUGCAACCAGCCCGUCUACCCCGCCUACCGUGCUUGAGCAGGUCCUAUCACAGAUCCGUGAGCACAUAUAGGCCCCCCUCCUGCCGCUCCCCGAUGUGCAGCGUGGCCGGCGCAAGAGGCCAAUCAUUUUGGACGAGCUUUGCCGCUACAGCGCGAGGUUGCAACAAAGUGCCAAAUCCCUGCCGUCGUCGUACAUCAAACGGGCCCAACGGGUCUUGAUGUCCAAGAUGGGCAUCUGUGAGCUGGAGGAUGAGCCACCGGUGGAAUGCCUGCAGAAGUAUGCGGGGCUGUUUCGGAGCCCGCUGCCUCAACACCGCAUCGACGCCCUAGUGAGGCUUUUCUCCUUAGAUGUCCCUCUUGAGGACUCCUCGCUGUCUCUAGAGUUCUAGAGGAUCGGACUGGUGGACUGUAGGCCUUGUAAUGGAGAUUGCAAAUCAUAACAUUAUGGUGUGGAACGUGAGGGGUCUCAACAGCGCAGCUAGGGGGGCUGCCAUGAGAAGCUUGGUGGAGGACGCCUUGGCGUCGGUAGUGUGCCUUCUGGAGUCAAAACUCGAGAGGGUGGAUCAGCGCAUGAUCCACUUGCUGCUAGGGCUGAAAUUUGACGCGUUCGUGGCCCUUCCUGCACAAGGCAUGGCUGGCGGAAUCAUCAUCGCAUGGGACUCCACGGUGGCCACAGUGCCCGCAUUCUGGAUCGACCAGUUUUCUGCCACGGUGGAGAUGAUUUUUGGGGAGGGCAAUCAGUGGACGCUUACCGCAGUUUACAACCCAACUGACAACACGUUGAAACCUAUGUUCCUUGAUGAGCUCUGGGCUAUCAGGGGGGCUUGUGCGGGACCUUGGGCGGUAGCGAGAGAUUUCAAUCUCAUUGUUGAAGCGGCGGACAAAAACAACAACUUGAUCAACAGGCGCAUGAUGGGGCGCUUUCGGCGCCUCCUAAACGAUUUGGAGCUCAAGGAAGCAUGCCUCAUUGGACGAAGAUAUACGUGGAGCAAUGAGAGGACUCGUCCUACCUUGGAAAAGAUAGACCGUUGGUUCUCCACGGCAGAUUGGGACACCGGGCACCCAGGGCACUUGUUGCAAGCCUUGUCCUCCUCCAUCUUCGAUCACUAUCGCUUCUCAUGUCAACCAACGUCUCGUUCCAUCGCAAAUCACGGUUCCACUUCCAGAACAACUGGCCUUCUCUUCCCGGGUUCCAUGAUGUCGUCGCAACGAGCUGGAACUCGCUGCCCUCGAAAGCCAACCCCUUCGUGGAUCUAUUUUUACGGCUAAAGGCCACUGCUAAGGCGCUGACCAGGUGGAAUCAGGCCAAGGUUGGCAACAUCAAGGAGCAGAUGCUGCUGGCAAACGAGCUCAUCCUCUGCUUCGAUCAGGCGAUGGACUCCCGACCUUUGUCGAGCGGAGAAUCAUGGCUCCGCAAGCAGCUCAAGAGGAAGGUACUUGGGCUGGCGUCUUUGCAGCGGACCAUUGCCCGGCAGAAGUCGCGCAUCUCGUGGCUAAAGGCUGGGGAGGCAACCGAGGCGUUUUUCAAGAUCUAUGCGAGCCAGCGGCAUCGGAAAAACCACAUACUACUAGAAAAAGGGCUAUAGAUGGGAUUGACACUAAUGGCGCAAGAAACCAUCAGGGGUACGAUCGUCCUGCGGUUUGAUGACAUCCACGCUAUGUUGAACCUUCAUCCGCUGCACUACACCUUCGUUCGGCUAUUUUCACUGAGUAUGGAGAUGCAGAUCAUUCGCGACAAGACCCCGGACAUCGUGAUAGUCGACCCUUCUACAUGCGUGCCAAGAUCUUGGGCAGCGCUGGGGACCGGCAAGUCGCGAGUUCUUACCUCGAAGGCGUCAUUCUGGCAAACCAAGAUAAGGAUAACUUCCUUGUGCCUUACUUUCUCGAGUAAGUCCUCCCCUCAACCGCCCCGUAACAUAUGAAUUCUUAGAUUUCAAUCGUUUUUCUUUUAACAUUCCGUGUUUUCUGCAGUGACACACGUUGCACGCUCAUCCUCCUAAGCCCCAAAUAUUCCAUGGCCAUGUAUUUCGACCCGGACCGUCAGUCGAACGUAGACUACACAAAUGUCAAGAAGGUUCUUGAUGAUGUUCUCCCCGGCUACGUCAAAUCUGGAGGCACCUUCACCAGGCCUAUUCGUAAGUACGGCAAGCACGUGUUCUCCCACAAUACGACGUUCUACUGCGUCAAGCAGCCGCCUGGCGGUCAGAAGGGUGCCUACUACGCCAUCCAUCACAUGUGGGCGAUCAUACGAGACCAUCAUCAACUUCUGCUACCGAGUAGACUCAAAGAUUGGGCCGUGAGCGUGUCGGCAAUCCAGGACGCGGACAUCAGACAAGAAUUCUUUCGCAUCCAGUCGGAGUUUGCGGAAAUCAUCCAUCAAGAUGUCCUUUGUACCGCGGGGCAGUUCUACCUCAGAAAUCAACCGUCCAACAGUGACAUCGACACAAUCCUACAAAUGCAGGCUGACAACGCCCGUUCUUUCAUGACUCCCACGAUAGACGGCGGCUUCAUCCACGCUCCGGUCCCUUGAGUCGAGUCGAAAGCAGUGAUGCUGUGUCUAGUUCUGAAACAUCGAUUGGCUCAUGAUGUAAUUAAACUUUAAUGAACUUGUAGUAUGUCUCUUUGGUUUCGAGAGUCGUUCAACUUAAGAUGUAAUCGAUGCUAUUAAUGUCUUGCUUUUCUCUUCCGAUCGUUCUGUUGCAUACUUAUAUAUUUCUUAUGUAUUGUCUGUGAAUUGGUACUAACGUUUCGUUUGGCUACUGCAUAGAGAUGUCGUGGUAUGUCGUGUACAAGGGUAAGGUUCCCGGAGUCUACGACGACUGGGAGGAGUGUCGGAGACAGGUUCACCGAUUCAGCGGUAACAGUUACAAAGGGUACGCCACUAGGGCCGAGGCCAAAUCUAGAUACGUCCGCUAUCUAGCGGGAGAGGGGAGGGUGCGUUGGAGGAAUCGGAUGAAGACGAGUUUCAUCGUGAUGAUGCUCAUCGUGAUGACCGCAGCUCUCUUCUAUGUGAUGGUAGUUUAGAUGAUCGAUAUCGAUUUGUAAUGUGAAGACAAACUCGCGGUCUCGAGACUUGUAGUAUAAUGUUCUAUCUUUGUUCGGUCUUUUCAAUUCGGAGACUAAUAUGAUGACUUGUAUUCGGAGACUAAAAUGAUGAAUUGUAUUCAGAGACUAAUCUUCUAUUGUAUUCGAUGAAUCUGUUGUUGAUGUGUGCUGUCUAUAUUUUAUCCAAUUAUACAUUUUGUAACCUGUGCAAAAAACAGAAAAUAAAAAAAUAAAAAAACCUAAUAUUCAUACUAAUGGCGCAUCACAUCAUAGUGCGCCAUUAGUAUGCCAAAGGAUACUAAUGGCGCAUCAUUAAACAGUGCGUCAUUAGUAUGCCGAAGUUACUAAUGGCGCAUCUUGCUGUCGUGCGCCAUUAGUAUGCCAAAGCACCUGGGUAUACAUGGCCCCCUGGGAGGCAUACUAAUGGAGCACUAUUGUAUAUACUAAUGGCGCAUCUGGGGUGCGCCAUUAGUAUACCAGAUACUAAUGGCGCACCAGUGGUGCGCCAUUAAUGGCCAAAUUAGGUGUGCCAUUAGUAGGCCUUUUCCUAGUAGUGACAUAUUCAGGCAGAAGCGCGGCGCGGCAGAGGCAACAUCGCGGGCGGGCAUGUGUGAGAUGGCAGGGGACUUCUACGCGGGCCUCCUAGGCAGGCCGGUGCUGCGGCAGCACACGCUCCGCCUGGCUGCUCUCGAGCUGCUGGCGGUCGACACUACGAUGCUCGAGGCCCCCCUUUCUGAAACCCUAAUCUGGAGCACUAUAAAGGCCAUGCAGCCUGAUAAGGCCUCGGGGCCUGAUGGCUUCACCACGCGAUUUUAUCAGACGUGUUGGGCCAUUAUCAAGGAGGCGGUGAUGAAGGCUGUGCAGGCCUUCGAUGGUGCGGAUGGCAAGGGGCUGGAAAGGCUUAACGAGGACUUCAUCGUUCUGCUGCCAAAAGCGGAGGGCGCCAUUGACAUCAAAGACUUCAGGCCCAUAAGCCUUAUUCACAGUUUCGCCAGAAUCCUCGCCAAAGCAUUGUCGACUGAGCUCGCCCCGCUGAUCCAAAGCUGGUUGACCGCAAUCAGAGUGCCUUCAUCUCCGGUAGGUCUAUCCUGGACAACUUCAUGCUCGUGCAACAGUCCAUCCGCACCCUCCAACGUAAGCGAGCGCCGGCUAUCAUCUUCAAAAUCGACAUCGCCAAAGCUUUUGACAGUGUCUCAUGGCCGUUCCUCCUUGAGGUGUUGUCGCAUCGUGGAUUUGGCCCAAGGUGGAUCAGACGGAUCUCCACUCUCCUCUCAACGGCAAGCACCCAGGUGCUCGUCAAUGGCUCGGCCAGCACAAGCUUCUGGCACGGAAAGGGGCUGCGCCAAGGGGAUCCUGUGUCUCCAAUGAUGUUCAUCAUCGUCAUGGAUGUUCUCACUGCCAUGUUCAGAAAAGCGGAGGCGGUGGGUGUUUUCUCCUCGCUCCAUGCGCUAGGGGUGCGCCAUCGCCUAUCGCUAUACGCAAACGACGCCAUCCUCCUGCUCAGGCCCUCGGCCGCCGAGAUGGACGCGGCAAAGGGAAUCCUAGAAUGCUUCGGCGAGGCCACGGGACUUCGCUGCAACUUCGCCAAGAGCUCCAUCUCCUUGAUCCGCUGCAGUGUGGACGACGUACAGGGCAUUGUUCAGGCGGCGGGCUGCGCCGUCAAGGAGUUGCCAAUCACCUACCUUGGCCUUUCCCUAUCGCUGCGUGCCCUGACCCGUACUGAGCUCCAACCCCUUGUGGACAGGAUUGCAGCCCAGCUGCCUACAUGGAAGGCCGGCCUCCUCCGUCGAGCAGGCAGACUGACGCUGGUGAACUGCAAACUCACAGCGAUGCCUAUCUUUCACCUGAUGGCGCUGGAUCUCCCACAAUGGUUCUUCAAAUGUAUCGAUAAGCUGCGUAGGGGCUUCUUCUGGGGCGGGCUCGAGGACGCCAGGGGCGGGUGCUGUCUCGUGGCUUGGUAUAUUGUUUGCUCCCCGAAGCCUCUGGGUGGGCUGGGCGUGCUCAAUCUGCGGCUUCUGAACCAAGCAUCGCGGUUGCGCUGGCUUUGGUUUCAGAAAACGGUGAUGGAUAAGUCUUGGGCAGGCCUGGAACUGGGCAUCUCGGACAUGGCCAUGUCUCUUGGCCAGGCGGCGCUCAGGUGCACCAUGAGGAACGGGCGCGGAGCUAGCUUUUGGCAUGACUCUUGGCUCGACGGCCGCGCUCUAGCGCUAAGGGCUCCACAUCUCCUUCAUUUCGUCCAGCCGGCCAGCAAAAGGAUGAGCGUCGCGGAGGCCUUGCAUGAUCAUGCCUGGGUUCAUGCAAUUCGUGGAGCACCAACGGUGCCGGCCAUCGCCGAGUUCCUCGACAUCUGGGAGGACGUGCGGCAUGUCACUCUUUCGGAGGCGCCAGACGAGACGAGUUCUCCUAGCAGCUUGGAGUGGCCGCCAAGUACUCCUCCCGGGACACUUACGCCGCCUUCUUCCUGGGAAGGGAGCUCGCGCCAUGCGCGGACCACAUCUGGCGAUCUUGGGCGCCGCUCGAAGUUAAGAUCUUUGCAUGGCUUGCGGUGAGAGCAAGGUUGUGGACGGCCGAUCGUCUGGCUCGCAGAAACAUGCCGCACACUAGACUGUGCCAGCUGUGUUGCCAACAAGACGAGGAUGUCAACCACAUGCUCCUGGGCUGUGUGUUCGCGCGCGAGGUCUGGUACCGCGUUCUGCUUCCGCUGAGACUGCACAGAUUCACUCCGGACGGUACGAAGCCGCUAGUAGAAUGGUGGCCCAACAUGGUGGAGACCGCGCCGGCGAGCUAACGAAGACUUCUCAACACCACUACCCUCGCCACUUUACGUUUCAUCUGGCUCGAGCGCAACAGCCGCGUCUUCGAACGCAAGGCCUCUUCGGCCGCCGCCACGGUAGAGCUCAUUAGGGCGGAGCUCCGGCUUUGGAUUAGCGCUAGGGUUGACGGUGGAUACCCUUUUCAGGUUCACUAGUACUUACAGUGGCCUGAGCCUAGGCGGAAUUCCAUGUAAUGAUCCUGUGACUCGGCUCCUCUCUUUCUAUCUUAAUGGAAAAGACAUGCAGCGCUCUUGCAUGUUCUUGAAAAAAAAAACUAGAUCCAUAAAUAUCUAUGUUUUCAUGCAAAACGAAAAUAUGUUCAAUAACCUGCAUACAAGUUUAAGCCAAAUACAGCACAUGAAUGUACCAGCGAGUCACGAAUAUAAAAACUGUAUCUAGAAACAACUAUUAUCUUACUCACUACAAAGAUGCACACAUCACAUUGUGGAACAAAAUUCUGAAAAACUCAAUGAAAACAAAUCUCGAAUGAAACAACGGGGCGCGGCGUGCCGCCGCGCACUACCCGCUAGUACAUAACAUAAGAACAACAUAAUACAAUUAACAGUAGAAAUAAGAACAAUAGCUAAAUACUCCUGCUUAUUUCAUAUCAUACAUAAUUACCUAAUUAGACCAUAGUUGAAGACAUCAAAGGCAUCACAUGCCCCUGCACGACCCCAGGUGUUGAACCCUGAGCAAAAUAUAUAGUUAUAGUUUUGCACUAAGUUGAGCAAAAUAUACAGUUUUCCAGUAAGUUCAGACGAUCAAGCCUAGCCCGGAGAGCCACAUGACGAGCAAGUCGCUGUGGAUAAUUGUGUGGCGCCGACAGAAGUAGUCUCAACUGCUCCCGAGCACCAUCUGCCCCUGAAAUGUAUGGCCCUACACCUAGAACACACACCACUUGUCGGCAGAGGCUGACGACACCCUCGUUGACGACUGCCAUUUCUUUAUCACCGUCCUAAAGGCAGGCGGGAUGACCAACAUGGUGAUCUCUUCCUCGUUCUUGAUUUGCACGUAGAACCCGAUUGACGCCCGUGUAUAUACAGUUCAAAUCUUGAUUUUAUACAUCCAUGAGGCACGCCAGGGUGUCAGGGACAAGGCGUGUGACCUGCUUUUGUUUUGCGGAAAACCCCCCAAAAUAGUUGUUUUCUUAUAAAAAGGCCCUCAAAGAAAAACUAAUAACUUGUAAAAAUAACUAUUAAUCAAUUUAAUAAUUGAAAAUAGUCUGGGGUUCGAACUAGCGACACAGGUGUGCGUGGCUAGCCAGCCGACCAGUUCAAAUUUGGAGGUGUUUGGUUCGCAAUUUUACACCCGGUAUCUGAUUACAUCGCAAACCGAUACCGUUAAUCGUGUUUGCUUCGCUUUGCAGAUCCCGCAUAGACAGGUCCCAUCACAAUUUACGUUAUAGCCAGAGCGAGCCGACUCGGGCGAAUUCUUCUGGCUUCCAUCCCCAAACCACGCCCAGUCCCGUGCUAGCUGCCUAGACGUGGGUUUUCUGUUUUUUUUUUUCAUUUCUUUUUACGCUGGGGCUCCGAUUUUCUUGCCGGUAUCCAUUACCAUUAGAACACUUAACCAAACAAGAAUGGAUUUUGGCCGAUAUCGUUUACAUCAACGGUGUAAACCCAUUAUGUUUACAUUUCCGUUCCACUUCUGGAACCAAACACCUUAGUGUUAAGAAAUGAUUCAUAUGAUCCUAAAAAAAGGAUUCGUAUACUUUGUAAACAUAAAGCUGAACGACAUAAAUCUUUUUUUUAUUCGCAGCCGUACAUACCACUCCGACCGACAACAUCAGAUGGCAAAAUGAUAAAUUUAGGUUUAUGACAUAACGAGCCCGUGUGGCUAAAACGGACCACAGUGUGGCUCGGUUUUGAACGUGUUUGUUUUUUUUCAUUUCAUUGUUAAAAUAUAUUAAUUAUAAUUGUGUGUUACAAACAAUAUACAAUAUUUAAAACAAAUUGCGUUAAAAAAGUUUAUAUUAUUUCAUAAAAUACCUAUGCAAUAUUUUAACAGAAAUAUNNNNNNNNNNNNNNNNNNNNNNNNNNNNNNNNNNNNNNNNNNNNNNNNNNNNNNNNNNNNNNNNNNNNNNNNNNNNNNNNNNNNNNNNNNNNNNNNNNNNNNNNNNNNNNNNNNNNNNNNNNNNNNNNNNNNNNNNNNNNNNNNNNNNNNNNNNNNNNNNNNNNNNNNNNNNNNNNNNNNNNNNNNNNNNNNNNNNNNNNNNNNNNNNNNNNNNNNNNNNNNNNNNNNNNNNNNNNNNNNNNNNNNNNNNNNNNNNNNNNNNNNNNNNNNNNNNNNNNNNNNNNNNNNNNNNNNNNNNNNNNNNNNNNNNNNNNNNNNNNNNNNNNNNNNNNNNNNNNNNNNNNNNNNNNNNNNNNNNNNNNNNNNNNNNNNNNNAUUUUAGAAAUGUUCAUAUAUUUUAAAAAAUUCUCAUAUAAUUUUGAAAUUUCCACAUUAUUAAUAAAUUAUUUAUGUAGUCUAUCAGUGUGUUCAUGCUUUAAUUAAAAAGGUGUUAUUUUAAAAGGUUUAUAUAGUAUAUAAGUUUGUGCGUUUCUAUAAAAAAUAAAUGCAAGCCUAGUGCGCCAUUAGACUGCGUAUCCUCACAUGAAUAAUAGUUGAAUCAUCUAAACAUUUUGAUCUUCAUAAAUAGUUUCAAUUGUAUGAAUAUAUUUUAAAAUAACACAUGAUUUUAUUUCAGGAUACACGUGAAUUCUUUUGAUACAUGACAAUUCAUUGGUUGGAGUGACAUCCGUGCCUGGUCUACAAGCUUUGGUCCGAUGUGCGGAUCACAGAGCCGGUGCUGUUUUUGCUGGAUUAUUAAAUUCCUUUUAUUUAUUUUGUUCGGUCCAAUGUUUAUAAAGGUUAUGAAUCAUUAAAUAUUAGCAAAUUUGAAGUUGUCGAGCGCACGCUCUGGACUGGUAGGUUGCAGGUUCGAGCCACCACAUGACAAGUUUUAGUUUUUAUUUUAUAGUUUAUCAGUUUCUCCCCGAGGGCCUUCUUGUAAGAAAAAUAAUUUUGGGAGUUUUCCGCAAAAACCAAGCCAAACACCCUUCUCGUAAGUAGACAAACAUCAUUUAAACCAAAUAUGCACGUCUAUGCCAAGUUAUGAAAUCAGUUCAAUGUAUUUUUCAAGUUUAGGCACUAGAAUGCAUAUUCAUGACAAGUUCAAGCACCACAGAUGUAUUUACCUCGGAAAGUAAUAAAAAAACACACAAGAAAAUCAGGAAAAAAAAACCCGGACCAAAACCAGAACAGCCAGCGAGAUUUCCAGAAUGGUCAAAAACUCAGUCUGGCCACGGAUUACUUUAAGGGAAUCUUGGGUUAGUCUACCCCCUCGAUGAACAAAGUGGACGUACACUCAUUAUACACUCCACUUGAUCUAUCUGCCCUGACGGUACGGUUUUCUUGGGCUGAAAUCGUACAAGCCAUCAGCUGCUCACCCAAUAACAGAAGUCCAGGUCCUGACGGUUUCACCAAUGAGUUUUAUAAGGCUUUCAAGUUGCUGCUAAAAGAUGACCUGCUCCGUUUUUUGAUGAUUUCCACAGAAAUGUGGUUGAUCUUACUGGUAUUAACUCCGCUUUCAUCACCAUGCUACCUAAAAAGGAUACGCCCCUGGAGAUGCGGGACUUCAGGCCGAUUUCCCUCGUACAUAGCAUACCCAAACUGGUUUCUAAGGUUCUGGCUUGUAGGUUGAAAGCAUGGAUUCCUCUCUUGAUUCACUCUCUCCAGUCUGGCUUCUUGCGGGGCAUAUCGAUUAUAGAAAACUUUACCCUGGCUGCCGAAAUGAUCCAAUAUGCACACAAACGGAAAAUGCCAGUAAUUGCUUUGAAGUUGGAUUUUCACAAAGCUUUUGACAGCGUCAGUUGGUCCUGUUUGCACAAAGUACUUGAAGCCAGAGGGUUUUCUCAGUUGUGGAUUAGUUGGAUUCAAAUGCUUUUAUCAACUGGCAGCUCUAAAGUCCUUAUUAAUGGCCAGCUGGGUGCCCCCAUCCGGGCUAAGCGUGGUUUUCGGCAAGGCGAUUCCUUAUCCCCUUAUCUUUUCAUUAUCGUUGCGGACGUGCUACAGAGAAUGUGCUGCAAAUUGUUCCAAGAUGGUUCCUUGCUGCACCCACUUGGUUCAGACAGUUUCUUUCCGGUUCUGCAAUACGCGGAUGACACGCUGAUUCUUUUCCAAGGCACUACGCAGCAGGCGGUAGUUGUUAAGUCAGCGCUCACAACUUUCUCUGCUUUCUCUGGGCUCACCAUAAAUUUCCACAAGCGCACUCUCAUACCUGUUGCCGUGGAGACCAGCACUGCUUCGGCCAUUGCCCAGAUCCAGACUGCCCCGUUUCAUCCUUUCCAUGCAACUACCUGGGCCUGCCUCUCUCUCUGCACAAGAUUACACAUGGUAUGUUACUGCCUGUUAUACACAAGGUCGACCGUCGUGUUUCGGGCUGGUUAGCUACUUUCCUAUCCUUAGGGGGUAGAUUGACCCUUAUCAACUCAGUGCUCGCUGGUAUCCCAAGUUAUUUCAUGUCAUGCUUUCCCUGGCCCAAGGAAUCUCUUGGAAAAUUGGAAAGUCUCUCACGUGCUUUUUUCUGGCAAGGCAAGAAUAAGGUCAAGGGGGUCAAUGCUUAGUAGCUUGGGAUACAGUCUCGUUACCUCGUAUCAAUGGCAGUUUGGGUAUCCGUCAGCUGCGGCUCACAACCAAGCUAUGAUGUGCAAGUUUGUCUCCAAAGUUAUACAAGGUUCGGACAUACCAUGUUAUAACUGGUUCGCCACACAUUAUUGCCGGGCUAUCCUUCCACAAAGUGCUAGUAGCAGAGACACUGCCAUCUGGAAAGGGUUCAAAGAUCUUGUUCCUAUGGUCAUCAACUCCUCUAAAUGUGUUCUGGGGUCUGGUCUUUUGAUUUCAUUCUGGAAGGACCAGUGGCUUGAAGCGGGCCGUUUAUACCAGUUGUUCCCCACACUAUAUUCCUUCGCGAUCCAGCCAGAUUUCUCCGCGCACUCACAACACUCCAACGGUUCAUGGGAUGUUCAGCUACACCCUAAUCUCUCUCAAACGGCCUUAGCCAAGCUUGCUGUCCUGCAUGAUUUGUUGCUGGGCAUUGCUCCGAACUUACUGCAUGAGGACCAACGGACUGCUUCCGUGAGCUCUGGACAACGUUGCACUGGUUAUUUCUACAGGAUACUCGCUUUCCGGGGGGGGUUUUGUCAACUCUUGACACCUGGGUUUGGGAGGCAAUGAUCCCCCUCAAGCAUAGAAUCUUCCUAUGGCUUGCUUUCCGUGGUCGUCUAAACACUAAGGAUAACAUGGUAAAGAAGGGUUGGUCUGAGGCUUCCCCGUUUGCGCAUUGUGACACUUGCCCCGCUGUUGAGACCAUCGAUCACUUAAUACUACGAUGUGCAUCCGCCAGUGUUCUUUGGGGCAAGUUGGAACUGGACGUUUGGCUUGCUCAACUACUAACGUUCUAUCUUUUGUGGAGCAAGCGCAACACCAGCUCAGUUUCAAGCAAAAAUGGAAUGUUGCUUUCGCGGCUUGUGCUGUCACCUUUUGGCAUGCUAGGAAUGGCAGAGUCUUCAACUCAAAAGUCUGGUCUGUAACAUACACCUGUUUAUAUGCAACAGACAUGCUCCGUCUUUGGAGUCUCAAAACUCAAAGCCAGCGUACCAGGGAGGUUCUCCAGGUUUGGAGACACAAGCUGCUACAUAAUUCGUAGACGCCUGAUGUAAUCUUCCCCUCCUCUCUUCCUCCCUUCCUUCUUUCCCUUUUUUCGAUCUGCUUGUGCUUUGCACCUUGGUGCACCAAACAAGCUGCACUUGUACUUGUACCUGCUACUUCAUCAGGCUCUGGCCUGUUUUGAAAUAUAAGGUCGGCAGCCUGCCACCUUCUUUGUUUAAAAAAAAGAAUAGCCAGCGAGCGAAUCAUCAAUCCCGAAGCGAGCCAGAAGAAGCAUGGGCCUCGGAUCACGGGGAGCGCCGCAACCUUUCCGUCGCUCGAAACUGCGUGCUCUGUAGUAACUCCAGGGAGAUGGCUGGCCAUCUUGCAGUUGGCUACCAUUUCUCUCGUGAAGUUUGGUGGCCACACUGAGGCGUUGCAGUCUUGCUCACCACACAGACACCGACCAUUUACACGUUGUGUGCCUGGUGGCCUCACACUCGGAAUGUACUCUCCAAACCGGCAUGCAAAGGAUUCGACAUCCUGACACUGCUCACCCUCUGGAAACUAUGGACUUUCAAUGGCGCCCCGAUCACCACUAGGCAGGUCUAUGCCGUCAUCGCAAUGGAGGGCGACUUAUGGAAGAAGGCAGCACCGCUGCUGGGUUGCAAGCUACUUGGAAACAGUGGCGUGUGUGUAGAUUGGUAGGCAUAGUUUAAAUUCGAAAGAUGCGGGACCAAACUCUUCUAUCUAGUGUAACUCACGGUGCCAACUCUCGUCCAAUUAACAAGAUAUAUUGAAUCCUUCAAAGGAAACACAAGAUAUAUAUAUAUAUAUAUAUAUAUAUAUAUAUAUAUAUAUAUUGAAACCUACCGACUGCAUGUGAAGCUAGUAAUAAAUACAUUAAUUGGAGCUAGCUUUUGGACCAUACUCAUGUGUGGUUGUGCGGCUAUAUAUUGCACACACAUAUGUGAAAUUCAUGAUUUAGUUGUGCUAGCAACAAAAGUAGAAGGGAUAUAUCAAGGUCAGUAAACAAUAGUUCAAUCUACUGGGUGUGCCACCACUACCAUAUUAGAGAUUGGUUAUUUAGCUAUACCCGCAGUGACCAUACACAUUGGAAAAGGAGACAUCGGGAAAUGAGGGAAAACAAUGUGCUUAGAACUAGAUCGAAGAUAUCUAUGGUUUCGAGCACCCUACAUGGUAGGACACCAUAUAGGACACAAUGUAGUUUGCAGUCUCAAUUUAUUUUUGUUUUGUGAUCCAAGGAUCAAGGAGAAAAGAGAAAAAGAGGCGCCACUAGGCAACCCUUCUAGCUCCUAACAAGCUGACCAUGAUACUACUAAGUCUUGGCUAAAUUCUCGCACACUUUCAUCCCCAAAAGGGGGCUCAAUGAGUUUUACACUCGCCUGGUGCCAGAGUUCUAAAUCGCAUCUAACAGCUGCUAUAACGUCGCUCACUGAAGCAACCUUGGCUCUGAAAGUGCACUCAUUUCUUUGUUGCCAGAUCUUCCAAAGGAUUAGCAGCGCUAGGGUCUUCAGCGGCUUUCUGAACUUUGGUUGGGCCGCGUUGAUCAAACAUUCAAAAUCACAGUCUUUACUAUCAAACACAUGCGAAAUGGCAGGAUUUAUGAAAAAGUCCUCUCCACUACUGUUGCUUAUGAAGCUGCUUUUUCCUCAAUGUCAGACGAUAUGUUUCCAUUAUUUGAAAAAAUUAAUUUGCGCCUAACUGGUGUUGAAUGUUCCUUUUGCUGGCACACAAGCAGAGGAUAUUCACCGACCGCCUCCACUGAAGCUUGUGUGUGUUGUAAAGAAGCCGAAUCAAAAGCUUAUCUUCUCAUACACUGCUCAGUUCCUAGGGUGAUGUGGACGAUUAUUGACUCUCUCAACAUUAAUCCGGACGACCGCACCUCCUUUCAUGACUUAGCCAUCUCCGAGCCGGCAAAUAAAGUAAGGAACGCAGUAAUUAUGGCUCUCUUGUUGAGUAUCUAGAAGUGCCGGAGCGCAGAAGUUUUCAGGAACUAGAAUGAACACCUUCAAGUUGUUAUCUCUAAGUCUGCAAAUGAUAUUUUUCCUUGGUUCUCUUCAAAAAAAAAUUUCCUUGGUCAAACAGAUGUGAAAAUGAAUCCAAAAGGCCAAUUCUCUAUGACAAGGGGUUUAUGCUUUUGAGACUUGAUGUGUGUCUCUGUUUCUGGAGUAGUUUGGGUAGAUUUGUUCUUAUGUCCCUACUUCUUUGUAUAUGGCAUUGACUACAAAUUUAUAAAAGAAAAAGGUUCAGGAUGGAUUUUAGCCCGCCGUACUUACCCCGCACCCCUCCCCUUUGCUUAGGCCUCGUUCAGUUUAGAGGAUUUUUGUAGGAAAAAUAUAGGAACAAAGAUCCCCGAAGAAAAUUUCCUAUAUAUGCAUUCGGUUUGUAGAAAAUGCGUACAUGAAUUUUGUAGGAAUACUACUCAUUUUCUGUAUGUUUGGAGAAAACUAUACAUCCACUUAAAACUCAUUUUGCGCAUAGGAACGAUGCAAGUCAAUUCUUUAGGAUGGCAAGUGUCAUCCUAUCAAAUUCCUAAUUCCCACGUUUUGAUUUUCUCCAAACCGAAUGAACCCCAGUGGUACUGCCUGGCUUAAAAGGACAAAAUUCUUUGAUGCUCAACGACAUGUACCACUCCUAAUAAUCUGAGCAGGGGACCCCUAUUUAGUGGUGGUUUAUUCUAAUCCAGCAAACAUGACUUCUAGUCAAGCUUCAAGUUCAUCGAUCGAACACCUUCUCUCCUAUUGGCCGGCUAUCGGGCUUGGUGCACGAUCUCUUUGUUUGCUCCAGUCCGGAGUGGUGGAUGGUUUUGGCAAGUUAUGGCCUGUGUCGCUGAUGGUGUGAUCCUCUAAACUACAAGAAAAAACUCCAUUAUAUAAAUUUCUGCUAAUAACGUAAGUUUCGAAUGGACCAAUUGGCCCCAUCAUUUUUUUUACAUCUCACAUUAUGAGGAUCAAGCAGAGAUGUCGGUGGCAGGUUCUUGUCACGGUCGUCGGUAAUAUACUCGUCCGGAUCGUAACCCUCUACUUUCAAUAUUUGUGCCCGUCAAAGCACCACAAGAAGGCUGAUAUCCCCCCUCCCCUCCCCUCCCCUUCCUGGCCGCUNNNNNNNNNNNNNNNNNNNNNNNNNNNNNNNNNNNNNNNNNNNNNNNNNNNNNNNNNNNNNNNNNNNNNNNNNNNNNNNNNNNNNNNNNNNNNNNNNNNNNNNNNNNNNNNNNNNNNNNNNNNNNNNNNNNNNNNNNNNNNNNNNNNNNNNNNNNNNNNNNNNNNNNNNNNNNNNNNNNNNNNNNNNNNNNNNNNNNNNNNNNNNNNNNNNNNNNNNNNNNNNNNNNNNNNNNNNNNNNNNNNNNNNNNNGGCGGCGUGUGGGCGCGGCCCAGAUCCGUCGCGGCUGCGGCUCAGGUGCUCUGGGCCCUUGUGGUGGUGGGGCCCCGGCUCGCCACAGGUGGUGGCCUGCUUCGGUGGCUGCCCCUGUUGCAGCGCUCCCUGGUGGUGGUGGACCUGCUGGCCCCCGGCCGUUCCGGCGAUGGCAGGUGCCGCGGGCUGCGCUCGUCGGGGAUGUGGGCUACCACGGCGUGGUGGUGGCUCAUGGCGGUGGUCAGGAUCGUCUCACGGCGGCGGCCGGACUUCUUCGGCGUCGGCCCGUUCGUGAGCGGCCUGUGAAGAGCUUCGACCCCUCUUCUCGAUGCCCGGGCGCAAUCUUCAUCGAUGGGAUGGCCCUCUCCCUGCUACGAUCCAUCGCUAGUCCCGUGCUCGGGCAGCAGGACUGUGCUUGUCUCGCGCCCAACAGCAGGACCGAGCCCGUCUCGCGCCCGGCAGCAGGACCGAGCUCGUCUCGCGCCCGGCAGCAGGACCAAGCUAGUCUCGCGCCCGGAGUUGUAGGACGAAUCGAUGGACUUGUGUGCCCCGGGAUCCGAUCGUCUCUUCCGUUGGGGUAGCGGCGGAUGUCGGUUGUGGUGGUUCCUAGGUCUUGGAUUCCGGGGCGGCGGCCCUGGUGGUGGUUGCGCGGUGCUCACGGGCAGACCCGUCGCUUGGUGCUGCCCGGUGGCCAUGGCCGUGUGGGCGGCGUGGUUGUCGGGGUGCGACGUUCGAUGUCAGUGAGUAUUGGCCGGGGUGAAAACCUGCUCUUUCUUCGGACAGAUCGGCGGCGGCGUAGCUCGUUCCCUUCUUGAAGGCGUCGUCGCGGCUCUCAUUGUCUGUCGUGUGGCUCCGGGGGAAACCUUGAUCCUUGGAUCAGGCGGUGGUGACGCUACCGUGUCGUUCUCUUCCUGAAGGCACCGUCUUGGAGCCCACGGUUCGUCGUAUGCGGUGGCAUCUCUUCGUGGUGGCGUGUUCACUGGUGGAGUCCCGGGUGCUUGAGUAGUGCUGGGGGUCGUGUUGCUGCGCUCAGCGCCUAUGUAUCCCGCCUUGGGUGUGUGCGUGUGUUGUGGUGGUGUGCGUCUGUACCAGGAUGUUGUUGGUCAUUGCUUUAUUUAUAAAGCGGGGCGAAAGCCUUUUUCGGUAAUAUUUGUGCCCGUGCAAAUCAUGUUGCAGCUUAAAAAAUGGUCUUUUAAGCUAGGAAAUACUUGGCAAAAAGAUGUAAAACCAGUACAAAAAAUAAAAUAAAAUAUUACAAAAAUGAACCAUGAGAUUUAAAAAUUAUUAUAUGUAAGAACUAGCAUGGUAGUCCAAGCAAUUGUGCAAUGAACAUCUUGAUUUUCCCUCCCUAUAAAUACACCUUUAGGGUACUUGAAAACAAUAAUUUUCAGUUAAAAACAUUGAAAUUUUAUACACCACCGAGCAACAACGCCUUUAGCUAAUAUUGUCGGGCAGAUUUAAAUUCGAAAGAUGAGGGACCAAAGUUUUCUACUUUAUUAAGUCACCGUACCAACUCUGAUCUAAUUAACAAGAUAAAUUGAACGCUACCAACUGUGUGCCAAGCUAGUAAAGACAUUAAUUGGAGCUAGCUCUUGAGUCUUGAACAGUACUCAAACGCGGUGUGCAGCUAUAUAUAUAUAUAUAUAUAUAUAUAUAUAUAUAUAUAUAUAUAUAUAUAUAUAUAUAUAUAUAUGAAAUUCACAAUGUAGCUGCACUAGCAACCCAAACAGAAAGGAUCUGUUCAACUUACUAGGUGUACAACCACUGCUGUACGAGAUCGACCGUCUAACUGUACGUGCAUAAUUCAUAUACGUAGGAAAUGGAGGCACCGGGAAAUGAGGAGAAACCAUAUGUUACUGUGCCACCUCUCAUCGCGUGUCACCAGUUUGUGAUUCACACCCAGGAUCAUAUGCACUGUGAAAACUGUAGUAUGGCUGAAUAUUGUUGUUGUAUUGAUCUGACCUUUGUGUAGGGUAUAUAUAGGAGUAUAAGAGGGGUAGGGACUUGGAGUACAAGACAAGUUACACGCGGUUUAAACUAAUUCUAUCUCUAUCUUUUUAUCUCUAACAUAAACCCAAUUAUAUUUCUAACAUUCCCCCUCAGUCGUAGCGGGAGUGAAGCGGACGAGUAUGACUGAAUUUGAAGUCUUGCGCUUUCGUCGUCUUCUCUGAUGCGCCAUCAUCAACUGCGUCUCUGAUGGGUCGGCACCUAAGGCGGUGACUGCGUCCCCUUCUGGUGCCUUCCUGCCUUCUCUUUUAUUCCCUCGCGCAGUCACAGCGGGAGUGGCGUGGACGCUAGUGACGACGCCGACGCUGUUGACUGGAGUUGUUGCCGAUGAGUUGUUGUAGAUGUAGCCAUUAAUGUCAAUGUCGAGGUAACCGAUCAUGUGAUGUAGCCGUGGUUGAGAUAGUCAUGGAUGAUGGAGCCGCAGAAAGCCGGAGGUGCAAAAAAAUGCGCGAUGUUGUAGAUGACGGAGCUGCAGUCGUGGACGAUGCACCUUGCGGAUGUCAGAGGGUGUCGUCGGCGAUGAGUCCACCAGUUUUGCCAAGACCGGAGGAAACCCAUCGAGCACACAUCGGUUUUGCCAGAACCGUGUUGCCGUGUAGGGGUCGUCACUAUAGUGACGCCAUGUCGAUGCAAUCGUGCCGUCGUGGAUGACGCGGUCGAUGCCGUCGUCGUGGUCGCGUCUUGCAGAAAAGUCUGUCAGAGGACGCUAGGUGUCCAUCUUGUGGACAAAGCGGCAGCGGUGUGUUGAUGAUGGUGUUGAUGAAGAUCAUGUUGAUGUAGAUCUUGGCGAUGAAGUGUUGGCGAUGGCGUUGCAGCGACAUGUCGACGAUAAUGUGUCAUUUGAAGGCGUUCCAAACCGGCUCGACGAAGAUAUAUUUUUUCUGAGACGUGAUGCGGUCGUACGGCUUGAGUCGCGGCAUGUGGUCUGUGGAGAUCGCUCGGUGUAGGUGCGGUCGGCUGCUGAUGUAGAUGGCAUGCCCGUGCGCAGGAGGUCGAUUGAGUCGGCUUGGUGGAGAUCGCGUCCGUGCGCGUGCCUCGAAGUCGAGGCAUACCCGCGGGCCCUCCCGGUGACCUGGACUGCGAACCGGCUCGAUGUAGACGUGCAGUUGGGUGCCUGGGUGUCGUGGUCAUCGGCCGCGUCGAUCCAUUAGAGACGUAGUUGUAGAUGGGAGCUUGAGCGUGGAACCGCCGGGUUGAGGCUGUUGGGCCGGAUGUAUGCACGGAAAUCACCGGGGAUGCUGAUUUUUCUCACCAGAGUGGAUCUGAUCGUGGGGUUUAUUUGUGGCUAAGAAAAAAAAAUUAAUCUAUGAAAAGGAAUUUGAAGAUUGAUCUAAUCUAAGGAAUUGAUCUAAACUAUGGAACCGAUCUAAUCUUUUGAUCGAUCGGGUGCCGCGCCCUCGAGGAGAGAAGAUUAAUCUCCCCGGGGGCGGCGCGCUGCGGAAGUGGUAGAGGAAUCUAGGAUCGAUGUCGUGAGACUAACCGCUCUAAUAUCAUGUGAAAACUGUAGUAUGGCUGAAUAUUGUUGUUGUACUGAUCUGACACUUGUGUAGGGUAUAUAUAGGAAUAUAAGAGGGGUAGAGACUUGAUGUACAAGACAAGUUACAUGUGGUUUAAACUAAUUAUAUCUCUAUCUUCUUAUUUCUAACUUAAACCCAAUUAUAUUUUUAACAUGCACCACACAUUGUUCACUCUGAAAGCUGCACGUGCUAAGUUAGCUUCUUCAUACAUUCUUCUCGUCAUUCCACUGAAUAAUGAUAAAAUCUGCUCCGCUGUAGACUGUAAGCUAGUUGUUGCCUGUGCACGACCUAAUGUCUAAAAAGGCUUAGGGAAAUGUUAAAAUCUUGUCCAACAUACUUUUGCGCUGACAAUCUUCAUUGUGAUUCUUGAAAUAGGUUUUUGUUCCGCUUUAUAGAUAAAGUCAAAUGAUUGAUGAUGAGGAAACCUUAUACAGUAGAUCAACGAUAGAACAAAACAACAUAGAUAGAAAUGGAACACAAUGCAGACAACAAAAGAUGAGCGCAUUCUAGGAUUCAUUAUUUGCUAUAUUUGGCAUUUAUGAAUAAAUUUGUAUUUCAUUUGACAUAAUUCAAAUUUGAACUGCAAUUACAUAUAAAAUUUUCCAAAAAAUGAACAAAGACCGUGUUGAUCUUCUAAAACUAAUGUUUGGCAAUUUGAAACAUGUAGAUGUGAAAAUUAAAACACAAACUUAAUUUUAGGUUUUUGAAUUUACAAAUAAUUUCAAUGUAUUUGUUUGAAAACUUUGAAAUUAAUGCUAGUGUAGUUGCUCUUAAGGUGUUUUGCACUUUUAAUUAAUCUUUGUAACAGAUCCAGGUCCUUUUUGAAAAGAAAAGUACAUGAAUGAAUGUUCAUGAUUUUCUUUCGAAAACACUAACGUCCACACGUAUGGGAACAUUGCUACUCGUCCACACAUCUGGAUUACCAUGCAGUUAAGUUUGCGCGAAUCUUGACACACUGAGGCAGUUUUCGCGUGCCACGUAGAAUCGGUGUGUGGGCGUUGGAAAGGUCGCCCACACGCCCCACAGCACGCGGUUGUCAGCUGCACUGUAUGGGCGAAGUAGUUUCUGCCCACACAGCCACCACCUAGUCCACGCGCGUGUGGGCGAACUGCUUUUCGCCCACACCAUAAUCGUCCGUUGUUGGAUGGCAACUGCAGUGCGCGUACAUGGCAACUAGGCAAACACACAUGGCAACUAUGAAUCGUUUGCUAGACGGCAACUGCAGUUGCGCGUACGUGGCAAUCAGAUAAACAUACAUGACAACUGUGAUUAACCACACGUGGCAACUAGGUAAACACACAUGGCAACUAUUGUUCGACCACAUGUGGCAAGUAGUUAAUCACACACGACAACUAUGGUUUGAUUACACGCGGCAACUCUCAUAAAUUAAACAUGACAACUAUAGUUAACCAAAACAAAGAGAGUUGCCAUGCUUAUACAAUCAUAUUUGCCAUCCCGGAUAACUAUAUCUGACAUCCCGGAUGGCAACUAAAUCGUCAUACCGCGGGUACCUAAUGCAGCUGCGCCAUGACAUGUGGGCACAUUUGCUUCAUAGAGGUUUUCCCUUACUUCCCACAACUACAUUUCCUAACUAUAAUUAUCAGUGGGACACUGCUGGGCAAGAACGCUUCAAAACUAUUACUAGCAGCUACUAUCGAGGGGCUCACGGGAUCAUUGUAAGUUUGUUUAUGUGAAAUCUUAUUUUUAUUUUUCACAUGCUAUUUAACAUGCAUAAAUGUUCCACUCCUUAUAUAUUUUGAAUACAUAUAUACAAAUGGGGUUCCAGAUUGUCUAUGACGUGACAGACCAGGACAGCUUCAACAAUGUGAAGCAGUGGUUGAACGAGAUUGACUGCUAUGGUAGUGAGAAUGUUAACAAACUUCUUGUAGGGAACAAAUCUGAUCUCACUGACAAAAGAGUUGUAUCAUAUGAGACAGCGAAGGUACCUUAUGCUUUACUCAUAUCUGCUGAAGCAUUCUUUCUGCUCUUUGUGUUUACGUUUGGUGUAUAUAUGCAGGCAUUUGCUGAUGAGAUUGGCAUCCCAUUCAUGGAGACCAGUGCAAAGAAUGCCUUGAACGUUGAGCAGGCUUUCAUGGCUAUGUCUGCUUCAAUCAAGGACAGGUGUGUGUUCCCAGACGGUUUAAUUAGCACAGGCCAUCCUACUAGUCCACUUUUUUUAACUACCAUUAUUUUACACUUUAUUUACUACUCAUUGAUGCUUUGUUCCUAUAGUAUCAUAACCAAAAUUGCCCUACACUCUUUAGCAUGUUGCUGUUAACUGUUCUAUGUUAUUCCUCACGGUGUUGUUCUAUGUACACCUCAUAGAAAGAGCAUAUAAUUAUGAAUAAAAAUCUUGGUUUCCAGGAUGGCGAGCCAGCCAGCCGCAAACAGCGCUCGCCCAGCCACAGUGUAGAUACGCGGGCAACCUGUCGAACAGAAGACGAGCUGCUGCUCUUCUUGAAAUGCAGGCAGUCGUCAUCCGUGUUACCCAAAUGGAGACGGAAACAUGGCCGCGCCAUCCUUGAGUCCAUGCUUCUAGGACUACUACAUCUUACACCUUCAUUCAAUUCUUUCUAGUGUACUUAUUAGCUCUUGAAUCAUUGGACUUGUAACACCGGACGGAGUUUGGAGACAGUAUCUUCUUCUAGUUGUGUAUCUUGAAUGGUUAUAUGUUACGAUUUGCAGUUGUUGCUUUUCUUUCCUAAAUUUAAGGCGAUUUCUACUUUUACUUGACCAAAAUGUUUCGUUCUUCAAAAUAUUAUCCGACAGUAUGCUUAUAUUUAUGGUAAAAAAGGUCCUGAUUAUAAUUUUCAAGGUGCACUUGUUGAUUUUUGAAGGCAGCAUUAGGAAUGUGCACAACAUGGCAUGUUGCCAACAUUAGAUCAACCGGGGCAUGUUUGGUUGCCCGGGAAAAUUGCUAACAGUAGAUCAACCGGAGCAUGUUUGGUUGGCUGCAUUGUUAGUCUCAGUGGGCCUGGUCGAGUUGCCUGUAUUUGUGCUAUGGCUAUGCAAAGCAGAGCUGUUUUGCUCAACCCCUGGUGGGAGCUGUUUUGCUCAACCCGUGGUGGGAACUGUUUUGCUCAAAUGCAGCACUUCGUAUCAUACAUGACAUAAGAACAACAUAAUACAAUUAACAGUAGAAAUAAGAACAACAGCUAAAUAGUUAGUUGACAAUACCUAAUUAGACCAUAGUUUUAG
rnacentral:lncRNA from 1 species